UUCUGCAUUCCGAAGGCUUCUCCAUAGCCAUCCUCCACACCAACUUCAACUCCCUCAAUCCUUCAACCCUAAACCCACACUUCACCUACCAUUCAAUCCCUGUUGGCUUGACAGAAAACGAAGCCUCCAUCAAGGAUCCCACCCUUCGUCUUUCUAUUCUAAAUGCUAAAUGUGUUGAGCCUUUCAGAGAAUGCUUGGCCGGGUUGUUAUCCGACGAUGUUAAUUCGGAGGACCCCAUUGCAUGCUUGAUCUUGGAUCCUAUCUUCGACUUCACUCGAUCGGUUGCAGAGAGCUUUAAGCUGCUGAGGAUCGUGUUAAGGACCGGGGGUGCCGCUUCCUUCACUGUUUAUGCUGCAUUUCCACUUCUCAAGGAAAAGGGUUACCUGAUAAACCUAGUUCGGAAACCCUAAUGAACAACCGGUCCACGUCAGCACCACCAAACCUUCCCGCUGCAAUCUGCAACUGAAAGGAUCAUAACUGUUAAACCACUAGCUGUACACCCUGGACAAAAGGAAUGGUGCACAAGGACACAACAUUCCUUUACAGCUUGUCUACCACAUGGGUUCUGCACUUGUGUUCUGAUUGCUGCAUCGUGGGCAGCAAGGACAUCACUUGCAUUGCAUUUGUUUAUUGCAUGCGUGUCUGUAACAGUGUAUAUAAAUAUAAACUCUGCUGUCCAUUGUAGUUAGUGCAGUGAAAUAAUAAAACAGUUUCGAAUACAAAGUUUUUCAUUACCUACCAAUACCAGGUACAAUCUCAAGCCAACAAAACCCUAUUAUCAAAUGUCUUUUUAUCUCAUCGUUGUUACUAAUAAAUGCAAUAUAAGUAGAUUGAAAACUCACACCGAGACUAAUAACGCGUUUCAAAUUCUUUUUAUACGUAGCACUUUUGUUCUUUGUUCAUAAGAGAUUGUGCAAUAUGUGCGUUUAUUAUAAACAUGUCAUUAUUAAAAACUCAGGUGCUUCUUAGGAAAAAAAACUUCAAAGUGAUUCUUCUUCUUCUUCAUAAAUUACUGUAUAAAUCCAAAAAUGUUUUCUGUUACUAGAAAUCACUUUUAGCACUUCUAGAAGCGAUACUAGAUUGGCACUUAGACAACUCAGAUUUGAGUUAGGCUAGUUAUCCCGGUUAGCAUUUUUAUUCCUUGCUCUACCUCCUCAUAAAUUAGCAUUUGAGGACAUGCAUUAAAAGGCAAAAUAUAUAUACUUACUAGGAACCUUAUAUUUGGCUUUUUAUUUUGACAAUUAGAUUCUCGAUUAGAAGAGCCGGUAACAGAACUUUCACGUAUCAAAGUUAAAGAUCUACCAGUGAUGCCCAAUUGCGACCCUGAAGAUUUCUAUCAACUGAUAACCAACAUGGCAAAUGAACCCAAGGCUUCUCAUGGACUUAUCUUCAAUACUUUUGAAGAUCUUGAAGGACAAGCACUUGCCACACUUCUCCAAGAAUAUUACCCCAAUAUUCCAAUUUUCUCACUAGGUCCAUUUCACAAGUGUGGCCAUACAACCUCUUCUUCUUCAACUAGUUUGUUAGCACAAAAUCAAAGUUGCAUUUCAUGGCUAAACACUCAAGCGCCAAAAUCUGUUGCUUGUGUUAGCUUUGGGAGCAUUGCCAAGAUAGAUCAAGUUCAAUUUUUGGAGGUUGCUUGGGGGUUGGCCAACAGUGGCCAACCUUUUUUGUGGGUGGUUCGACUUGGAUUAGUUCAAGAGUUGGAUUGGUUUGAAGCAUUGCCUAAUGAGUUCCUAGAAGCGUUGAACGAGAGGGCCCAUGUCGUGAAAUGGGCUCCACAAAAAGAAGUGUUGGCCCAUCCAGCAAUCGGAGCCUUUUGGACUCACUGUGGUUGGAAUUCUACGUUGGAGAGCAUUUGUGAUGGUGUGCUUGUACGCCAUGCUUCCGUGAUUAAAUGGUGGAUGCAAGAUUUGUGAAUGAUGUUUGGAAGGUAGGGUUGCAGUUGGAGCAUGGGAUUGAGAGAGGUGAGGUUGAAAGAACAAUUAGAAGACUGAUGGUUGAGAAAGAAGAAGGGCAAGAGAUCAAAGAGAGAGCCUUGAAGUUGAUGGAAAAGGCAAAUCUUUCCCUCAAAGAAGAUGGCUCUUCGUACCAAUCAUUAGAUGGCUUGGUUAAUUAUAUUUUAUCCUUAUAAAUCGUUUGUUUGAAAAUGGUAAUUCAUCAUCUUUAUCAUAUCCUUCGAAUUCUUCCAUUUUUUUCUCUUGCCCGCUUACAAUGGUUCAUUAUCUUUUUCUUUAUACAAAGUACCAUUGAUUAAAAGAUUUAUCUACACUAAUUAAUAAGAGAGUUUUAACGAAACACUCCCGGUACUGUUCACUUUUAACAAAAAAAGACAUUUUACCUUUCCUGUUACUAUUCACUUACAUAUUUAUUUGUCAUUUUUCAUUAAAACUAAAUAGUACAGAGGACUUUUCAUUAGUUUUCCUUACUAAUAAACAUGCUCAAGAGUAAUGUACAUACUAAUAAACAGUAAACCACUGGGCUUAGCAAUCCAAUCCGCCUCCUUUGUAAACAAUCCAAAUCAUAUUGACAUAUGUCAUCUUGUAUUUGAGAUAUAGAUGGAAAUACUUUGUAAUCCAAUGUAUUUAUACGUCGUCAAUGAAUGAAUAUGAGCUAUGCAUGCAUGAAUCACAUUCUGGCAAUAUCUUUCAUAGUUCGAUUUAGAUCUCGAUCUCUUAUUAUUUUUAAUUAUAUAAAUGUUUAAAUCUAUGAUCUAAAUCUCCAAUUAUGUCAUAAAAUAAUGAAUGUCUAUGAUUUUUAAGUAAGCUGACAUAUAGCAAUAUAAAUCAUAAUCUUGAGACGUAGUUGUCAGUAUUAAUAUUGGAUAAUCAAACAUUCCUAUUCGAAAUAAAAAACCAUAGGGUUUUAGUCGGUCCCCUGAGAGCAGAGUGACGGAGUGAGAAUCGGACAAGGUGAUUACGAUGGCUUUCUUAAGUAAAAUUGGGAGCAUACUUAGACUGCAAACAAGCAGAUCAGGUCUGAAGUAUCUCCUUUCAAACUGUCCAUCCAUCAAGCUAUAAGAUGCAUGUCAUCCAUGGGAAGCUCAAAGCUCUUCAUCGGAGGUGUUUCGUACCAGACAGAUGACCAGAGUCUGAGGGAGGCUUUUCAAAAAUACGGUGAAGUUGUAGACGCAAGAAUCAUCAUGGACCGUGAAAGUGGUAGAUCAAGAGGAUUUGGAUUCGUUACUUUCACUUCUAAUGAGGAGGCAGCUAGUGCUCUCGAGGCCUUGGAUGGGCAGGAGCUUCAUGGCCGACGAGUAAGGGUGAAUUAUGCUACCGAAAGGCCUCGCCCCAGCUAUAAUAAUUACGGUGAUGGUCAAAAUAGUUAUGCACCUGGUGGUGGAUUUAGUAACUAUGGACCCGGUGGAGGUGACAGCUAUGGAAGAGGAAACACUGGAUAUGGUCCAGGAAGCUACAACAGUCCUAGCAAUUAUCCAAGUGCAAACACUUACGAUGCUCCCAGUGGAAGUAGCAACAAUUUUGGUGUUGGUAGUGGUGAUAACUUCGGUGUUGGUGGUGACAACAGCUUUGGCACUCCUGAUGCUCCAUUUGGAGAGAACAAACCUGGCUUUGGCCUGGAUGAUUCAUUGGAAGCAAACGAUAAGGACGAUGAUGACGCGGGUGACUUCGCCAAGAGGGCCUGAUUAUAAUUAUUAGAUUUCAGGGGCCAAACUUAGUUUGCUUCUCCGGCAGUGCUACAAGUAGAUUGUUUUCUGCUUAUGUUACAGCCAUCUAAUCUUCCCUUCCUCCUCUCUCUGAACUAUUUUAUUUCAUUUUAUGUCGUAUUUGCCUGUCACAAUCUUCAUGCACUUUUUGUGUGCGCUUUGUUAAAAAAAAAAAAAAAAAAAAAAAGGUUUUUUAAUCAAAGUGGUACUAGAUAUUGGCAUCUCCUCUCAGAUUUAAAAUCUAUAAAACUGAUUCCUGAGUUUGUCUACCGUCAAUCAUUUUGGUCAUUCUGUGACAAAUCUCCGUUAAAUAAGAUAAAAUAACAAAAGUAUCCUCAAAUUUUGUCAAAUCACUUUGGUCCAUUGUUUAUUAAAUUGAGAGUAAUUUUGUCAUUUUCAUCUUUAUUUAACAAAUUUUUCUUCCAAAAUGAUCAGAAUGAUGGACGGUGGACAAAGCCAAGAACAUGUUCUAUCAAUUUUAAAUUUCAAAGAACAAAGUAAAAAAGAUAUGUAAAUCUCAAAACUACUUUAGCUAAAAUGCCUAAAUUAAAUUGCAGUCCUUGUUACAAAGUCAACAACACGAGUCUUUUUUUCUUUUUCUUACUUUUCGUGAAACAUGUGGCCUGGUGUAAAAUAAUAAUAGGAAUUUCAUUAGCUGACAAGUCAUACAAAACUAAGCAGACUUUUCCAAAAAAAAAAAAAAAAAAAAAAACUAAGCAGACACGAACAUUCCCGCUUCAACUCCCUCAACCCUCAACCCUAAACCCAAACUUUACACACCAUUCAAUCCCUGUUGACUUAUCCGAAACCGAGGUGACCAUGAAGGAUGCCAACGUUAUUCUUUCUUGUCUCAAUGCUAGAUGUGUCGAGCCUUUCAAAGAAUGUCUGGCCAGAUUGUUGUCAGAUGACUGUAAUUCAGAGCACCCGGUUGCUUGCUUGAUCUCCGACACUUACUUUCACUUCACUCGAUCCCUUGCGGAAAGCUUUAAGCUUCCAAGGAUCAUGUUAGAGACCGUAUGUUUCACUACCUUGGUUGUUUAAGCUGCGUUUCCUAUUCUCAAAGAAAAAGGAUACUUUCCAAUACAAGGUACAUCAGAUAUAUGCUUAUUUCUUUCUAUGUUGGUUACAGGAAAAUAGCUCUACACUGUUAUCAGUGGCACAUGAUAAGGUUGGUAGAAGUUUAAGGCAUUGAUACUUGUUCCUACUGAUUAUUCCACACAGAUAGUGCUUUUAGUUUUACCGGAAUAAUUAAUCCGACAAAGCCUAAUAUUACAAAGUGCCUUUUUACUCAUCAUUGUUUCAUAAUGUUACUUAUUCACAUGUUAUAAGCAUAAGCGAAUGUACAAAUACUUGAACAACUUACAUUUUCUAUUAUCUUGGCAAUUAUUGGAUUCUCGACUAGAAGAGCUAGUGACAUAAUUGUCACCUAUCAAAGUUAAAAGACCUGCCAACGAGUCCCAAUUGCGAUCCUGUGGCGAUCUCCAACUGAAGGGUCCCAGAGGGCUAGAGGGCUCGUGGGCCCCACAUAAUCUUAAAGGGCCAAAGGGCUGGCCACAUGCAGCCAGCCCGGGGCUGGCCAAGAUUUUUGUUAUUUCUGUCGGAUUUAACCGACAAGAAUAAAAGAAAUAGUGCCGGUUAUAACCGACACAAAUAGAAUGGAAAAUUUUGAAUCCAACAACUAGUUACCAUUGAAUUCAAUUUUUUUUUUUGUUUUUUUGGGCCAAAUUUUUUUUUUAAUGAAUUUAAAAAAUUCCCCUUUUUUUCCUAUACAUACCUAAGUAAUUCCUACACUAUUUCUAACAUAAUUUUCACCCUAUUUAAAUUUAAGUUGUUGUAGUUUUUAAAUUUAAAUAAUAAAUUAUGUUUGGCCCUCGGUUGGAGAUGGUUUUUUGUGAUAGGGCUAAAAUGAGCCCUAUGGCCCUUUGACCUUCGGUUGGAGAUAGAGGCAAAUAUGACAUUGUACUGUUCAUUAAAAUAUUAAUAUCUUGGAGGGCCAGAGGGCUAAAAUGAGUCAUCUGGCCAUCCCUCGGUUGGAGAUGGCCUGAGAAACUUUAUCAACUAGUCGUCGACGUGGCAAAUGAACCAAAGUCUUCUUAUGGACUCAUCUUAAAUACAUUUGAAGAUCUUGAAGGACAUGCUCUAGCCACGAUCCGCCAAGAACACCUGCCCAAUGUUCCCAUUUUCCCAAUAGGUCCAUUUCACAAGUGUUGCCGUACAGUAUCCUCUUCAAGUAGUUUAUUGACACAAGACUAAAGUUGCAUUUCAUGGCUGAACACUCAAGCGCCAAAAUGUGUUGCUUAUGUUAGCUUUGGGAGUGUUGCCCAGAUAGAUCAAGUUCAAUUUUUGGAGAUUGCUUGGGGGUUGGCCAACAGUGGCUAACCCUUUUUGUUGGUGGUUCGACCCGGAUUAAUUCAAGAGUCGGAUUGGCUUAAAGUGUUGCCUAACAAGUUUUUAGAAGAAUUCAACGAGAGAGCUUACAUUGUGAAAUGGGCCCCACAAAAAGAAGUGCUGGCUCACCCGUCAGUCGGAGCCUUUUGGACUCACAGUGGUUGGAAUUCUACAUUGGAGAGCAUUAGUGAGGGGAUCCCUAUGAUUUGCACGCCAUUUUUUAGUGAACAAAUGGUGAAUGCAAGAAAUGUGAGGGAUGUUUGGAAGGUAGGGCUGCAGUUGGAGCAUGGGAUUGAGAGAGGUGAGGUUGAAAGAACAAUUAGAAUACUGAUGGUUGAGAAAGAAGGGGAAGAGAUCAAAGAGAGAGCCUUAAAGUUAAUGGAAAAGGCAAAUCUUUGCCUCAAAGAAGGUGGCUCUUCGUGCCAAUCUUUGGCUGGCUUGGUUAAUCACAUUUUAUCAUUAUAAAUCGUUUGUUUUAUAAACUAAAACCCAUAUGUUGUUUUUAAACUCCUUUCAUGGAUCAUGUAUUAUAUCAUGAACUGUCAUGAUGCAUCUGUCUCAUUGUAUUUAAAGAAAGUGGUGGUCCAUCAUCUGUGAUGUAGGACAUAUAUGAAUAAUUGGCUUCUAUAUCCUCUAUGUUCCCUGGAAUUAAUUUGGCUCAUUAAUGAAUGAGGAGGAGUAUCUCUUCAAUUCGUUACGGGACUGGUUUACGGAAAUUCAUGCUUAUAAUUAAAAUGAUUCAUAUUAUAAUGCACUUUGUAAAACUAUCUCUGCAAUUCAUCAAAAUAUGAGUUUGUUAAGUCAUCGAACUGUGUGAAAAUAAAUGGACGAAUUCGGUUGAAAUAUUAAGAACUAUCUAUCUAUUUAAUACAAUUAAUUGACUAAUUUUUUUUAAUUUUAAUUGACUUUUUUACAAAUAGCAUUUAUAGAGAGAUUUAUAGUAUAACAAUUUUGACUAUAAACAUAAAUUUUAUAAAUCGGCUAUUAAGUGAAUUUGAGGACGAGUUCCUCCUCAACCUUGAAAGAGCCAAGCAUUCCUCAUAUUUCUAGAGGAGUGUUUAUCAUAUAAGUUGCUGAGUUGUACUUUUGCAAUUAAAUGUUCUCAGAAGUUCGGCCACUUUCGUGAGAGAUUUUUCAGUGUGACCGGUACACGGGAUGGUAUAUCACAUGUCACUAUACAAAUGGUGAGAUAUGUGUGUUAAAAAGUUAAUAACUUAAAAAAUAAAAUUUCCCACUACUUAUAUAAAAACAUGUGGUGUACCCUCGUGUUCCGGUCACAAAAAAAAAAUUCUCCACUUUCGUCAUCCAUUUUCAGCUUGCCAUUAGGUGUAUAUCUGCCCACCAUUAUCAAGUGCGGGUAAUACUCAUUGUUUCAUUUAUUUUCAUUAAAUGAGUUUAAAUUUUAAGAUUUGUGUGUAUUUAUAAUACAAAAAUCAAAAUUUUGAAUUCUUCUAAAAGUGAUAAAUAAGGUGAUGAAUAUCAUCAGUACUUAAGGGCUUUGAGCAAAAUAUUUCGUUACAGGCAUAAUUGGUAAUUGAAAAUGACAAACAUUCAUACAAAAAUAGGUUGACUCAUCAACUAGAAAUGGAAAUAAGCUGAGCUGGAAAUAUGAUCAAUAGACCUAAACUGAUAAGAAAAAUACCUUGGAUAAUCCUAAUAACCGAUAAGAAAAACACCUUGGAUUAAUCUUAUUAUCUCUUAACUAAAUUCGGAUUUUGUGAGUGUUCAAAUCCUUGGUAAUUGCUUGCCAUGACUGCUAAUUGAUUCUGAUUUUGGUGCGGUGGGUAUAUUGAGAAUAAGGUGGCAGUUCUGUAAUUGUGGUGGUGUUUUGUGGUUCCGGAUGUUAUAGGAGGAGGACGGAGGAGAAAGAAGUGUUCAACUAAUUAUAUUAUAACACUUAGUAAUCUUGAUAAUCUUAGUUCGAUGAGAAGAUUUUCAAAGAGAAGAAGAGUAGAGACCAUUGUGGAAUCUGACACGUGGCGGAAGAAGAGUAGAGACCAUGCUCGUUGUGGUUGUACGUUUGGGGUAGUUGAAUCAUUUUAGUUAUUGGACUGCGAAGGAAUACGAGGAGGACAUGCCCAUAGACAAAGUGAAAGGCUCUAUAGAAAAUAGGGAACUUUAAUGAAAAACACCCGGUACUGUUCACUUUAAUGAAAAACAUAUUUUUACACUAAAAAGUCAAUCCUGUUACUAUUCAUUUUACCCUUUAUUUUGUCCUUAUCAUUAAAACUCAAAGUUUUCAAACCCUUUUCAUUAGUUUUUCUUAAAAAAUAAGCCUAAAACCCAAUUUGUAAAUAUUGACAGUGAUAUUCCUGGUGUAUCUCUGUAAGCAACCACAUAAAAGAAGUCACGACAAAAGGAGCUGGUGGUGGAAAAAAACCAAAUUCGACAGAGCCACUGGCUCUGAGCCAGCAAUAUUGACUAAAAAAAAAAAAAAACAGCCAUCAAUAAGAUAAGAUUCCAGGGUUGCGUCAUGCGUGAGCGAAUUUUCCAAGCUCAGCUGCCUCAGUAUUCACCAAUAAGUUCACAAGUCACAUAAAGCUAAGCAAACGUAAACAUUGUCGAUUAAAAAUGGAGCAAAGCAAAGGCAGGAGAGUGAUCCUCUUCCCGAUGCCCUUCCAAGGGCACAUAAACCCUAUGCUGGAACUAGCCAACAUUCUGCAUUCCAAAGGCUUCUCCAUAGCCAUCAUCUACACCAACUUCAACUCCCUCAAUCCUUCAACCCUAAACCCAAACUUCACCUACCAUUCAAUCCCUGUUGACUUGACAGAAAACGAGGCCUCCAUCAAGGAUCCCACCCUUCGUCUUUCUAUUCUAAAUGCUAAAUGUGUUGAGCCUUUCAGAGAAUGCUUGUCCGGGUUGUUAUCCGACGACGUUAAUUCGGAGGACCCCGUUGCAUGCUUGAUCUCGGAUCCUCUCUUCGACUUCACUCGAUCGGUUGCGGAGAGCUUUAAGCUGCCGAGGAUCGUGUUAAGAACAGGGGGUGCCGCUUCCUUCGCUGUUUAUGCUGCAUUUCCACUUCUCAAGGAAAAAGGUUACCUACCAAUACCAGGUACAAUCUCAAGCCAACAAAACCCUAUUAUCAAAUGUCUUUUCAUCUCAUCAUUGACCCACGUAGACUGAAAACACCACACCAAGACUAAUGACUCUUUUGGAAUUCUUUUUAUAUGUAGCACUUUUGUUCUUUGUUCGUAAGAGAUUAUGCAAUAUGUGCUUUUAUUAUAAACAUGUAAACUUUCUUAUUAAAAACUCGAGCACAUGGAAAAAAGCUUCAGAGUGAUUCUUCUUCUUCUUCUGAAAUCACUUCAUUGAUCCAAAAAUGUUUUUGGUUACAAAAAACACUUUAGCACUUCUAGUAGCAAUCCCAAAUUAGCAUUUUGACAAUUUGUGCGGAUUUGAGUUAGGUUAGCAUUUUUAUUCCUUGCUCUGCCUCCUCAUAAAUUAGCAUUUUAUAAUAUGCAUUAAUUAAAAGGAAAAAUAUAAAUACUUAUGAGGAACCUUAAAUUUGGUUUUCCAUUUUGACAAUAAUUAGAUUCUCGACUAGAAGAGCUGGUGACGGAGCUUUCACCUAUCAAAGUUAAAGACCUACCUGCAGCGAUGCCCAAUUGCGACCCUGAAGAUUUCUAUCAAGUGAUAACCAACAUGGCAAAUGAACCCAAGGCUUCUCAUGGACUCAUCUUCAAUACUUUUGAUGAUCUUGAAGGACAAGCACUUGCCACAAUUCGCCAAGAAUAUUACCCCAAUAUUCCAAUUUUCUCACUAGGUCCAUUUCACAAGUGCGGCCCAACAACCUCUUCUUCUUCAACUAGCUUACUAUCACCUGACCAAAGUUGCAUUUCAUGGCUAAACACUCAAGCGCAAAAAUCUGUUGCUUAUGUUAGCUUUGGGAGCAUUGCCAAGAUAGAUCACGCUCAAUUUUUGGAGAUUGCUUGGGGGUUGGCCAAUAGUGGCCAACCCUUUUUGUGGGUGGUUCGACCUGGAUUAGUUCAAGAGUUGGACUGGCAUGAAGCGUUGCCUAACGGAUUUCUAGAAGCGUUGUAUGAAAGAGCCCAUGUCGUGAAAUGGGCUCCGCAAAAAGAAGUGUUGGCCCACCCUUCAGUUGGAGUCUUUUGGACUCACUGUGGUUGGAAUUCUACAUUGGAGAGCAUUUGUGAAGGGGUCCCUAUGAUUUGCACGCCAUGUUUCAGUGAUCAAAUGGUGAAUGCAAGAUUUGUGACUGAUGUUUGGAAGGUAGGGCUGCAAUUGGAGCAUGGGAUUGAGAGAGGUGAGGUUGAAAGAACAAUUAGAAGACUAAUGGUUGAGAAAGAAGGGGUAGAGAUCAAAGAGAGAGCCUUAAAUUUGAUGGAAAAGGCAAAUCAUUGCCUGAAAGAAGGUGGCUCUUCGUACCUAUCUUUGGAUGGCUUGGUUAAGCACAUUUUAUCGUUAUAAAUCGUUUGUUUAAGAGAGUCAGUAUUAGCUAUUCAAUAAAAUAAAAAAUAAGGGCUUUAAGUAAUAUAUUAACUACAUAUUUUAGAGAGUUUUAAUGACAAGGGUCUUAUAGAAUAAAAUCUUAACUAAAACACUCUUUAUUGGUUACUUUAAUAUAAUUCCUAAUUUCAGUUUUUGUUGGAAAUCAAAACUGAUGCAUUAUAACGUUGGUUUUAUACUAAGUCUAAUAUUAUUAGUUAGCCAUUUGAUCAUGUGCAGCACACCAUGUCCUAAUAUCAGUUUUCCUUCUUAAACAAAAACUGAUAUAUUUUCUUUGUAUCCUAACGUUGGGGGUAAUAAUGAUUCUGCUACCCGAUUUGCAAAGCUUUGUUCCUGCUACCCGAUUCGCACAUUUCAACUUAAUCUUCAAUCCAUUCAACCAUUUGAUAUACCUCAGAAAACCAACAAAACAAAACAAUAAUGGGUUAAUAAGAUGGGAGCAAGUUGUCUUGGAGCCUCAUAUACCGCAUCCAAUCAAUCUACAUAACAGCCAAAAAAAUUAGGGGUCCUUCGUCACAACGAAUGCAUUCAAUCAAUAUACAUACAUAAGAGUCAUCGUAUUUACAUUGUCUACUUUUAACUGAUCCAAAAUACUGGCAUAUUGUUCCUUUGGAUGCUUCUACUUGCUAUCAAAUGCUUUUCCAAUAGCUUUACCCCAGCUCUCUAUCAGCAGAUACUCCUCUGUUUCUGAUGCCCUAUGAUGCAUGAACAUGGUGGUAUCCCCUCGUAUCCUCGUAUCGUAUUGUGUGGUAUUUAUGUGUCGUGUCAUGUGGUAUCCUCGUGUCUAUGUCCAUACAUCUUGAUAGGUUGCCUUGUAGAAAGAUAUGACAUAAACAAAAAGACAUUUGUAGUUAGAAGAUGUUGUUAGAAUAAUUGGGUUGUCAGUGGUUGGCUAACCAUCCAUAGAUGAUUUGUGUCUUAAUCUUUUAGGGAAACGCCCUGAGGGGAACAAGAGUUUCAUCAUCGUGAAUGGCUGAAGCCAGUAUUUAUUUGACAUGUUAAUCUUGAAAGAGAAAUAAUCAAGCAUAAGAUUGUAAAGGGCUAAAAGAGUUAUUGAUGCUUAACUCAGUUAAAUCUGAGAGAGAUAGUAAGUUUGUAUUUAUAGAGAUGAUUUACAUCAAUAAGUUACAAGUAGUGUUUGACACAAAUAACAAUACUAUAAAUCCCAAAGAUAGGAGAUAAUACAAGAGAGCAUAUCAGAUAACUCUCAGCAGAGGUAACUUGAGUGAAGGAGUCAUAUGGAUUGGAGACUUAUAGUUUAUCACGCCCCCGCAAGCUGAUUGGACGACCAAGAACGGGAAGCUUGGAAAGAAGAACCAAAACCGAUUGGAAGACAAACCCUUUGUGAGAAAGUCAGCCACCUGAUCUUGAGAAGCAACAUAGCCCACAACAAUUUCCUUUCGAGUAACCUUUUCACAAACAUAAUGAUAAUCAACUUCUACAUGUCGCAUUCGUGCUUGAAAAACAGAAUUGGAAGCCACAGCAGGAGCACUUAUAUUAUCACACCAUAAUUGAGGUGGUGUAAGAUAAAGAUGAAGAUCAUGAAAUAAGUUUCGAAACCAGGACAAAGUAACGGCAGUAUAUGCUAGUUGAUUAUACUCGGCUUCAGUGCUUGAGCAAGAAACACCACGUUGCUUCUUCGAGCACCAGGAAAUCAAAUUAGAACAGAGAAAAAUACAGUAACCUUUUAUGGACCGACGAUCAUUAGGAUCACCGGCAUAAUCGGCGUCGGCAUAAGCAGUGAUAGAGAGAGAACUCGGACGAUAGAGCAUGCCAUGAUCAUGAGUGCCCUUAAGAUAACGCAAAAUGCAUUUAACAGUAGCCGAGUGUACUGUUGUGGGAGAGUGCAUAAACUGGCAGACCUGGUUGACGGAGAAGGCAAUGUCAGGAUAGGUGAAGAGUAAAUAUUGAAGAGCACCUACAACACUGCGAAACUCCGUGGCAUCAGAGACUGGUUCCCCGUCGUGCAAAAAAAGGCGACGGCCAGAUGAAGAUGGCGUGUAAAUGGGUUUACAAUCUGCCAUGUUUAUGCGUGUGAGAAGGUCCUUAAUGUAUUUAGCCUGAGCUAAAUGAAAACCAGAAGCUGUUCGAGUGACCUCCAUACCCAGAAAAUAAUGGAGGGGCCCAAGAUUUUUCAUGGAAAACAUUAAACUAAGCUGAGCAAUGAGUUUUGUAAUCUAUGAAUUGCUAUUGCCAAUAACCAAAAUGUCAUCAACACAAAUCAACAAAUAUAUAAUUGUGGUGUUAUCAAAGUAGGUGAAUAAAGAAGAGUCAGCUUAAGAGGCAACAAACCCGAGUUCCUCGAGAUAAUUGGAAAAACACUGAAACCAUGCUCGUGGAGCUUGUUUGAGACCAUAAAGAGAACGUUGUAGCUUGCAAACAUGAGUGGGAAAUUGCGGAUCAACAAAGCCCUGGGGUUGGCACAUAUAAACAUCUUCAAAGAGGGAACCAUGUAAGAACGCAUUAUGUACGUCCAACUGGCGAAUGGACCAAUUAUAGUGAAUAGCAACAGAGAGAAUUAAUCUGAUGGUGACGUGCGUAACCACGGGACUAAACGUUUCUGCAUAGUCGAUGCCUUCCUGUUGGUGGAAGCUGUUAGCAACAAGACGGGUUUUGAACCGUUCGAUGGACCCAUCGGAGUUGCAUUUGAUCUUGUAGACCCAUUUAUUUGGAAGAACAUUGAGAUGUGGUUGAAAUGGCACAAGUGUCCAGGUACCAGUUCGUUGUAAUGCCGUGAACUCCUCAGCCAUUGCCCGACGCCACUGUGGACAUUUGUUAGCCUGUGUAAAUCUUGUAGGCUCAACUAAAGUAUUUAUGUCAGCAAGUAAGGCAUAUCGAGGAUUUGAUUUUCGAAUGCCAUAUUUGGCCCAUGUAGUCAUGGGAUGAGAUGGAGGAAUAGUCAUCACAGGUGAGGUAGUUGAGGUCCCAAUAGUCGUAGGAGAAGAAAAGGGAUGGGUCGUAUAGGGAAGAUGAGAGUCUCUAGUAUUAGGUAUGUGGAGGGCCGGGAUAGGAGGAGUAGGUAGGGAUUGAGGUGAUGUGUCUUUAGGUUGAGCAGGUGGGGUAUUGGUGAUCGAGAUAGGGAGAGUAGGUAGAGGUGGAGAUGGGGUAGGGUUAUGGGAUAAGGUGGCAGGAUUGCGGGUGACUAGGUAGAGUCGGAGGUCGGGUAGGGUUAUAGGAUAGGUGGCAAGAUUAUGGUGCAGGGGAGUAGAAUAGGGGAUAAAGUUAGGAGGUGUCACGAUAGUGUCAAAAUGUAACAUGUCUGUGGAUAUGGAAGUCUGAGCUGGAGUAAGAAGCAUAUCCUUGUAGGGAAAACAUUUUUCAUCAAAAAUAACAUGACGAGACAUGAAAACUUUGCCCAUGGAGGGAUCAAAACAACGAUAACCUUGCUGAUUUAAAGAAUAUCCUAGGAAAAUACAUUUUUUAGACGAAACUGAAGUUUAUUUUGAUUAUAUGGGCGAAGAUAUGGAAAACAUGCACAGCCAAAAACCUUUAAAAAGUCAUAUUGUGGAGGACUAGAGAAUAAUUUUUGAAAUGACGAUUCAUUGUGCAAAACUUUGAUGGGUAAGCGAUUAAUCAAAUAAUUGGCAGUGUGAAAAGCCUCUACCCAAAACGUGAUUGGGAUUGAUGCAUGAGCAAGUAGAGUAAGGCCAGUUUCAACCAAAUGACGAUGUUUACGUUCUGCAAGUUCAUUUUGUUCAGGGUGAUGAGGGCAUGUAAAGCGAUGAUGUAUGCCUUUAGAUGUUAAAUAAUUUUUAAAAAUGUGACUCAUAUAUUCUCCACCUCCAUCAGUUUGAAACGAUUUUAUUUUCCUACUAAACAUAUUUUCAACUAGUUUCUAAAAAGAAACAAAAAUAUUAUACACGUCGGAUUUAAGUUUUAGAAGAUAUAUCCAAGAGUAACAUGAAUAAUCAUCAAUAAAAACCAAAUAAUAUUUAUAACCAUCAAUCGAGUAAGACGGGAAAGUCCAUAUAUCGGAAUGAAGUAAUUCUAAAGGAAAUUUUGAAAUUGAACUAGAAAGUGAAAAUGGAAGUUUGUGACUUUUGCCUAGAGGACAAGAAUGACAGAGCAGAAGUCACUGGGCCAUGAAUAGGCAAUUUAUUCUUAGCAACUAAAAACUUUAAAUAGAACCAGAUGGAUGGCCCAGUCUAGAAAGCCACACUGUAUCAAACACGCGACCACCAAAAAAAUGCAAAAAUGCCAUGUUGUUAUUUGGAUGAAAUACUGGAAAAAUGAUAGAACCCAUACUUACUCCGGCCUUGCAAAAGGAUCCUCCAUGUGGUGAGAUCUUGAACACGAUAAGAAUGGGGAUAUAAGGUUAGUGAAUAGUUGUUGUCCAUGAUAAAACGAUUUAUAGAAAUGACAUUGGUUGAGGCAUUGGGACAAUAUAAAGUAUUGGAAAGAUUAAAGGUUUUUGUGGGAGUGCGAAUACUGGAGUGACCAAUUUUAGAAAUAAGCAAACAUGUGCCUCCAACUACACCAUUCACAUGAUUAUUGCCAUUGUAUUCUCAGGCUUUAGCUACCUGUGUCAAGUCAAUUGUAAUAUGGGUAUUAGCUCCAGAGUCAAAAAGCCAAUUUUGAACCUGGGAAGUAGCCAUGGGUGGAGGGUCAUAUGCAUGAGCAGUAGCGGCAAAAGCUUGAAGUUUGGGAGCGGAAACACGUCAUUCGUAUGCCAUGUUCAUACGAUUGUAGCAAUUGAUAGCAAAAUGACCAGGUUUGUGGCAGAUUUGGCACUGAACACGUCCAUUUGAAUUAAAAGCAUUCCCUUGUUGAGGAGCAGUACCAAGGAAGCCAUCGUUAGGAGCAUGAGCUCCUGGCUGGCCAAGCAUGCCACGACCACCACGACCAGCGGCAGCCUGAAAACCACGUCCAGCAGGCUGAAGGCCAUGACCAGCGUCGGCCUGAAAACCACACCAUCCAAGUCCAGCAACAAGGGCAAUAGGAGCAGCAUCGUCGUGGAAGACAUAACUCAUUUUUUGUCGACGUUCGGCGCCGAGAAGCAAGGCUUCCAAAGCGCCAUAAGAGAUGGCAUCUUCUCGAGCUUAAGCAGCCGACAAUGUGCUUUCAUACGCAGGACAAACGUUAUUGAGAACGAUGGCCACUAAAUCCGAGUCUGAAACAGGAGACCCCGGGAGGGAAAAGGUGUCAGCGAGAGAGUUCACACGAUCCAAAAAAUCAGCAAUGGAAGAAUCACCAUGUUGAGUGUUCAUCAGGUCACUCCGGAGUUGCAAAAGACGACCAGUGGACGUCAAAGCAUAACUCUCGUGAAGAGAAGUCUAAGCGGAGUGAGAACUAGUUUUCUCAAUAAGAGAGGCCAAAACCGUGGGGUGAACGAAACUGUUGACCAUGAGAGAACCAUGGCAUCCUGCUGCAUCCAGACUUCGAAGGUUGUGUUGACAUCAUUGGUGAGAUUACCUGAGGUAUCUUUGAGAAACGCCGAAAGACACUGACUAGUGCCAUCAACAAAUGGAACUAGGUUCCUGCUAUGAAGUAGGGGUAGAAUUUGUGCAUGCCAAAGGGGAUAGUUUGUACGAUCAAGUUUGAUCGUCAAAAAAUUGGAGACAUUAGGAAGAGCGGCAAUGGGUAGGGUAGAAGAAGAUGAGUUUGAGGAGGAGGAGGUUGAGGAGGCCAUGUAAAAAAAAAAAUUGCUUUUGUUGUCGUGAUACUUUCUUAGCUCUGAAAUACCAUGAAAGAGAAAUAAUCAAGCAUAAGAUUGUAAAGGGCUAAAAGAGUUAUUGAUGCUCAACUCAGUUAAAUCUGAGAGAGAUAGUAAGUUUGUAUUUAUAGAGAUGAUUUACAUCAAUAAGUUACAAGUAGUGUUUGACACAAAUAACAAUACUAUAAAUCCCAAAGAUAGGAGAUAAUACAAGAGAGCACAGCAGAGGUAACUUGAGUGAAGGAGUCAUAGCAAACAACUUUGAGGAUAUGGAUUGGAGACUUAUAGUUUAUCAAAUCUCUGGUUAGACGAGGGGAUUUUCAGGGAGAAGAAGAGACCAUUGUGGAAUAUGACACGUGCCGGAAGAUCAACGGGGAGCAUUAUCGUGCUGGUUGUGGUUGUACAUUUUGGGCUAGUUGAAACAUUUUACUUAUUGGACUACGGAGUACGAGGGUGCCCAUAUACAAAAUGAAAGGCUCAAUAAAUAAAAAAAAGCCCAAAACCUAAUUGGUAAAUAUAUUCCUUGUGUAUAUUUAAGUAACCACAUAAAAGAGGUAAUGACAAAAGGAGUUGGCGGUGGAUGGAUGUGACAAAGCUCGGCCAGGGGUGAGUUCACACUUAAUCUCUUUGAAAUUAGCCCUUGAAAAGUGUUUUUCCUUCUGAAACACCUUUUGCAACAACCUACCUGAUUAUUCUCAUAAGUUUGCUGCCCAUAGUUGUCACGUCAUAAUCAUAAUUUUAAAGGAACUUUAACGAAAAGCUCCCGGUACUAUUUAUUUUAACGAAAAAUUACAUUUUUACACUAAAAAGUCAAUCAUGAUACUAUUCAUUUUAUCCUUUAUUUUAUCAUUAUCGUUAAAACUCAAAGUUUUUAAAUAUUUUUUUAUUAGCGAGCUUAUUGGGCCACAAAGUGAGAUCAGUGUUUAAUUUUGACCCAAACAAAUAUAAUUUUCAUGAAUCAUAAAAUAAUUUAAUUCAUUUUGAAUUAAAUUUUCCAACAUUGAGGAAGGAAAUGUUGUAAUAAAAUAUACGAAAUUCAUAAGCUCACAAUCUAAGCAAAACAAUCGUUCUUAGAAAUUCAAAUGGAGCAAAGCAAAGGCAUGAGAGUGAUACGUUUCCUACUGCGCGCCAUUCAAGGCCAUAUAAACCCCUGUUCUAGAGCUGGCCAAAUAUUCUACACUCCAAAGGCUUCUCCAUAACCAUUAUCCACACCUGCUCUAACUCUUCCAACCUUUCAGCUCUAAACCGGCACUUCACCUACCACUCCAACAAAAAUCAUCAAUAGAAUAUACAAUCAAAUAGAAAAAUCACCAAUUUGCCUUAGCUUUUAGGGUGCGUUUGUUGCACCGGACUAUCUGACUGGACUAACUUCAAGAACUAAGUUGGAGGAGCUUGGCAUAAACUAAAUAGUAUUAGAAUUGUGAAAUGUUAGGUGCAAUACCUGACUAGCUAGGACUAUUUUUUUUUUAAUUACAAAAACUCCCAAUUUUUGUUGUCUGACUCUCUCUCCCAUCUGUCGCUCCCGUUCCUUUCCUUUGCACUCCACUAUUUUCCUUUCCUUUCCUCUACACUCCUUUCCUUUCUUGCAGAUUCAAAAUUUCCCGGAUUUCCAGUUAGCAACUGUAGAAAUUUGGUUUCAAAGUGUUUUCUAUUUCAUGAGUGAUUCUGAAUGUACAAUGCAGUAUAUAUCUAGAAGAGAGAAACAGAUGGUUACAAGCAACCAUCUUUACAUGAAACCCUAGAGACCGGUUAAACCUAGGACACAAGCUUUUCCUUAAUUUAAGGUGAUUUACAUCAAAUCCAAGACUAAGAAGUAAUCAACAAGUUAAGUGCCUUAAAUCAAGGAGCUGGAAAACUGGCAGUUGACUUGUGUGUAUCCAUGAUUACUUGUAGACUUGAAAUGAGAUGACAUGCUAGGGUUGCUGUUGCUAAGGUUUAGUGUGACUGGUUCCAACACUUCCCCUCAAGCUGGAUCAUGAAGUGUAGUCGAGCCAAGCUUGCUCAAAAGUCUGUGUAACUGAGAAGAGGGUAAAGGCUUAGUGAAUAAGUCAGCCAAUUGAUCAUGGCUUCUAGUGAAUUGAGUUUGGAUAACUUGUGUUUGAACUUGAGCUCGGAUGAAAUGGCAGUCCACCUCAAUGUGCUUGGUUCUUUCAUGAAAACAGGAUUAGUUGCAAUGUGCAUGGCAACUUCGUUAUCACACAUGAGAGACAUGGGGGCUUGAUGUGAGAACCCUAAAUCUGAAACCAAGCCUUUAAGCUAAAUCAGUUCGCAUGCAGUGGCUCCCAUUGCUCGAUACUCCGCUUCAACACUAGAUCGUGCUAUAACAGUUUGCUUCUUACUCUUCCAUGUCACAAGGUUUGCCCCAACAAAAGUGCAAUAUGCAGUGGUAGAUUUUCUGUCAAUUGUAUUAUCUACCCAGUCUGCAUCGGUGUAAGCACUGAUUUCUGUGGACUGAUUGUUUGACAUAAAAAUGCCUCUAUCCAAUGAACCUUUGAGAUAACGAAGAAUACGUUUAACAAGGUGAAAAUGUUGCAUAGUGGGAGCAUGCAUAAACUGACUAACUAAGCUAACAUCAUAAGUGAUGUCUGGACGUGUGAUAGUGAGGUAGAUAAGCUUACCAACCAAUCUUUGGUAGUAGCUUAUGUUGGGGAGAGGUUCCCUAGUAGAAUCAAUCUUCAUUUUGCUGUCAACAGGUGUGGUGGCAGGCUUGCAAUCUAUGAGCUUAGCCUCAGUAAGUAAAUCAACAACAUACUUUCUUUGACUGAGAAACAACCCCUUGUGAGACGUGGCCAUUUCAAUGCCAAGAAAGUAUUUUAAUCUCCCAAGAUCUUUGAUGGCAAAGGUGUGGCGUAAGGAGUGUUUCAAGGCUUUGAUUUCACUCUCAUUGUCACCGGUGAUGAUUAGAUCAUCAACAUAGAUGAGAACCACAAGUUUUCCACUUGAACCACUUCGAAUAAAUAACGAGGAAUCAGCAUUGCUUCUUAUGAACCCUGUCUUUUCUAAGAUAGAACUUAGCUUUGCAUAUCAUGCUCUCGGAGAUUACUUAAGUCCAUAGAUAGCCUUAUGUAGCUUACAAACCAUUCAUUUUUCCACUUAAGUAUAACCUGGUAGGGGUUACAUGUAGACUUCUUCUUGAAGUUCUCCAUGGAAAAAGGCAUUUUUUACAUUCAUUUGGUACAAAGACCACCCACAGUUAACUACUAUCGGGAGUAAUAUCCUAACAGUAUUCAUUUUUGCCACUGGGGCAAAGGUUGCCUUGUAAUCAACCCCGAAUGUCUGAGUGAAGCCACGAGCCACAAGUCUGGCUUUAUGUCUUUCUAUUGAACCAUCUACCUUGAGCUUGGUUUUGUAAACCCACCUGCUUCCAACAGCCUUCUUUCCUGGAGGCAACUUGACAAUGCUCCAGGUAUUGUUUUCUUCCAAAGCAUUUUGCUCUUCAGCCAUAACUAGUUUCCAAUGUGGCAAGGAAGUAGCUUCUUGGAAUGUUCUUGGUUCAGCAGUCUUAGAGACUUUAGUGAGAAAUGCAUGGUGAGAAGUCGAAUACUUUGAGUAAUGUAAUACAUCAUAGAUAAGGUACCUUGAGGCAUAAAUGACAUAGUCCAACAGCCUUGCUGAAGGCUUUCUUGUUUGAGCAGGAUUUCUUCGUGCACCUUGAGUUGGCCGUGAUAAUUGUACAUUGUCAACUUGAUCUUCAGAGCCAUGCUCAACGUCUUCUUGUGAGAAGACAUGUGGAUUUAAGGGGUUUGUGACUUGGUGCAAUUCCUCAUUGAGUUGAGUGUCAUGUCUUGCUGGAACAUCCUCAUCUUGUUCUGUGUACAUAGGUAACGGGAACAAGUCAUGCAAAGACUCCCCAUCACCAGGAACAUGCCUUUGUGGUUGGAAGAAGGGAGUGUCUUCAUCAAAAAGGACAUAUAUGGAGACAAUACACUUGUUGGUGAGGGGAUUGAAGCAUUUGUACCCCUUUUGUGUAGAUGAGUACCCUACAAACACACAUUUUGCAGCCCUAGCCUCCAAUUUGUCACGAAGUUGAGGCUGCACAUGGACAAAGCAUGAGGAACCAAACACUUUCAAGUGAGAUAGGUUGAUAGACCUUUUUUCUAGAGUUUCACAAAGAGAUUUAAACCCUAGAAUAUGGCUUAGGAGUCGGUUGAUGAGGUAUGUAGCUGUCAAGACUGCAUAGGACUAAAACUUCUUUGGAACAUUCAUAUGUAACAUCAAUGCACGAGUUUUUUUCAAGUAGGUUUCGGUUUUUCCGUUUAGCAAUCCCAUUUUGAUGUGGGGUUCCCACACAACUAGUUUGAUGUACAAUUCCUUUUGAGCUCAAGUAUUUAAUCAUUGUGUUGGAUAAAAACUCAAUGCUAUUAUCUGAUCUUAGUGUUUUAAUAGUUGAGUGGAAUUGGUUUGACACAAGUGAAUGAAAGUCUUGAAAGAUAGUUGAAACUUUACUUUUAGCUUUCAUGAGAUAAAGAAAAGUGACACGAGUACAAUCAUCCACAAAUAUGACAAAAUAUUUGUAACCUUCCAUUGAUUCAAUAGUAGGACCCUAUACAUCGGUGUGAACAAGUUCAAAAGGUAUGCUAGACUUAGACGUUGAGGUUUUAAAAGGUAACCUAGCAAACUUUGAGAAAUAACAAGUAUCACACUUCAUCAAUGGGUGACAAAACUUGGGGAAUAGUUUUGCCAAAACAACUUUGAAUGGAUGGGCUAGCCUUUGGUGCCAAAGUUGUUGAUCCUUGGAAGAGCUUGGUUAAACUUGAAAGCCUUUUGACAAAAUGGGCUUCUUGCAAAAAUAGUAGAGACCAUUUUGAUAGAAUCCUUCACCAAUCAUUCUCUUGGUGAGAGCAUCCUGAAAGAUUACAUUUUUGGGUGAGAAUAUGACUAGGCAAUUUAGAGUGUUAGUGAGUUGUCCUACGGACAUCAACUAAAAUGGAAAAGAGGGUACGUAUAAGGCAGUAGACUCUAUGGUGUUUGAGACUAAACCUAGUUUUCCUUUUCCCAUGACUAAGACAUUUUUUUCCAUUUGCAACUGACACAUGAGAUGGUUUUGACUAGGGAUGGGCAAAAUACCCAUGGAUAUGGGUAACCACGGUUACCCGUCCAUUUAAAGUUGACGGUUAUGGUUAUGGGUAACCGUUUAGACAAAUAAACGGUUAUGGGUAUAACCGUUUAUCUAUGAAAUUUAAAUGGCCGGUUAUGGGUAUUAUCCGCGGUUAUAACGGGUAUCCAUCGGUUAUGGGUAAUAUUCAUGGUUAUAACGGGUAUCCAUUUACCCAUUUAAUUUAAUAUAUGUAAAAUUAAAAAAAAAAUUAAAAACCCUCAGAUAAAAAAUUACAACUCUAUCACUCUCUCUCUCCGUCCCUCUCUCUCUCCGCCUCUCGACUUCGUAACUCUCUCUCUCCGUCGCUCUCUCUCUGCGCCUCUCUCUCUCUCCGCCUCUCGACUUCGUCACUCUCUCUUUCUCCGUCGCUCUCUCUCUCCGCCGCUCGCUCUCUCUCUCCGUCGCUCUCUCUCUGCGCCUCUCUCUCCCUCGCUCUCGCUCUGAGGCAGUUGCUGAAGAGCCUCUGCAGCAAUUCGCCUUGGAAUUAUUCAGUGUUUUGGAAGCUCAAGCACCAGAGUGAUUUGUAAGCUUCUUUCCUUUUCCUCGGUUUUUGCUAUGAAUUAUACUCUUGUUGAAAAUUUUAAUCUGUUUAUCCGUCCUUAGAAUUCGGAAAGUAAUUAAUUAGUUAGUAAUUUAGGGUUUGAGAUUUAGGGUUUGUGAAAUUUAAAUGACUAAGAACUUUUUGCUGUAAUGUGAGAUUUAGGGUUUGUGGAUUUGUGAGUUGUAAUUCGAAAUUAGGAUCUGGGUCUUUGCAAUUUCGGGAUUUCUGAUGUGGGUUUUCGUAUUUAAGUGAAAGGGAGAUUGAUAAAUUUUAAUGUGUUUGUGUACUAUUUGAAGAAACUGCACCUCCUUUGGUUAUGGUUCUGACAUUGUUGGAUUCUCUGUUCAAAUUUUGUAAGUUAUUAUAAAACUUGAAUUAUUUAGUUGGAAGUGAAAAAAAACAGAUGAGGGAAUUGGUUGAACAGUUUUAGUGGUAAACGAAGGUUUCCGGUAGAAUAUUUCGAAUUUGUGAUGGAUAUAAGAAAUUAAGAACACAAUUUUGUGUAUAAGAUUUAGAAAUAGGUCCUUAAGUACUUUGUUUCUUAACAACUUCUGAUACAAUUUCUGUAUUCUAUCCCCACUACCUAAUAAUGACAAUGUGCUAAUGCCCUAAUCAAUGAUUUGGGGUUUUCCGGGUUUAUAAGUACCCCUAUAUUAGUGGAUAAUAAUGUUUAUACUUGAUUUCAUUGACAUAAGACUGAGUUGUAUGAAAUGAACGUUUAGCUGGAGUGAGCUUUCGGUUUACAUAGUCAUAAGUGGGGCUUUCUGAACUCUACACACUGAUCGUGACACACAUAUCGGUUCAUUCUGUUAGAAUAAUUUCAUUUCUUUUCAGAGUUUUUGUGUUAACGCCUCCAGUAGAUGGGAUCUCGUAAAGUUUUUCACUAAACGUGUCAUGUUGAAUUUUGAUACUAUAUUUUAAUUUUACUAGCAAGUUUCUUAAAAAAGAAUCUAAUAUGUUUUCCAAGCCUGUAAUUCUGCAUGGGUUUUCUUUUAUGAUUUUAUUUAAUAUUCCAGUAAGCCUGCUGUCACUUUUGUUUGUGUGCCAAGAUUACCAUGUACUGUUGUAGAGAUGUCCUUAUUAUGUUCAGACCGAGUGUGUUAUGAUUUUUUGCUCUAGGCAUCCAAAAUGUUGAAGAUUUUUGUUUGGCCUGUGGCGAUGUUUUGAUGACUUUGUUUGCUUUAAACGAGAACCAGAACCCCCAAUUAUGACAGUAUAGUGUUCUUUUGUUCAAUUGAUAUCCUGUUUUUCUUUUAUAUUCUGAACUUGUAUUCAACUAGUUCCAAGAUGGAGACUCAAAGCGAGAACCAAGAUAUUGAACCAAUUAAUCUUGAUCAAGAAUUGGACCUAAGUGAAUCAAGCUUUGAUGACACUGGUAGGAAGAGAAAAAGAACCUCAGUUGUCUGGCAGCAUUUUGAGGAAAAAAGUUUUUGUGGGGAGGUGAAGGUUGUCUGUAACCAUUGUAAAGCUAGGCUAGCAUCGGGCUCCACUGUUGGUACUUCAUCUUUACUUUCACUUGUUAGAACAUGUCAUGUAUUGAGGACAAAGAAAAAGAGUCCAGUUAUAACCGGUGAUGGGUCUGUUAAACAUGGUGCAUAUAGUUUUGAUGAAGGUAAUGCUAGGAAAGAGCUAGCUUAUAUGAUUAUCUUACAUGAGUAUCCUUUAUCUAUGGUGGACCACUUGGUUUCGUAUGAUUGUUUUUUGUUAUCAGAAACACAGAUUUAUGAGCUGUUGCUAUAGGGUCUGUUGCUUUAAAAAUCAUUCGGGAAUUCAGAAAUAAAAAAGCUCUACUUUUACUCUUCCUUUAGGCUCAAUUUUCUCAAGUUCCUGAACUUCCAUAAUUUAUUGGUUGCUAUUCAGAAUAAAAAAAAAACUGAUUGGUUGCUAUACAGAAAAAUAUCGUUCGUAAACUAUUAUUUCAAUUAUUGGAAUUAUAUGAGGACUUAAAUGAUUAAAAUAGGGAAAUGUAUGCUAAAAUGUACUUAUAACGGUGUUUAAUUGUCAGAAAAUAAAAAUUAUGACAAAUUUUUCUUUUGUAAUUUUCAAAUUGUUAAAAAAAAUAAUGUAGACAGGUGAAAAAAAAGGUAAAUGGGUAAAAAAAGGAUAAAUGGGCGAAAAAAUAGGUAAACGGGUAAAUGGUUAUGGUUAUGGGUAAAUGGUUAUGGGUAAAUGGGUACACGGUUAUGGGUAUGGAUAACCGUUUAUAAACGGUUAUGAUUAUGGGUAUAACCAUUUAUGUAAUUACCCAACGGGUAAACGGUUAUGCGAGUAUGAACAUAAACGGUUAUGGGUAAAAUAACCGCGGUUACCCGCCCGCAUAACCAUUGCCCAUCCCUAGUUUUGACAAGACUUGAAAAUCAUGCAAGUUUAAGGCUUUAUUUGUCAUGUGAUCAGAGGCACCCGAGUCAAUUAUCCAACAAUCACAAUUAAAACUAGUUUGUAGUGCAGUUGAGAAUGCUUUGGAGAUACCUGGGACUGCAUCUCAUGAAACAUGAUCAUGAUCAGCAAGAAAUCCUGCAAACUGUCCAAGAAGUGCAGUUUGUUUGUUCCCGUCACCCUUUGACGUUUGUGCAGUUCUCCAUGAUUCUUGGUGUGCAAGUAAGUUGCAAACUCGUUAAUAAGAGUAAUAGGAUUGGUUAUGAAAUCUGUUAAGCCAUGAAUGGGUGAGCUGGUAGCAUGGUUGGCCAGAUGCUAAGCCUUAAGAUGAGCCACUGAUGAGGAUCUUGGGACCAUCAUCAUGUUGUCUUUAAAUUUAGGCUUGAGUCGGGGUGCAGCUCUCAACAUCUCUCUUCUGUGUGACCAGAAGCAUUGCAAUACUUACACUUUAGAUGUGGAUUCUUUCCUCUGUACAUUUUGGCAUCAUGGUUCUUGUGGUUUGCAACAUACCCUCAAGCCUUAGAUAGCUUGAGAUUAGGCUCUAGAUUCAUCGCCCUUAUUCUUGCUGCUUCACGUUGCACCAUGGCACAAAUAGUCUUGAAUGAUGGUAGCCCCACACUCAUUAAUAUGUGACUCCUGAGAUCCUCAUAAUCUGAGCUGAGGCUUGCGAGCAGUUGGUAGAUCUUAUCCUCCUCAGCUCUUUUAAGAAGAAUAGUAGGAUUUGUGGUGUGAGGGAGGUACACAUCAAGCUCAUUCCACAUAGUCUUCAAAUUGCCAAAGUGUUGGACAAAAUACUUCUUUUCUUGCUAGAGGCAAGCAAUAUCUAUUUUCAACUGGAAUACCUGAGCAUAGUUGUUCUGGUUUCCAUACAUAUCCUUCAUAGAUUUCCACAAAUCCUGUGAAGAUUCAGGAUAACUAAAUAUCUCAGCAACAUGUUUCUCCAUGGUGUUGAGCAACAAGGACAUAACAAACUGAUCCUUGCACAGCCAUGCUUCAUAGGCCUGAGAAGAGGAGUCUGGAGCUUCAAUACUUCCAUUGAUGAACCCUAAUUUUCCCCUGCCUCCUAGAGCAAGUGAAACUGCCCUAGACCAAGGAAGGUAGUUGAGCUCAUUCAGCAACACCGAGCAUAGGCGCUGGUUGGUAUUAACUUCAGAGUCUAAGAAACUCGAAGGAGCUACCUGCGAGCUUUCUCCCUCAAUAUUAAUUGAGCUUUCCUCAGCCAUUACAGAAGCUCACAAGAAUAGCAGCAGAAAUUAAACGGGCAGAGACAGGUUAAGGAUGACACUACUCUGAUACCAUGUAGAAAUUUGGUUUCAAAGUGUUUUCUAUUUCAUGAGUGAUUCUGAAUGCACAAUGCAGUAUAUAUAUAGGCGAGAGAAACUGAUGGUUACAAGCAACCAUCUUUACAUGAAACCCUAGAGACCGGUUAUACCUAGGACACAAGCUUUUCCUUAAUUUAAGGUGAUUUACAUCAAAUCCAAGACUAAGAAGUAAUCAACAAGUUACGUGCCUUAAAUCAAGGAGCUGGAAAACUGGCAGUUGACUUGUGUGUAUCCAUGAUUACUUGUAGACUUGAAAUGAGAUGACAUGCUAGGGUUGCUGUUGCUGGGUUUAGUGUGACUGGUUCCAAUAACAACCCAGAAACCAAAACAGCCACGUCCCUCAUAAAUUUCAAAAAGCCAUGUCCCUGAUUAAUUUCGGAUUACCAAAAAAGCCGUAGCCUUUGGAUCGGACGGUGUUCUUAUCGGUGAUGACCACGACCAGGGCCUAUCCAAACAUUCCGGAGGCCUUGGGCAAAAAUAAAAAAGGGGCCCACAAAACAACAACUGUGAAAAAAAAUUUUGCGUUUUUUAUGUGAUUUUUCCCUCCUUUUCUACUAGGUAUUUAAAGGAUUAUAAAAUAUUUGAAGGUAUUUUUCUUUGUAGUCAUACACAAAAACAAAGUUACAUCAUAAUACUUGGUCAAUUGGUCAUAAAGAAAAGAAGAUUGUCAUGUUGUAAAAAAGUACUAGUCUAUCUGUUAGUUUGUGUGAGUGGCAAUUUUCUUAUACCAUCGUCAUGCGCUUCUAAAAUUAAGGUAUAAAUAAAAUUACAUUCUUCAUCCUUAAUAUUAAAGUAUAAGGAAUAAGAGAAUAAGUAAACAAAAAUUAUUUCCAAAAAUCAUUUUAUGUGACUGCAAUAUCGAUGAGUAACUUUUUCUUUCUCUUCCUUCACACAAAAAGGAAAAGCAAACCAGCAACUCAAGCAGGCAAAACGAAGUACAGCGAAACAUAAACAAGCUAUCUAAUAGACGAGCAUCUGCAUUGUUCUCUUAUUUUUCUACUUCUUAUUUUUCCAUUGCAUCUUCGUCUUCUUCCCCUGCCUCUGUUAAUUGUGGCAUUUCAGGUUCUGAAUCACUUAGGAGUAAUCUAUCAGGAUAAAUCCUAACCUCAAUCGAGCAAUACUUGAUGCCUAAAGUGUCUAAGUGCCUUUGACAAUGCAAUUUUCUGACUAAAUUUCUUAUAGAUUUGGUGUAAGAGAAAGUUUCAAAAUUUUCAGCUGAUUGAAAGUGGUCUCAUUUUUUUAAGCCAAAUUAAAUUUGUGAAUACAUACAUACAUUAAUUUGUUGAAUGUUAAAAUUGAAUUAGAAUGAAUGUAAAAAAUGUGCAACCCAAUGGAGCUAGUAAUUAUAAUCGAAGAUAAAAAGAAAUUAACAAUAAAAAAAUUAGUAAAAAAUCAAAGGUAAAAACAAUUUAACAAUUAAACAAAAAAUAGUAAAAAAAGGGAAAGAAAAAGGCGUGCUCAAACCCAAGACCUCGUUGUUAUUAGUACACAAUAAAACCAACGCCUCUAAAUAUACUUUUUGAUGACUUAACCAAACAUUUUUUAAAUUUAUACGGUUAUGAAAACAUGUAUGGAUAUACUACCCUAAUAAAUUUUUUGUGCCCCUGAUUUUUUGAGGCCUUAGACGAUCAUCGUUAGGGCCGGGGCCGACCCUGACGACAACCACGAAAAUGUCCCUGAACUUAGACCUGGCAAUUUCUUACACGACCCUUUAAUACGACACGUAAAUGACACAAAAAUAAUGGGUUUCGGGUCAAUAUGAUAACUAAUUGAGUCAUUAUCGGGUCACACUAUAAUAACCCGUUAAUAACGGGUAUAUUAUAAAUAUUGAGAUUAAAAAUCAUAAAACACAUUAAAAAUAAAAAUAUCAAGUAAUUUAAAAAUACCAAACACAUUAAAAAAAAUUAUAAUAAUUCAUUUACAUGUGCGAAAAAUAUGAAAAAAUAUGCAAACGCUCGUAGUCGCAUCCUCUACGUUUGAGGAUGGGUAUAUGAUCGUUUGAAUUUUUAAAACCAUACAAACUCUCAUGAAUAGUAUUUUUAAGGGAGUUCAAAAUAAACAAAAUUCAUAAUCAUUAAUGUAUAAAGUCUGAAAGAUGUGAAAGCAUAAUAAACGUUCAUAAUUGCAUCAUCAAUGCUUAGACGAUGGUUACAUGGUUGUUUAGAUUUUUAAAACCAACAAUGUUUUGUAUUUGAGUGCAAAAUUAAUAAAAUUAAUAAUAAUUAUUGUAGAAGUGUGAAAAAUGUAAAUACUCGUAAUGAAAAACUUUACAACUUUCAUGAAGGGGUCAAUGUAAUGACCCGUCCCUAAAAAUUAUGAUUUUUAUAAUUUUAAUACGCGGGAUUACGAAAAUGCCCUUCGAGGCAAAUACGUUGACUUAUGUUGACCACCUUGUCGUGUCAUGUAAGGUUCAUUUUCUUGGCGUAUUCAGGUAGUACUCGUCAACACGAGCGUAUGAGCGCAAACGAAACUUGAUUUGGAGUUAUACGAAGAUUAUACGAACUUUUAAAUGUCGAUGGCAUUUUGGUAAUUUGCCAUUUGAAACACAUGUUGUAUCUAGAGUAGUGUGUCACGUGGGACCCACAAAUUGGUCCCUAAUCUUCUGGAACUCUCCUUCUCUUCUUUCUCUCCCGUGACUCUAUUUUCUCUCUCAUAGCUCUCAUUCUCUUUCUCUCUUGGCUCCCUUUCUUCCCGUGGAAACCAAACCAGCACCAAUCAUUUUUCCAGCGAAUUAGACCCUGAAAACAUCAUAAUCAUGUCCCUAGAAUCCCUGGAAUUGUGAAUCCAUAGUUGGUUUCGAGAAUUUUUGUGGCCGAAGGCAAGUUAGAACUCACUUUUUGGAGCUGCGGGUUUCCCUUCAAUUUUAGAUAAUUUCCAGCCAUAUCUUGAACUCUAAACAGUUUCUGGUGAACCCGUGACCUUCCAGACCAUUUUCCGACCAAACCACGGCGAGUUAGCCAUCAUUCAAGGUUGCCCAGAAAUUUCGAUGAGUUACCAGUUUUCCCGUGGACAGCCGUCUUUCAGGCCAUUUUCUGGCCACAUACGACCAUUAUUUGGACUCCAAGCUGGCGCCAAUCGUUCGUGCUAGGGAGUUGUACUGCAGACUCCAGGUUUUAGCUGCUGAAAGUUCGUAUCGACGAGGGUUCUUGGCGAAUCUCAGUAUAAGUGGCUACCUCUGAGCACAUAAUCCUUACCUACACUACUAUACUUUACUUAUGCUCCGACGUCGUGUGUGAAAUGGGUUCAUUCCCGCUUAUAGCUCACUCUUGUCUUUAGGCACUUUUAGGUUUAAAUUUAAUCACAUUUUCCAUAUCACCAUACUUUAUGGCUUCAUCACCUUCUAGGUGUCAGCCAGCAUAGCUUGAUUCGAAGUCUUAGUGGACAUUCUGGGUCGGGGUAUGUCAGUUUGGUAUCAGAGCAUAAGUUAGGCAGUAUUGCGUUCAUCACACGCGUGAUGUAAUCAUUCUUGGUUCUUGAACCUAAAUGUCGAAUCUUGCCACCUCGUCGAAUACAAAAAAAUGUAUUAGCUUUUUCUAAGUCUUGAGUGACUUAGUCGACUUAUCGACCUUUUAGAAAAUCAUUUUGGCGAAUGCCUCUAAAUUAUAAGUGAAGAAAUUCCCUCCCAAGAAAAGAUGUAAAUUUAAGGCAAGUUGAUGGCCUUCAAGCAGGGCUAAUGUAUCGAUAAAUGUGUAUCAUCAGAGACUUUACCAAUCAAUUUCAUCACUAUUCUCUAGCCAUAUGUACUAAACCUUUCGAGAUUGGAAAUCAUAAAUAGUUUUGAUUCCUUGGCAGUAUCCGUUAGAAUACCACCUAUUAGAAUCUCUAUGAAGUUUUAAUUUUCGUCGAAAUUUCCAUAAUUGUCUUGAGUGACAGUGGGGUGCUAAAAGGGUAGCACUUGAUGUAAGACCAUCAGGGGGACAAUCACUUUUGGUCCAUGGUAGCACUAAUCUUUCCAAACGCACUAGUGAUUAUUCUGGAUCUUCAGGGGGAAGAUCGACUUCCUCUAAGUCUGUCCUAAAGUAGAUUAUUAGAAAAUUCUUUUUCGGCCUUAGGACAUUCCAACUAACACUAGUUCCCGAGUUCUCUUUUGGUGACUUACUCGUCAUUUCGACAAGCAUAGGCAUCGAUAUAUGAGUUGUUACCUACAGUUAGUAAAAAUCCCUGAAGUAGUAAGUAUUUUCUUUAGAAUUAAUGAAACCACCUCACCGGGCCAAUUCUUUACCAAUCGUCCAAAACCAAUUAUCUAAGUGGGCUUUAGCUUGUGAUCAGCCUAUGAUGGCGCUAUUAACUGACUUUCCUGUCCAAUAUCCAGAAACUGUCAACUAAUAUUCUGGUGGUUGGUAUAACUUCUGAUAUUGGACAUAGGCUAGUAUCCGGGAGUGAUACCCUUAUGCCAGGACGCUGAUUUACAGUUUCAGGGUAGCGAACAAUAUCAAAAUAUCGUAUAUGCGUCAAUUAGCGGCGCAACUGGUGGACUGAUUAACAGUGACUACUUGAGCCGAAUAAAUUAAAUUGUGGAAACUUAAGAGUAGACCUUGUAUUAAGACAGUAAACUCACGGUUAUGUUAACCAUAUUACCUAUUUAGGUAAUCAAAACUUCUUCAACCAACCACUUCUCGAUCACUUUCACAGAUAAAUAGUAGGAUCAAAAUACGAAAUGACAUCUCACUGUUAGAAUGUUUGGAGUGUCAAGAAAACUGUGAAAACCUUUUAGUUCAUGUCGUAGAGUUGUUAGCAGUUUAGCACGGUCUGAGGAGGUAUACCUUUGGCAUCAUUUUUCAAAAUUCUAACGAAGGCCAAGUGAGACUUGGCUGAAGUCGCCAUUAAUACUAGGUACUUAUGGUAUUUUCCUAGUAAAGAAUAAUGCUACCAUUUUACUUAGAUGAUAGUAAACUGCAGUCGCUGAUAAGAGCAUGGUCAGUAAAAAUGGUCAAAGCGUGAACACGUAUAAGCCGAACCACAGACUAACGACAGUUUAAAAACUUUUGUAAACUACAGUUGGAAAGUAAAGAGUAAUUAGGAUUUGAUACUCGGUUAUGAUCCAAUUUGUGUAGCCAACGAGAUCUUACAUCAUCAAGAUCAAGUGGGAGAUAUUAAAAUAUGAUGGGGUGUGCUAUCCACACACCCCAUUUUACUUCUCACACACAUUUUGAUAAUUUAUGUCCGUUGAUCUUCUUUAAUUCAUUCGAUUCGAUUGUCGAAAAUUAAAAAUGUGUGUGAGAAAUAAAAUUGGGUGUGUGGAUAUCACACCCCAAUAUGAUCAUGAUGAUGUUGGCUUUACUAUGCAUAUAUUUGAUGUAUGGAGGUGCAUCGUAAGAAUGGUGUAUUGAUAUACACUUAACCAAAAAGUAUGUUAAGAGGUAUGACUUAAUAAUGAUUAUACCAAGUGUCUUAUCAUGAAAGGAUAAGACUAUUCAGAGAUGUCUCAUAACUAUCUGAAAAAGGGUGCGAUGAAAUCUAUAAAAAGAUGAUUCAUUCCUCAGACAAAUCAAUCCAAAGCGAAAUACAUUUUAUCUUCUUCCCUUUGGUGUGCUAUUUCUCCCUUGGCACUACUGCAUAGUAAUCAAUAGUCUAACGACAUUAGAGAUUGAUCCUAAUCCAUAAAAUUCUAUAUUGAAAAGCAUUUAUGAGGGAGUCGCUAUGAUUUGCACGCCAUGUUUACUGACCAAGUGGUGAAUGCAAGAAAUGUGAGUGAUGUUUGGAAUGUAGGGUUGCAGACGGAGCAUGGAAUUAAGGGCACGUUUACUAAUCUAUAGUUAGAUUGAGAGGAAUUGAAUUGAGGAGGAAUUGGAUUGAGGAGGAAUUGGAAUGAGGUGGAAGUAGAAUCAGAUUCCUGUUGAAGUUGUUUACUAAAACUGUCUGGAAUCGGAGAGGCAUGAUGUUGGUUAUAUAUAAGUUGUUUACUAAUUCACUGGAAUCGGAAUUAAAACUAGCUUGAUUACUAAAUUGCCCUUAUUUAAAUAAAUUAUUUUUAUACUAAUUAAUCAAACUAAUUUAUUGCGCAAAAAAAAAAAAAAAGAAAACUAAUUUUAUAUACCAAAAUUUAUCUAUAUAAAAAAUAAUUAAAGAUGUUUCUUUUUGUUAGAAGAUGGUUAUUUCCAUUUGCCCCCACCACAUAAAACCAUCCUGAAAGCUUUAUUUUCCCAGUCGCAACAACCUUCCCCCAUCCUCGCUUUUCCAUGCCCUCCACCCCACUUACCCCUAUAGCCACCGCCCCUAGCCCCAAUUUCUUAAACCCUUUAUCUCUCUCCUCUAUGCCCUCCCUCUCCGCUUUCUCGGUUACUCCCGCCAUGGUUUGCAAUGUCGUUCAAUCCAACGCAUCUGUGAAAGCUGGUGAGUGGGUUGAAGUUCAGAGAUCUUAUAUAUGCUUCCUGAGUGGGUUGCCUACUAUCGAUCGUAGUGGGUAUGAUGUUUGGCUGAUGGGUUCUUUUUUUUUUCUUUUCAUUUUCUCUAAAUUUGAAAUUUUGAUUGUUGAAGUCAAGGAUGGGUGCGAUAAUUCUACAUAUGGUGGCUGUUAUAUUUGUGGUGGUUUUAGGAGGGGUUGUGAUAGGCCUGGUGGGUACGGUUGUUAUUGUGUCCAUUAAUGGUGGUAGAUUUGGGAAAGACAAAAGAUUGAGUGGGUGGUCUGGGCUUGUAGAGGAGUUGGAAAGUAAAACUGCAAGGAGUGUUUCGAAAUUAGAAAAAAAAACUAUGGGGGUAAUAUUGGUACAUAAGGUGGAUUCUUGAUAGGCUUCAUUUCGGGGAAUUCAAUUACCACCUCAAUGUCGAGAAUUGAAUUCCGGGAGUUUGGGGAGUCUGAUUCCCUAUAUUAAGUGGGGUCCCACACAUUUUUUUCAUUCCCAAGUGUUAGUAAACGGAGGAAUGAUCAGGAAUGGGGAAUGACUCCCAUUCCGCCAUAUCCAUUCCCUAUAUGUAACCACGCCCUAAGAUAGGUGAGGUUGAAAGAACAACUAGAAGAUUGAUGGUUGAGAAAGAAUAAACCAAGAGACAGCCCUAAAAGUGCAGGACAUGAAUGCUUCAUCAUCCUUCACGACUUGAACAUCGCACCACAGUGAUUGCAUCCACAUAAAGGAAGCCAAUGGGAAGAGGCUACCGACAAGCUACAUAGCCAAUAAAGGCGAAGACAUGGAAGAAGGUGGUGCGAACACCCGAGCUGAAGCUCUACGCACCUUCCAAAUAAAACACAAGUCGCUAAGGCCAUCUCCAACCGAAAGGGUCCAGAGGGCCAGAGGGCCGAAAAUAACCCCGAAAACCGUCUUCAACCGAGGGCUAGGCCAGAGGGCUCUGGAAUCUGGGAGGGCCCCACGGAAUCGAAAAGGGCUGGAGGGCUGGCCAUUUUUUUUAUUAAUGUUUUGUUAUUACUGUCGGUUAUAGCCGACAGGAAUACCGACAGUAAUACAUUUAUACUAAAUAAUAUAAAUGUAUUCCUGUCGGUUAUAACCGACAUGAUUUCUUAAGAAAGAAUUCAAAUGCAACGGCUAGCUGACUAGCCGUUGCAUUUGAUUUUUAUUUUUUUAUUUUUUUAUUUAUUUUUUUACAGUUUUAUUAUUAUUUUUUAUUUACAAAUUUUUUCAUAUAACUUCUAUUUUUUCCUAUAACUUUUAUUUUACAAAAUUUGUUUCAUAUUUUUUUUAAAUUCCAUUUUUUCCUAUAACUUCUAUUUCAAAAAAUUUGUUUCAUUUUAUUUUAAGUUGUAGUUUUUAAAUAAUAAAUUAUGUUUGGCCUUAUGGCCCUCUGACCCUCGGUUGGAGACGCUUUUUUGUGACAGGGCUAAAACGAGCCAUCUGGCCCUCUGGCCCUCGAUUGGAGAUGGAGGAAAAUAUGGUCUUGUACUGUUCAUUAAAAUAUUAAUAUCUUGGAGGAUCUUAGAGGGCCAGAGAGCUAAAACGAGCGCUCUGGCCAGCCAUCGGUUGGAGAUGGCCUAAGAAGAUCAAUUGCAAACAUGGUUUGAUGUUGAAUCAAAGGAGGACUAGGAGCAGGGAGAAGGGUGAGGAUUGGAUUCAUGAGAUUCAUGGUGGUGGGUGGGCAGCAGGAAGUGGAGGAAAGGAGAAACAGGGAGUUUGAAACAAAAUUAGGGCUAAGAAAUCUAAGGCAAGAGGGAGUGGAGGUCAAGGGAAAUCCGAGAUGCAAAGCAAGAAAAACCAAACUAAAAAAAAGGAAACAAGAAGAUACAGGACUGCCACCCCAGGCCGCAGCUAGGAUCGGCGGUUGCAACGUUUGGAGAAAUAAAGAAACUCUCACAAGCGGAGAGAAGUGCUUUCACAGAGAGAGAAGAGCUUGGACCCCUAAAAUAUGCCUAUUUGCCAUUUUGGUUAAGCACAUCUUAUUGUUAUAAAUCGUUUCUUUAAGAAACUCGGUGUAAUUUAUUCAAUAAAAUUAAAAUUAAAAUUGUUGGGUUGAAUUAUGUGUAUACAUAAAUAUAGAAUUUUAGCAAUGUACUAACUACGUUUUUUAAGAAAGUUUUAAUAAAAAGGGUCUUAUUGUGAUAUACAUUUUAAUACGUGUGGUUGUGCAAAUCUUAAAUAGAGAUAAAUUAUGAAUCCUUUGGAAGCUAGAAGAUCUUUAAUAUUAAACUUUGUAUAACCCGAAGAGCAAAGCAAAGUUUCUCUCAUGUUUAUUAUUAUAUAUAAAGACACUAGGUCUAAGCAAUAACACAUAAUUUUUCAAGCUUAUUCUCCAUAUCUCUUUCUCUCUUGUCGUGUUCCCUCUCCCUCUUCUCAAUUAAUCAUGUUGCAAACCUCAUCGACAAAGAGGGAGAUUGAGUUUUCAUGUUUUUUUUUCAUUCAAUUUUAUUAUUAUUUGAUAUUUCUUUUAAAUUUAAAUUAGCAUUUUCCUUUUUAGUGAUAAUACACUCAUCAUCCAAGUUAAUUAAUGUUUAAAAAUCUUCAAAUCACUCUUAAUCAAGAUCAUUGGGUGUUAUAAGAUUUAAAGACUACAAAGAAGUGUUAAAAUAUUUAUCAAAAUAUUUAUAACUUGAUCUUAUCCCUUUAAUUAUAAAUGUGUAAAUAAUAUGAUCUAAAACUCCAAUGAUGACAUAUCCCGAGUAGCUGGUAUAAAUAAGCAACUUUGGCCAUCAAUCAACCGCAUAUUCAGGCCAAGCAACCACAUAUUCCCUAUUAUUACGACAGUAGCACAUUAAGUCAUAAAUCUUCAACGAACUACAUUUGUGUUGAACUCUCCUAUGGCACAGUGAACUUGUAUGACCCUACCAAUUUAAUUGAUUUAGGGCACAAUACGUUGAGACCUUUCAUAUACAUGUAUAAUUGGCCUCCUGUCCUCCACACCUGCCCCCUGUAUACAAUUUAUUGACAUUGUUGAACAAAUAUCGCGGCCGAUCAUGACACACCACUUCACAUUAAUGGUAUUGUCGUGAAUGAUGAAUAUACUUUCUGUUUUGUCGAGCCCCACAUUGCCGAGCCCCUUAUCAAUUUAACGAGAUGGGAUCCUCAUCAGAUUUUUUUGGAAGGAUCUCGAGGAUUCUUUAACUCUUUUUUUUAUCGUAUAUCUUAUAGUUCGAAAUUAUUUUAAAUUAUAUUAUUUAAAAUUAAAUACAAAUAAUACAUGAUAAAAACUGACCGCACGAUGUACGAUAAAUAGACAUAAUUAAAAGAUCUCCGAAAUCCUCACAAAGAGAAUAUGGCGAUGAUCCUAUCUCCAAUUAACCACAUAUUAUUAGUUGUGAAGUUUUAUUACAAAAUGUUACGAUAAUAUUAGUAGUCAACCUCCUAUAGUUAAACUGUAUUAUAUAUUAUUUUGGUAUUUUUUUAAUGUGAUGCUCUAUUCUCCAACAAAUUCUCUAUGUAAGUAACAUUAACUCAAAAUUUUCAUUUAGUAUUCGGAAGAACUUAAGUCAGGGCAUUGAGUUAUUCAUGAAAGUCGAACUUAAGACAUCUUUUACUAAUAAAAAUAAAUAUUAUUAGACUGUGAUCAAUGCUAAGUAACUUUUUAUGGACUAUUUCUCAAUGUCCCCGCAAAUACUUGAAAAAGGAUUGGCCUCGUAUAACGCUAGCCAGGUAUAUGUGUGUAACGUGUAAAUAAUCAGUCCACAUUAUCAUUCUUUAGUGCAAGUUUUUCUAAAUAAUGUACGUUUAAAUUUGGGAUCCAAUAAAAUAAGAAUAAUGCUACACUUAUUAUAUUUUUUGUGGAGUACAAUUUUCUCCCUUCCACAUUCCUCCCCUUCAUUCCCCCCCCCCUCUCUCUUUCCUUUUUGUCUCUCUCUGUAAAAAAAAAGUCCACAUAAUAUGUUGACAUGACUUAAUCAUAAUCGUUUAAAUAGAAGGUGAAGAAGGAGAUGAGAAAAUCUUACUCUAUUUUUCAUACCACAUUUGUACUACAUUUCUAAUAAAAGUAGGAUCCACCAAUACAAAUGAUUUUCAUCUCUAUUAGAAGAAUUAUACUAUAAUAUAAAAAUGUAGUAUUUUUGAUAAAAUAAUGUACUCCUAUCAUUGUUUUUAAGUAAAAUGACAUGUAGCUACUCAAAAUAUCGAUAACAUUAAUGAUAUAAACCCCUGUUCUGAUUCUAUCCCCUCCUAAUCUCUCUCUCCCCUUCCCUUCCCUCUUACUUGAACGGUUACGAUUAAAAAUCCUACGCCCUGUUCUAGAGCUGGUCAAUAUUCUACACUAUAAAGGCGUCUCCAUAACCAUUAUCCACACCCGGUCCAACUCCAUCAACCUUUCAGCUCUAAACCCGCACUACACUCUACCACUCUAAACAAAAAUCAUCAACAGAAUAUACAAUCAAAUAGAAAAAUCCUAGUUUUUCAACCACAAGUUACAACUACUGAUCCGAAAUCACCAAAACCCAAUUGAAGCACAUAAGCCAAAUUCAAAAUCAACGCACCAAUUUGUCUUCACUCUUAAAGGUUUAAUGUUUAAUAGUCACAGUCAGUCAGUCAGUCACCACCCUGUCCUUUGCCUACCUCCUAUCGUUGGCGUGGCACCAUUUGUCUAACGUGUAUUGAGGAAAGCCUCUGAAUUGGCUUAGUAGAAGAAAGUAUUUGGUCGAAAUUUCAAUGUAGGUCAAGUUGGACUUGAUUGAAUUUGCCAUUAAUACUUGGUACGGAUGGUAUUUUCUUAGUCAAGAGUAAUGCUAUCAUUUUACUUGAACGCUAGUAAAAUGGAGUCACUGAUAAAAGUGUGGUCAGUAAAAGUGGUCAAAUUGUGAGUACGUAUAAGUCAAACCACGGACUAACAAAAGUUUACAAAUGUUUGUAAACUAUAGUUGGAAAGCCCAGGGCAAUUGGGAUUUGAUAUUCGGUAAUGAUCCAAUCUGCGUAGCCAACGAAAUCUUACAUCAUCAAGAUCAAGUGGGAAAUGUUGGAAUAUGAUCAUGAUGAUGUUAGCUUUACUAUAUAUGUACUUGAUGUAUGAAGGUGCACCAUAAGAAUGGUGUAUUGACAUACACUUAAUCAAAGGGUAUGAUAAGAUGUAUGACUUAAUAAGGGUUAUACCCUUCUAUAAGUGAAUUGUCUUAUCGUGAAAUGAUAAGAUCAUUUAGAAAAGCUUCACAACUCUCUGAAAAUGGUACGAUGAAGUCUAUUAAAGGAGGAUUCAUUCAUCAGACAAAUCAAUCCAACUUGAAUUGCAUUUUCUCUUCUUCCCUUUGGUGUGCUAUUUCUCCCUUGGUUCUACCGCAUAGUAAUCAAUAAUCUAAUGACAUUAGAGAUUGAUCCUGUAAUCCAUCAAAUUCUACAUUGGAAAGCAUUUGUGAGGGUGUACCUAUGAUUUGCAUACCAUGUUUAUUGACCAAAUGGUAAAUGCAAGAAAUGUGAGUGAUGUUUGGAAGGGGGGCUGCAGUUGGAGCAUGGAAUUGAGAGAGGUGAGGUUGAAAGAACAAUUAGAAGACUGAUGGUUGAGAAAGAAGGGGAAGUGAUCAAAGAGAGAGCCUUAAAUUUGAUGCAAAAGGCAAAUCGUCGCCUCAAAGAAGGUGGCUCUUCGUACUAAUUUUUGAAAGGAUUGGUUAAACACAUCUUAUCGUUAUAAAUCAUUUGUUUAAAAAACUCAGUAUCAUUUAUUCAAUAAAAUUGAAAUUAAAAUUGUUGGGUUGUAUUAUAUGUAUACAUAAAUAUAGAAUUUUAGCAAUGUAUUAACUAGGUUUUUUAGAAAGUUUCAAUAAAAACGGUCUUAUUGUGAUAUACAUUCUAAUACGUGUGAUUGUACAAAUCAUAAAUAGAGAUAAAUUAGGAAUUCUUCGGGAUUUAGAAGAUAUUUCCUAUUAAACCUUGUAUAAUCUGGAGAGAAGUUUCUCUCCUGCUUAUUGUUAUAAAUAAAGACACUAGAUUUGAGCAAUAACAUACACACAAAAUUCCUCAAACCUAUUCUUCAUCUCCCUCUCUCUUGCCGUGUUCCCUCUCCCUCUCCCUCUCCUCAAUUAAUCAUAGAAGAGUCUUCAUCCAAGGCAUGAAAGUUGCAGACCUUAUCCACAAAGAGGGAGAUGGAGUUUUCAUGUUUUUGUUUUUUAUGUUUUUCUUAUUUUUUUCAAUUUUAUUAUUAUUUGAUAUUUGUGUUUUCCUUCUUAGUGAUAAUACACUCAUCAUCCAAGUCAUUUAAUGUUUAAAAACUGCAAAUCACUCUUAAUCAAGAUCAUUAGUGUUAUAAAAUUUAAAUACUACAAAGAAGUGUAAAAAUGUUUGUCAAAAUCUUUUUUCCCCUGAUCCAACCCUUUAAUUAUAAAUGUGUACAUAUUAUGAUUUAAAUCUCCAAUCAUGGCAUUUCCCAAAUAGCCAGUAUAAAUAAGCAACUUUGGCCAUCGAUCAACCACAUAUUCAAGCCAAACAACCACAUAUUCCCUAUCCUUGAGAUAGUAGCACGCUAAAUCCUAAGACUCCAACGAACCACAAUUAUGUUGAACACUCCCAUAGUUGAUAUGGCACAUGAACUUGUAUGACUCCACUAAUUUAAUUGAUUUAUGACUCAAUACGAUGAGGCCUUUUGUAUGAGAAAUUUUUCAUUGUGACCAGAACACGGGUAAUACAUUAUGUUUUUUUUAUAUAAAUGGCGGGAAAUUUUAUUUUUUAAGUUAUUAAUUUUUAAACAUAUAUAUCCACCAUUUAUAUAAUGACACGUGAUGUACUAUCCUAUAUUCUAAUUGCAUUAAAAAACCUCUCCGUUAUAAUUGGCCUCCUGCCCUCCAUGCUUGCCUCCUGUAAACAAUUUAUUGACAUUGUCAAACAAAUAUCGCGGCACAUAAUGACUCACCACUUCACAUUAAUGGUAAUGUUUAAUUGUCAUCACCAUCCUCUCCUCCACACCUAACUCCUAUGUGUGUACAACGUAAACAAUUUAUGCGAUAGAAUAAAUAUCGCGGCCCAUCAUGACUCAACUUUACAUUAAUAGCAUUGUCGUGAAUUUAACACAUUGUUUUAAAAAUUUCCGUCUAACGUUGCUUACUCCCCGUCUAGGUGCUGCGAUGCUAGGCGGCUGGCCACCGUUUUGAUUAGUUCCUAUACAUUUGAAAAUUAAGAAAAUACGCAUAGACCUGCCCGAUGAUUUCUGGUUAUGGCCAGAAAAUAGCCUAAAAGGUGACUGGUCUGCGGGAAAACUGGAAAACUCGUCGAAAACUGUGUAAACUUUAAACGUUCAUAACUUCUUCAAUACUCAACGAAAUCGAGUGAUUCAAAAUGAAAAUCAUAUUUCUUGACGAGACGAAGAGAAUGAAAUCUUUCUUGACUGCUAACUCGCCGUGGUUUGGCCGGAAAACUGCUCGAAAGUGGCUAACUCAAAAAUGGUUAGCCAUUUUCGAGCCGUUGUCCGACCAAACCAAGGCGAGUUAGCCUUCGAAAAAGGUACCAUUCUCUUCGUCUCAUCAAGAGGUAUGAUUUUCAUUUUUGAAUCACUAGAUUUCAUUGAGUAUUGACAAAGUUAUGAACGUUUAAAGUUUACCCAGUUUCCAGCGAGUUUUCUUGUAUCACCUUUCAGGCUAUUUUUCGGCCAUCUCCGGCAACCAUUGGGCUUCCAAAUAGGUAUAAUCUUAUUCUACACUUUCCUAUCUUCAUUUUGAUAUAUUAUGGGUCGAAUUUGGUUAAGAAACGAUUGAGUUACAAAACUAUGAAAAUUGCCCAAAGAGUUUUUAACGGAAUGACCAAAAUCAUGGAUGGUGGACAAUCUCAGGGGCCAUUUCUAUUGAUCAUGCAAAUCUCAAGGACUAUUUUGUAUAAUAACCCUAAUCUAUAUGUAAUUUUAUUUUACAAUUGCUGUAUCACAAUACAAUUAUGUAUUUUUUUUAAAGUAUAAAUAGACACUUAUUAUCAGUGACUUUUAAAAAUAUAUUGAAAAUGCUCUCUAGGGUUUUCUAGGUUUUCUCUCUAGGGUUCCCUAGGAAAGCGACGGCAAGGAAAUUAUGGCGGGCAGCGCCGAAGGGUUUUUAGUUCACGAUUUCACAAUUGGAUAUGGAGGCGUAUUCUUCAUUUGGGGAGGGAAAAGUGCUGGGGUCUAUUCAAGGGCGGUGUGCAGUUUAUGCAGAGGCGUAUGGAGGAUAUGUUGGAAAAUUUCGCAACUAGGCUGGUGCUUACUACUGAAGAGCAAAUGGUGGUUGUGGUUGAUGACAAUGAGGGUUUAUCCCUCAAAACAUCCAAAGUGUUCUUAGUAGGAAAGGUUCUUUCUCAUAAGCCUGUUGGGAAGGAUAGGUCUAGGAGACGUAUGAUGCAUCUUUGGUGUCCAAAGGCUCGGGUAACGGUGGUAGAAUUGGAUGAUGAUUUGUUCUUGUUUGGCUUCGAGAAUAAACAAGAGCAAACAAUGGUGGUAAAAGGCAGUCCUUGGUUGUAUGACGGGGCUUUGUUGCUAUUGGCAGAAGCUGAUACAUUGGCUAACCCUAAUAAGAUUCCACUCUACGCCCAGGAGUUUUAGGUUCAAAUCAAGGGUUUGCCUCUUGGGUAUAUGACGCAGAAUAUGGGGUAAUUUAUCAGAAAUCAGACAGGUAAACAUAUUCUCACGGAUCAAAGCUGAAAGGGAGAAUUGGAAGGUCGAGUGCUACGUAUACAGGUGAAGUUGGAUGUUAUGAAACCUUUUCGCAUGAGUUUGCUACUUUAUAUUGAGGGUUUCGUGGUGAGUGUUGAUCUUUGCUAUAAGAAGCUUCCAAUCAUACGAUAAUUAUGUGGACUUGUUGGUCAUAUGGAAGAACGAUGUGAGAAGUUUUCAGCGAAGAAUGAAGAUAAUUUAACGAAACCUUACGGUCGAUGGUUCCAGAAUGAUGUUCUUGAAGCCAACUACCGUCGAACACAGGGUACUCGUUUUGGCUUGGAGCCUUCACAUGGAUGGUCAACGAAAGCAUCGAUGGACGUGAAUGAGGAGGAGUUUAAUUACUCUUCGAUGGUUCGGCCUCCAGGACGGCUGUGUCUAGAUUAGUGGCGAAGGGGGAUGAUGAAUUGGAAAACAGUACAGUGGGGAAUGAUCGGAAUAAUAGGAUCAAUAAUGAGGGCGUCGACUUAGAUGAGAUGUCCAUUGAUGACCUAGCUGUUGUCCAUUUUCAGGAACUUCCAGUUGAUCUAGCGUUGAUGGGGACUAAUCAGGGGGACAUAUCAAUUGACUCAUGUGGUUUGAGACUCUUUGGGUUUGAUUUGAAUGUCCCGAAUGUUGAUAAUGACAUGUUUCGAGGAGUACAUGCUUGAUGUUAACUGAUGGGCCCAAUGAAGCAUACAAUAAGGAUGAGGUGAGAGGGAGUGGGCUUAUGUUUAGUUCUAAUAUCGUUCAGCAUCAGGUAUCCUUUCAUCAGGGGCUGCCUCCUCAUAGCAGGCAGUUUGAGGAGGGAUCUAAUGUUGUGGGGUUUGGAAAGUUUGAGAUGGGGUCUGACCCAUUUAACCUUAUGCCAAUUGUUGAACAAUUGCAGACAAAGAGGAGGAGGAAGUCAAAACGAGUUAGGAGGGUGAGGGGCACAGCUCAACGUGGUACCCCCUCUUCUGCUCAAGUAUCCACAAGUACAAGGCUACCGGCUUUAGGGAAACGUGCUGAGCGUGAAGAGAAUGAUAUUUUGGCACCUUCUAGUGAACGUAGAAUGAUUAUGGUCAAUGAGGUUGAUUCUAUUUUAUCAGCAGAGGUUGACGGUGGUCAAACCCGCCGGUCUCAAUAAGUUGCAUGAGUUGGAACUGCCGGGGGCUUGGGAACCUCCGUGCAGUUCAUGCGCUUCAACGUUUGAUUUUGAAUAAAGAUCCCACCGUGGUGUUUCUUUGUGAGACGAAGAGCAACGUUCGUUACUUGGAACGCCUACGGAUGAAGUUGAAUUAUGAUAGAAGUUUUACAAUUGCUAGUAAUGGAAAUUCGGGAGGUUUAUGUGUAUUAUGGAAGGAAGAGAUUGACUUGAGAUUGUAGUCUUAUUCAAAUAACCAUGUUGACUUUGAUGUGGAGGAGCCUGGGGAUCGUAGAUAUUGGAGGCUGACUAGGUUUUAUGGCUAUCCGGUGGUUUGUGAUAGGUAUAAGUCAUGGCAGCUAUUGGAUACACUCUAUGGCGAUGAGUCAAGUCCUUGGUUGUGCAUAGGCAAUUUUAACGAAAUUCUGCAAGUACACGAACAUGUGGGGGUAAUAUUCGGAGUGAGAAUCAAAUAGAGGGCUUUCAAAACAUUGUAGAGAGGUGUCAUUUCAACUAUUUGGAUUAUUCUGGGAACAUCUUUACGUGGUUUACAACCAGAGGGGGUGGUAUCAAGGUACAUCUGGAUCGUGCUUUGGGUACACAAGCUUAGUUUGAUUUGUUUCCGAGGUUCAGGUUGUAACACUUAAAUAAAACAUCUUUUGACCACGUCCCAAUCCUGCUCACAUGGGAUGAGAGGUGUAUUAGCCGAGGGAAGAGACAUUUCUGGUAUAAGAAGGCCUGGAAUAUGCAUGAGGGAUGUGAUGAGGUGAUAGGGCAAGGUUGAGAUACUAGUGUGGAAGGCUCGACUAUUUUUCAGGUGACUGAGAAGAUCAAAGCCACAAGAAUGUUGUUGAAUAGGUGGGCUCGAAGUAACAUAAGGUUAGGGCCGCAAGAAAUUAGGGAAGUUAAGGAUAAACUCACGAGUUUGCUGGGGCAGCCGUUGACAAGUGAGUCCAUUAAACAAAAGAAAGUACUGGUAGGACGGUUGAAUCUCUUACUUGAGCAGGAGGUACUCUUCUGGCGACAGAGAGUGAAGGAAAAUUGCGUGAGGCUUGGGGAUCAGAAUACGAAAUAUUUUCAUCAGAAAGCUAAUAAAAAAAAAAAAAGGAAUUGGUUGCAUGGCCUUACGGACAAGGGUGGGGUGUGGCAUGAGGACCAAAAGGGUAGGGAGAAUGUCGUGCUUUCCUAUUUUACCAGCUUGUUUACAUCGAAUGAUGCUACCAUGUUUGAAGAAGUUUUGAGUAACAUAACGCCUUUGGUAAUGGAGGAUAUGAACGUUGAGCUCAAGAGACCUAUGUCGGAUGAUGAAGUAAAGUGUGUUGUGUUUCAAAUGCACCCUACUAAGGCUCUGAGGCCUGAUGGCAUGACUCCAGGGUUUUACCAAAAGCAUUGGGGAAUUGUAGGGUUGGAUGUAUGUAGAGGAGUUUGUGAAAUGGUGUUAUCUGGUCAUAUACUACGUAAGAUCAAUUACACUCAUGUCACUUUGAUUCCCAAAGUGAAAGAAGUUACGAAGAUGUCUCAGUUGUGACCUAUCAGUUUAUGCAAUGUAAUUUAUAAAAUUAUGUCGAAGCUGUUAACAAAUCGUUUGAACUCUGUUCUUCCUCGUAUAAUUUCCCUCACUCAUAGUGCGUUUAUUCCUGGGAGGUUGAUUUCAGAUAAUUAUUUGGUGGCGGCGGAGGUUGCUCACUAUAUGCAUAAAAAUCCUCGAGGAUGAAUGGUUUUAAGGCAUUGAAGCUGGAUGUUAGUAAGGCCUACGACCGGUUGGAAUGGCAUUUUUUGGAGGCCAUCAUGACUCGGAUGGGUUUUUCACCGAGUUGGGUUCGAAUGGUUAUGUUAUGUGUGACCAUUAGUUACAACUUCAAUGUAACUGUCUAAUCCAAAUUAGUUUGAAUCUCAUUAGGUUUCCCUCCAAGACUUUAAAUCCGGAUAUUGCAUUAGUGCAUUAGUUAGGCUAAGUUCAAUAUAUAUAACUCACUUAACUUAUAAUGUUACACUUGUCAAAUGUUUGAUGAAACUCACAUUAAGUUUCUUACACAAAUCACCCCAGAAAAGUGUGUAGGAAGAUGAGAAUAUUUUGAGUUGAUUUUAUUGUGAUUGUCUUCUUACACCAUUCAAAUUCAAAGUCUAAGUAAGUUAAUGAUGCUGCUUCUGGAUCCUAAUAUGGUAGCAAUGAUACUGAAGAACUAAUUAGGUUUUAGUUUUAGGUGUAAUUAAGUUUUAGUUUUGAGGGUCAUUAGGUCUAUUUAAGUGAAUUUUUUACUAUAUUUGAAUUGUUUUAUAAAAAAUGAUAUUUAAGAAUUUGUGGAGUAAAUUUUUGCUAUAAAUGAUAAAAACCCCGGCAAAUCUCACCCUCUGGUACCACUCUCCUCCGUCGAACACUAACGUACCCCUUCCUCCAACCUUUCCGUUGAUUCUAGCCCUAGUAGUUCUACCAACCUCUCUUCUCUGUCGAACCCUCUCCUCCGCUGAAACCUCCAUCUUCCGUCGAACCGAUCCCCAAUUCCUCCUUCGUGGAGCCCAUCCCCAAUCCCUCAUCCGUCCUCUCCUCCAUUUGAUUCACAGUCGACCUCACUCAUCCACCGAAUCAGAUCACCUAAUAAACUAAAUCAGUCAUUUCUAAUGAACUAGAAGCAACAAUAUACAUGGUUUCAAUGAUUUUGAGGUUAAGGUCAUUUUCUAAAAAAUCAUGCAUCAAAUUGUAUCUGGGAUGCGCAGAACUAUGGUUGCUCGCGAGAAAGAAUGAGUGUGUUUGGUUACGCAUGAAAGAAAAACAGGAGUACUGGCAACCAUGGCAAAGUGAUAUUCUCUAAUAGCAACUCUAGCCCUAUCUUUUAGGGCUGAUUUGGUAGUACUUUGCUUAAAAAAAAAAAAAAAAACUAUUUAUGCUAUGUUGUGAAAAUAAGAUCAUUUUUGCUGCUUCACGUUUUUAGUUUUUUUUUCACCCAAAGUGAAAAUAAGUUGUUUUUAAGUGUUUACCAAACACUUUUUUAAGCUCAGUUUUUUUUUUAUACCCACUUUUUAUAAAAGCACAUUAGUAUCAAAUCAGUACUUAGGCUGGCCCAAAGCCUACAAAAUAGGCUGGUACCCAAAAACUCCACCCCACUCUUAAAAAUAUGCCGGUCCAAAGUCUAAGUCAGUUUGUAGGUCGAUCCAAAAUAAACUGAGGUAGGAACUGACCUAUCUAACGUCAUACUGACACCAGCAUAACGUCAGCGAACAAUAGGGUUGGAGUUGCUCUAAGUGGUCCACUUAAUAAGUUGGCCAGAAUACUCGUCCAUCAAUAAAUUCUACUUUGGACCAUUGGAGAGCAUUUAUGAGCCGGUCCCUAUGAUUUGCAUGCUAUGUUUUACUGACCAAAUGGUGAAUGCAAGAACUGUAAGUGACAAUUUAUUCACGUUGUCGAACAAAUAUCGUGGCCAUCAUGACUCACCACUCACGUCACAUUAAUGGUAUUGUCAUGAAUUUAACCACAUAUUAUUAGUUGUAAAGUUUUAUCACAUAUUAUUAGUUGUAGAGUGGUGUGAGUUUAUGGGUUUUAUAUGUACAACGUGAGACCCAACCACUUCUUGUUUUUCUCUAUUUUAUGAUUGGCUACCUAUUUUCUUUUUCUUGUUAUUUAUUUUAUAGGCUUGACACUCAUGAGUUUAAUAUAUUGAACUUAAAAAUAGAAUCACCCUCAUAGCACUCAGAUUUUUGGGCAUAUUGUAAGAAAUUAAUUCCUAUAUUAUUGGUAUCAUACUUACUUUUCUGGUCUGUUGUAGAAGGUUUUAGCGGGAUUAUACAAAUAUGAUAUUUAAAAUGUGGUAGUAGUAAUAUUUUUGAUAAACUAAUGUAUGUCUAUCAUUUUUUUUAAAUAAACCGACAUAUGGUUAGUCAAAAUAUCAACAAUAUUAAUGAUAUAAAUAAUAGUCGUGAACCCAUGAAAUAUUAACGUAAUUAUCAGUAUUAUUAAAUAAUCAGACAUGUGACAUAAUGAGACAACAUAACCUAAAUUGCACUCCUUGUUAUAAAGUCAUAAAGUUGUGAAACUUUUUUUUUGUUUCUGCUAAAGGUGACACGCUUAACUUGUGGUAAAACAAGAGUUUCCACUGACCCAGUAAUCUAUAUAUACAUGAAAUUCAUAAGCUCACAAGUCACACAAAGGUAAGCAAAAACAACAUUCUUUGACCAAAAAGAAAAAAAAAAGCAAAAAGAAACAUUCUCGAUUCAAAAAUGGAGCAAAGCAAGGGCAGGAGAGUGAUCCUCUUCCCACUGCCGUUUCAAGGCCACAUAAAUUCUAUGCUAGAACUGGCCAACGUUCUACACUCCAGAGGCUUCUCCAUAACCAUUAUUCACACACGCUUCAACUCCCUCAACCCUUCUACCCUAAACCCACACUUCACGUACCAUUCAAUCCCUGUCGACUUCUCCGAAACCGAGGCCGCCUCGAGGGAUCCCAAAGGUUUUUUUUAUCUUCUCAAUGUUAGAUGUAUCGAGCCUUUCAGAGAAUGCCUGGCCAGGUUGUUAUCGGAUGAUGUUAAGUUGGAAGGCCCCGUUGCUUGCUUGAUCUCAGACACUCUUCUUCACUUCACUCGACCCAUUGCGGAGAGUUUUAAGCUUCCGAGGAUCUUGUUAGAUGUCUCGUGCGCCACUAAUUUUGCUGUUUUGGCUGUGUUUCCGCUUCUCAAGGAAAAGGGUUACCUCCCAAUACAAGGUACAUCAGAUAUAUGCUUCUUUCUUUCUAUGUUGGUUACAACAAAAUAACUCAUUACCAUUAUUAGUUGCAUAAAAUAGAGUUGCUAAUUUUUUUUUUUUUGACACAGAUAGUGCUUUUAUCAGAAUAAUUGUCAAAUAUUACAAAAUGUCUUUUUACUCGCCAUUGGUACAUAGUAUUACUAGUUCACUGGUUAUAAACAUGAUUGAACUGAUGAUAAUAUACAAAUACUUGAACAACUUAUAUUUGGCUUUCUAUUAUAUUGGCAAUAAUUAGAUUCUCGACUAGAAGAGGUAAUCACAGAACUAUCACCUAUCAAAGUUAAAGACCUGCCAAAGGCGCCCGGUUCCGAUCCUGAGAAUUAUUAUCAACUGGCCAUCCAAGUGUCAAAUGAACCAAAGUCUUCUUAUGGACUCAUCUUAAAUACAUUUGAAGAUCUUGAAGGACAUGCUCUGGCCAGAAUCCGCCAAGAACACCUGCCCAAUGUUCCCAUUUUCCCAACAGGUCCAUUUCACAAGUGUUGCCGUACAAUAUCCUCUUCAAGUAGUUUAUUGGCACAAGAUCAGAGUUGCAUUUCAUGGCUGAACACUCAAGCGCCCAAAUCUGUUGUUUAUGUUAGCUUUGGGAGCAUUAUUCAGAUAGAGGAAGCUCAAUUUUUGGAGAUAGCUUGGGGGCUGGCCAAUAGCAAUCAACCUUUUUUGUGGGUUGUUCGACCCGGGUUGGUUAACGGGCUUGAUUGGCUUGAAGCGUUACCUAACGGGUUUUUGGAAGCAUUGAACGGGAGGGCUUACAUUGUAAAAUGGGCUCCACAAAAAGAAGUGUUGGCCCACCUAGCAGUCGGAGCCUUUUGGACUCACAAUGGUUGGAAUUCUACAAUGGAGAGCAUUUGUGAAGGGGUCCCUAUGAUUUGUACACCAGGUUACAUUGAGCAAAUGCUGAUUGCAAGAAAUGUGAGUGAUGUUUGGAAGGUAGGGCUGCAAUUGGAGCAUGGGAUUGAGAGAGGUGAGGUUGAAAGAACAAUUAGAAGACUGAUGGUUGAGAAAGAAGGGGAAGAGAUCAAAGAGAGAUCCUUAAAGUUGAUGGAAAAGGCAAAUCGUUGCCUCAAAGAAGGUGGCUCUUCGUACCAAUCUUUGGAUGGCUUGGCCAAGCACAUUUUAUCGUUAUAAAUCGUUUGUAUAAGAAACUAAGUGGUAUUGCAAGUAGCUCUUUACCACAGUGGUGAAAAUAAGUUGAGCCCUUGCAUGAAGGCAUGAGUUUAAACCCUGUCGGUGACUAAAUAAAAGAAAAUAUAUCGUUUAACCAAAAAAAUAAUAAUAAUUACUAAGUGGUAUUAUUUAUUCAAUAAAAUAAAAAUAAAAUUGUUGGGUUGCAUUAUGUGUUUACAUAAAUAGAGGCUUUUAGCAAUGUGUUAACUACAUUAUGUGUAUAAAAUAAAAUCUCGACAAAAGCCAGUCUUCACUUUACUACCCGAUUCGCACAUUUCAACUUAAUCUUCAACUCAUUCGAACAUGUGAUGUAGGUCAGAAUACCAAUAAACCAAAACAAUAAUGGUUCUAAUUAGGCCUGACAAUUUUGUAAACGACACGAAAAUAAUAAGUUUCGGAUAAUUACUAAGUUACCCAUUAAUAACGGGUUUACACACAGGUAACUGGUGGUUAACCCAUUUCGACCUGUUAAGAAAAAAAUAUUUUGAUGAUUUGAAAGUUAAGCUACUAAACAAACUUACUAUAAAAUAUAGUAUAUAUUGUAUAUUAAAUAUGUAUUAUUGUAUUACUAUUCUACGUAAGUUAAAAAAAAAAGUUUUAUUUAUUUAUUUUUAUUAUGAGAGUUUCUUAUCAUUACUACGAUAAAUUUUACUUGACAUGGUAUCCUAAAUUCAAAUCAACUAGUAUAAUAUUAGUAUAAGCAAAAUGACAGACUUUCAAUUUCAGAGUCAACGACGUAGCAAAGUUUUUACUCUCUCUUAUACAAUCAUACUCAUAAAUGUUUCAUCCUCUUAAAAGUGAGAUUAAAACAUUAUAAAACACAUUAAAAAAUUAAAUAUCAAAGUAAUUUAAAAACACCAAACAUAUUAAAAAGUAUAAUAAUUAAUUUACAAGUGCAAAAAAUGUGAAAAAAGAAUAUGCAAAUACUUGUGAUCACAUCCUCUACGCUUUGAGAUGGGUACAUCAUUGUUUGAAUUUUUAAAAACGUACAAAGCCUCAUGAAUAAUAUUUUUAGGGGAGUUCAAAAUAAAUAAAAUUUCGUAAUAAUUAAUGUACAAGUGUGAAAAAUGUGAAAGAAUAUAUAAACGCUCGUGAUUGCAUCCUCCACGCGUAGAUGAUGGAUACAUUGUCUUUUAGAAUUUUAAACCCUCCAAACCCUCAUGAAUAGUGUUUUUAUUUGAGUUCAAAAUUAAUAAAAUUUGUAAUAAUUAUUUUAUAAGUGUGAAAAAUGUGAAAAAAAUAUACAAUCACUUAUAAUGAUAAGCUUUACAACUUUCGUGAAGGGAUCAACUCCGAAAUCUGACACCAUAAUCCAUGAACCUUUGAUUUAUAUUUAAUCGUUGAUUAUUGUUUACGCUUUACUCUUUCACUAAAUUUUUUUUUUUCAUAUUUUCUUUUUUAAAAACAUGAUCUUUUAACGGAUACAGAAAAAUGAACGGUUCGGAUUGUUGAUAUUACGUUCCAAUAUUUACGGUUACCUGAAUAUGAGUCGAUGUUAUAUAGUUUUUGGAGACUUUAUAAACUCUAAGCAAUAAUUUCGCUAAUGGUAAAACUUUGAAUGUAAUAUCAAUGAUCCGAAUCGUUCAUCUUCCUGCAUCCUCUAAAAGAUCAUGUUUUCAAAAAAGAAAACCUUAAAAAAAAAAAUUGGUGAGAAGAAUUGAGCGUAAAUGUAAAUGAUUAUCAACGAUUACAUUUCAAUCUAUAGUUUAUGUGAUUAUAGUGGCGAAUUUUGAAGUUAAGCCCAUUAUGAAAGUUGUAAACCUUGUUAGUACGAGCGUUUAUAUAUAUAUAUAUAUAUAUAUAUAUAUAUUUUUUUUUUUUAAUAUCUUACACAUCUUUCACACUUAUCCAUUAAUUAAUAUUUAUGUGAUACGUGAAAGACAAAUGUGUUUUUAUGUUUUGAAGUAAUAUUUAUAUGAUAAUGUGGUAUGUAUAUACCAAUUUAGUAUUAUGUUUUUUAUUUGAUUAUUUACUGGUUUAAAAUAAAUUUUCUUUAAAGGAUAAUGGGUCGGGUUAUAUUACCUGUUAAUAUUAACAGUUCAAGUUCGGACUGGGUCAUAUUACUCGUUCAUUUUAACAGGUGUUGCAUGACACAACCCAUUAAAAUAUCAAGUAUGACAUGAAAACAACACGAACAUGAAAAACACAACACGAAUGCAGUUUUAAUAACAUGGGAGAAAGUUGUCUCAGAGCCUCCUAUAUGGCAUCCAAUAUAACAACCAAAUUAAAAUUUAGGGUUUCUUCGUCACAGUGAAUGCUUCCAAUCAAAAUAUACAUAUAUAGUAAUCAUCAUACUUACAUUGUCUACUUUUUGUUGAUCCAAAUUAUUGGCAUACAGGAAUUGCGGCAAAAAAACUCUUUCCGUGUGAGUUCUUCUCUCUUCCUGAGAGUCGUUCUCACUAUUGUGUGAGUGGUUUCCCUUCCGUUUGAUAAUGUCAUUGUCGGUCCUUGCUGUGGCGGAGAUCGGUAACAGAUCAUUCCAGUUAAUCUGCGUCAGAAUAUUAAUUGGGAAGCUAAAGUUUGUGCUUUAUUGAUAAUGGGAACUGGGACAAAGUCCAACUUUCUCAAGUAUUAGAUUUAGAUGUUGUGAAAAAAAAAUCUAUUUGGUAACUAUUCCCUUGCAUAAUAAGGAAGUUUACUUCAUUUGGGAUCAUUCAUCAACUGGUGAUUUCUCAAUUAAAUCAGCUACUUGGAUUCAGAGUAGUCAAAACCAUGAAGUGAAUAGACAAAGGCUCCUUAAGAGGUUGUGGAGGUUAAUCAUUCCCCCUAAGGUAAAAAAUUUUGCAUGGUUGCUUAUUCAAGGAAAAUUGCAUACUAAGGUAAGAUUGAGUAAAUUCAUUCAAAAUGCUAUUAAAGAUUGCUCGUUAUGUGGCAAGGAGGAAGAAACACAAAGUCAUCUUUUUCGGAAUUAUGAUUUUGCAAGAGAAGUCUAGAACAGAUCCCCCGUUAAAUACAUGAUGGAGUAAUGUUGGUCAUACGAAUGAGUUUUUAGAUUGGUUAGAAUUAAUUAACAAUGAUGAAUUCAAUGGUUUGAGUGAGCUUAGUAAGGCUCAUCUAAAUUGUCGGCAAAUUUGGAAUGACAUGAAUAAUAAAGUUUUCAGAAGCAUAAGUCCUCAUCCUGCCAGAAGUAUUGCCAUUGCCGCUAGAGUGGGUUUAUAUUAUUUUGAGGCCAAUUGCAAAAGGACUAACAAAAGCAACCUUUGUAAUCAAGCAAACAUUCGUUGAGAGCCUUCGCCCCAAGAUUUGGUGAAGUUAAAUUUUGAUGGCUUGGUUUAUUUAAAUAAAGCGGUUGCUAGGUUUGUUUUAAGGAAUGAGGCUGGACAACCUGUUGGAGCUGGUGCUUUUAAUCUCGAUGGGGCCACCACCUUGCUCGCAGAAGCCACUGCUUUAAAGGAGGGUCUUUCUUUUGCCAGGCUCAAAGGUGCGAGAAAGCUUGUUAUGGAUGGAGAUUCCAAGCUCAUCAUUUAGGUGGUGCAGGGGGAGUGGAACCCCCCUUGGCAUCUUAUACCGAUCAUUGAGGACAUCAAGUGGCUAGUAUCGGGAUUUCAGUGCAUUAGAUGGCAUCAUAUUUUUAGGGAGGCAAAUUUUGUUGCGAACAAAUUAGCUCACGUGGGUCUAGCAGUGACGAAUCCAUAUUUUAAGGAUAUUACGUUCCUACUUCGGCCUUGGAUGCUUUUAGAUUUGAUUGUUUGGGAAUCGGUUGUACUAGAGGCUUUUCUGUUUAAUGAAAUCUUUUUUCCUAUAACAAUAAAAAAAACAUAUUUAAUUUUCCAAAAUUUUUAAUAAGCCUUUUAAAAAUAAAAAUAAAAAAUAAAAAAUAAAAAAUAAAACAAAACACCACAAUUCCAAAUUAUUACUUUAGUCUAAAGAAGGCUUUUCAAUUGCACUGUACAAAUGAACAGUGUUUUGAACCACAUUUCAACUUAUUUACAAGAUUGCCACUGCCUCUUCAGUUUCAGAUUGAAAAUUUUGAUUUAUUUACGAAAUUGCCACCCUUCAGAGUGCACGUGUCGACGAUCGUAGAAAGGGUGGGGGAUGGAUGCAAACCCGAUUUUGUUCCAGAGAUCUCUUCGACGACAAACCCAUUUUGCUCCAGAGCUCUUCAACGACAAAGUCGAUUCGGCGCCUCGCCGCCGCACUCCUCGCCAGAACUCGAAUCAAUGGUAACGUGCCAAUUGUAUAUAUUUUUUGUCAAUUUUUAUCAUUAUUCUGGAAAUUAGGGUUUGAUCUAAAUUUGGUGUGGCUGUGCUUCAGCCAAAACUCACGGAUUAGGCUGAGAGAGAUAUAUAUGGGAGGAUUUGUGGACGGAUUUCAGGGAGAGAGGUGUGGGAUGGCAGGGAGGGGAAGGAAGAGGGAUGAGUGAGGCUGCCAAAAAGGGGGUUAGGGUUGAUUUUUUUCUCCUCAAAUCAAUUGUGGUGUCGGUGAUUGAACGAGCAUUGGUUAGAAGGGAACUUUCGUUUCCUUUGUUUCUGAACCGGAAUGGGGUCGAUGGGACCAUGCUCUGUUGCACGUUCAGAUGAGUGAUUUCAGGGAUUUGGGGGUAGGGAGAGUGAUUUCAGGGAUUGGUAAUCCCAUCCCGUGUUUUCCCUUCAUCUCUGUCACACUCAACCUCUCUCUAAUCCUUUCUCUUUCACUCUCUUGCCAUGGAUUUGGAGGGGACUGAUGGGAGGGAGAAGGGCGAGGUAAUCAGAUUGAGUUUUAUUAGGGGGUUUGUGGGGUUUUUUUAGAGAUUUUUCUGUGAAAGCAUUGUUGUUGUAUGAAUUUUUUUUAUUGUGGGUUUUGAUUGUUUGGUUAUAAUUUUGGGUAUCUGUUUUGGUUUUUUCAAUCGGUUUUUGUGUAAGUCAAAGUUUUAUGCGGAUGAUCGUUGGUUCUAAACCAACCGAGCUACAUAUAUGGCUUUGCUUCCCAUCUACUGACAACGUUACCCUUCUUCGCUCUACAAAUUCCCUUCUAACUGUCCACACUUUUACAAAACCAAAACCAAUUUUAUAAAUUUUGAUCAGAUUUUUCUUCAGAUUAGAGAGAAAGGGUCAUAUAUUUUUGCUAUUUUCAGAGAGAGAGGAUUUGAUGGAAAAAGGCUAUAUUAGCAAAUAGAUGAUAUUUCAAAAUUACAGUCGUCUGAUUCACUUAUUUUUGUUCAUAUCUAAUAUUUCUGGAUUUUUCCAUGUACAUUAUAGAAUUUAGUGACAUUUGAUAAACAUUGAAUGAAGUCCUUCAGUGAAUCUCUCAAGGCGCUCGAAUCUGAUAUUUAGUUCGCCAACACUGUAAGAACUCCAAUUCUUUCUCUACUUACACAAUUCCAAAGCAAUGUGUAAUAAACAGUGGAAUUUUGAUUCAAGUUGUAGUAAUUGCCCUGCAAUUGUUUUUCCAAUAUGUUUAUACACUUACGGUACUCCAAUCUCUCUCUCUAUAUCUGUCUCUCUCAUUUCUUUUCGGUUUUGCAAAUCUCUGACUUUCGGUGGUUUUGUUUUCUUCCAGUUGUCGAUGAAUUUUAUGGACUUCCUUUGUAAUCCUUGCUGCAGAAAGCAAUCUCGACGCCGCUGUGGGCGAAGGAACGCCAUCAUACGAGCCACCACGCUACUGUUGGUAAUUUUACUUUUCUGAUUUUAUAUGAGUAUGUGGUUUGUUUGAUGAGAAAAUAUGGAAAACGAGAGAUUUUUUUUUGAAUUUAGGGUUGCUAUAACAUGAAUUUUCACCAUGAUUUGUGAUUGGUUUUGGGUAUCUUUCCUCUCUUAUGCUUUUUACACUGCCUGCAUCAACCCCUUUUCGUUUUUUGUCUUCUCUUCCAACUUAUGCCCUCAAUAAUGAUAUUAGAUAAGGCAUUUUAAAAUUUAUUGCUAAUAUUUUGAAAUUUGUGUUGUACUAAUGCCAUAAGGCAUUUUGAUUUUUGACAUUUUGUUAUGUUGGUUGGAAAGUUGGAGACUUUUCCUCUCUUUGCAUUUUGCUAUGCUGGUUGGAGACUUGCGAACUAUUGAUUUUGAAUGCUAUUGCUCUCUUUAUUCUUUAAAAUCGAGUAUUGGAAUUUUGAAUGGGACAGGAUUGGAUUUAUGACUUUGUGCUUUCCUGAAUGGGUUUAGUUUUGUACAGCUUGAAAUGUUGGUAUUGUUUUUGUUCAUGUAACUUUGGUUCAUUGUUCGUUGUGGGAUGAGAUUUGGGAUCUAUUUUUUUGUUUCAGUUUUUACAUAUCGAAUUUUCGAGAGCUAUUUGAUAACAGUCAGGCCUGUUUAGAGUCAGGUUUUAUAACUCAAACCAAUUCCAAUAGCUAUUUGGUAAUAGGAUGAGUAAUUAAGUAUCAAAGAGUGGGGAAUUCAAUGUCUUAUAUUGUCAAAUAUAAUGUUAUUGUGUAUGUAUUUACUUUGCAUAAACUUGGUCUCACUUUUGAUUGAAUUGUUGCAGUUCUUGGUAUAAGGAGCUAUAGCUCCAUUGAAGAAGUGAGAGGCAUACGACAAUAUUUCUUUAGUCUGGUAUGUCAUUUUAACGAUUGGAAUUCCACAAUUUGAUUAGUUUUGAUAAUUUCCGGAAGAAGAAGAAGGCCCUGUGUCCAAGUUUUAAAAAGCACACUUUGUAAUGCUUCAAAAUUUCAUGCUUUUUUUAGGAAUUCAGACAGGCAGCAUGCAGAUACUUCUGACUUUAUCAAGGUUAGUGAAUUAUGUGGUUUCUCCACGGGGUGCAGUUUUGUUGUUACACUUUGUAAAGCUUCAAAAUUUCAUGCUUUUUUCAGGAAUUUAGUAGUCCCCAUCAUCAUCAGUUUGUCUGCUAUUGCAGUUAGGGAAGCAUUCCACAGAAGAAGGCGGGGUUACACCUUCAGUUUAUUCACGCAAAGAACCAGUAUGUCGAAAAAUAUAUGUUACUCAAUUCUUAAAAACUUUAUGGCGUGACAAAAUAAAUUUGCAAAUUGCUAAUUUUUCUGUUUUGUAUAAAAUCUUUGUUCACUCUACCUGAACAGGUACACAUGUUAAGUUUUCUUUCAUCUUAUCUUUGGCACAGAAGGCACCAUCAAAAUUUAAACUUUUUUAUUUUUUUAUUUUUUUUCAUUCGGCUGUUGAUGAAGGGAUUGUUGUUGGUGGAUGAAACCUUUAGGUAAUUAUCUGUUGCUUAUUGAACUCCCCCAAUCAUGAGUUUUGACUCGGAAGAAGAUUUUGAUGAUGACAGAUACUAAAUUAAAUUUUGGCUCAAAUUGUAUUGAAAAUUGCAGUUCAGAGCAAUUUUAUGAGGAAGAAGGAUGAAUCCUAAACAUAUGUAUGAAUUUAGUCAAUUUCUACACGCUCCAUUCAGUAGAUGAAUUGUAAACAUAUGAAUUUCAAGCACCUGAAUUGAAUAGAUGCUUUUAAUUCUUCUCUCAUCUAAACCUUAGAUUUUUCUGCAAUUUUAUUUCUUUGUUGUUUAUAUCAUCGUUGUUUGAAUAUAUGGUUAAACUUAUUUCAUUAAUUGUUGAUGCCGUGUGUUGAUAAUCAUGGAAAGGUAGGGGUGCGAUGGUCGUUUUAGUCUGUAGGGUUUCGAACGGAUUGGGUGGGUUAGGGCGACUUUCAUUUCCUUUCUUUCUAUGAGCUGUAGAGGGACUCGGUGAGAGCAUGCCGUCAGAGAGAGAGCGGGAGGGAUAGAGAUAGGGAUUUGGUGGGAACUCAUAAUGUAGUAGAUAUUCCUCAAUGCAAAGGUCCCAAUCCUAAUGACUUUAUAUUUGAUAUUUAAUCCUUGGAUUAGUGUUAAAUUCUAUAUUUUUUAGUUUAAUUUGUGUUUUCUUUUCUGUUUUUGCAGCUCAUCCUCCAAGUAUAAAUGCUGCUGUGGAGCUGCUUAAACAAGGUCCCUUUUCGGUUAUUAAAACUCAAUGUUACUUGCUUUCAUUUCUAGUUUUUGAGUCUUCUAUUUGUUUGCUUGCUGCAAUUAUUCAACUUAUGCCGCUAUAAUAUUUGUUUCCUUCUGUUUUGUCCUCGCAUUAACUACCAUUUGGAUCAUGUGAAUGACAACUUUCAUGUAUAUUUCGAAUAAUGAGCAGUUUAUUGCUGUUAAUCUUUUGAUCACUGUAUAUGUUGCUAAUUUGCCUUCUCAAACAACGUAGAUGUAAACAUUGAUAUAUAAAACUUAUAUGUUAAUCAACCAAUUUAAAAUUGGGAUUUUAACUGAUGGUCGUCCAUGGUUCCUUACUUUCCAGAUAUUGCAACAUGCAUAAAUUCACCUGGAAGUUAUUCAUGUCAAUGUCCCAAAGGAUACAAACAUGAAGGCAUGGAUGAAAAGAGUUGUAUCAAAGACAACAAAGGGUCAAAGGCCAUUCUCCUCAUUAUUUCAUUAGGUAUGCAUGUUUUUUUCACAUGUUAAUAUAUUGCAUAUACGAGUCUAAAUUUAUUUUAUUGGAGCCACUUUUGGAUCCAAAAUUCUCAUAAAGUAUGUCAUUGAUGAAAGUUAUAUUCUGCUGUCUUUUAGUGAUCUUUGAAUAGUCUCAAGCAGUAUUAACUAUCAGGGAUUUGUUUUCAUAUUGCAUGAAAUUUCCACUUUUUUCAUCUUUGAAUAGUCUCAAGCACGGUAAAUAUAAUAGCACUAGAAAGUGAGGAAAUCCACUUUAUUUGGUCAGGUUGGAUUCUCUACUAUGACUGCCAUUUUUAUCUCUAAACAAAAUUUUAAUGGUAUGUAUGAUAUAAUGGUAAAUUUAACUAUUUUGGUUUCGUUGUUCUCAUACUUUGGUGCCUCGAGUUUUAAUUUUUCAUAGCUGUGUCUGAGUUGUUUUCCAGUUACAAUUCGGGUGCCAUUGGCAACUUCUAGGGGACCAAAAUUGUUUUCAGGUCAAAAUACAGGAACCAAAUUGUAACUAGGCUAGGAGAUUACAUUACCAAAGUAGGAAAGUUUGGUCUUGAUUCAUAGUUUGGCAACACAAUAUGUAUGUAGGAUGUUGUUUUGGAACCGUUUGGUAAGUGUUAAAUACAUCCUAUAACAUGAUUGACUAACAAGCAUGGUCGUUCAGAUAUACAUGCAAUUGAGAUCACUGACUAAAUCAGGUUUCUUUUAUAUUGAAGCAAAUCUUGCCUAUUAGGUGUUUGUGAAAAUUCCCCAGAGUUAGAAACAAGGAUAUGAUGCAAAUCUGAAUGUAGGCUGUUUUGGUAUCUGUGUGUAUGUAUAGGGGUGUUAUAUUGAUAUGACAUGUUGCCUAAUUUAUCUAUUUUUCGAUUGUUAGAUCAAAGAAGGAAGUUCAAUUUAUCAAGGAUCAAGGUUUGGACUACUAGACAGCACGCCGGCUUCGGUUUGAGGUAUGGAAGUCUCGAGCUUGCAAUCUUAAAUUUCUGGUUCCCGAAUAAGAAAUAUGCUCUAUUUGAUCCCGAAUAAGAAAUGACAUAGGUCUGUGGCUUCCAUCAUUAUUAAGUUGUAUCCUUUUCUACUUGGGUUACAAAAAACCAUUAUAAUGAAUUAAUCAAAUUUUUUAUUCUAAGGAAGUAUGUAUUCAACAUUGUUUUUUUCUGAACAAUUUCAAUUAAUAUAACUAUGACCAUUUGUCUACUAUUUUAUAGACUCCCAUUGCCAUGUUGGUCUCUUGCUGCUAAAUGUGUAUUACUUUGUCUUCUGGGUGAGCGUUCUCUAAUUUAGAUUAGACAACAAUUCUUCAAGCUUGGUUUGUUUUCUGUGUCUCCUUCACUGUAUCUGUUCUGUGAAUGAACAGGUAGAUGUCAACUCUAGCAUUUAAUAGUGUUGUGCACCUUGACAGGUGUAUAUGUGAACGGCUCACAGGGUUUUUCUGAAUCUGUAGGUCCAGGAUUUAUUUUUGAAAGGGUAAGUCUGUUGUGAUUCUUUUAAUUCUCAUCUUCAGUGCAAAAGUUUGUGUGCAAACUUUUUUGUUGCAGUUUUAUUCUUCUGUAUGCAUUAUGUUUAUCUUUAAGUAAAGGUUGCUAAUCUUUUAUUUAUGAGUGUGUGCUGCUCGGUCUCCAAUGAUUGUUUAUAUUUCGAGGGUAUAAAUGGGGAGGCAAAAUGCAUUCCAAUAACUCGGAAUUCAACCUCCACCAAAUUGUAAGGAAUCCAAUUCCUCCAAAUUUUGGAGUUGGAUUCCAAAAUUUGCAUGGUCUCUUAAAAUUUUUGAUUCCCCAAUAUUGGGUAAACACUGGAGUAGUCAGUAAUCGACUUUCAAUUCCUUUUUUUUGUUCCGAUUACCCUUACAUAAAUGUAUUUAUGAUCUUUUAGUUUCAAGAGCCCAACUGUUGUUGCAAAAUGUGCUAUAGAUGGAGCAUCUAAUGUCUUUCUUACUUAUUGUUGGGCUCUUCUAUCUUUAUGUGAGGCAUUUUGUACUACUGCUUUUGUAACGUUGGGAUGUUUCAAGAUUUAUGACUGUGCGUUCUCUCUCUCUACACUUUUUCUUCCCUCGCUCCCUCUCAUGUAGAGCCAUUUUAUGGUACAAUGUGUUUAUCGGUUCUCAUGUCCAAGUUUUUCUUUCUGCUUUCUAUUAAGUUUUGUUUGUAUGUUAUGUUUUCAUGGAAUCUCUUGCACUGAUUUCAAUUACGUUGUACUUGAAUGUCCUGAACUCAAGUCAAUCAGGAUUUUUUUUUUGGUUGAAACCAUUGAAUUUCGUUGGACUUAAAUGAUAUAGAUGUGGGGAAUACAUUUACAUAAGGAUUAAUUUUAGGGAACUUUAACGAAAAGCACCCGGUACUGUUCACUUUAACGAAAAACCACAUUUCUACACUAAAAAGUCAAUCCUGGUACUAUUCACUUUACCAUUUAUUUUGUCCUUAUCAUUAAAACUAAAAGUUUUCAAGCCCUUUACAUUAGUUUUCCUUUAAUUUUAACCAUAGAAUUUUAUUUCAUUUUUCCUUGGAGCUUGAGUAACAAGAUCAUCAAAUUCUUAUAUUCGUUAUCGGUGAGAAUAAAUCUACAUGCAUAACAAUAUUGUUACACUUCUACUUUUAUUGGGUUUUUAUACAGUUUGUGUGUUUGCUUAGUCUUGCCUUGGAGUUGGAUCCACUUUGUGUAAUGGAUUGUGAUUUGUUUGAAAAUAUCUUUACUGAUGAUUUUGAGUAUAAUGUGUUUUUCUCUCCCUUUGUAAUCCAGUCGUGCAGAAGACAUCUCCAUUAACCGGUAACAGAUGAAAUCGUUUGCUGCCGAGGUUCACGUGCAGAAGAGCGAAAAUGCUGCAAGUGGAUGAUAGAUAACAGCUCAAGACACAUGGUAUGAGGGUGCAGGUAAACUGUACAUAUGCAUCUGGAAAAAGUUAAAAGUUAAGGCGGGUUGGCUAUAGCUUCUCCUUCUCGCCACAACAGGAAAUACUUUUGAACUGCAUUAAGAUGUUAAUAAAUUAAGCUUAAGCUAUAUUUUACUUAUCAAGAAUGGGUAAAUUGUUUUAAAUAGAAAAAUUAAGUGCUUAUAUCAGGGAAACUAUCAAUUUUACAAAGUUUUUUGGUAAAUUAGAUAUAUAGUUUAAUUUGAAGAGUUGUGUUGACCUUUACUUUUGUUAAAUUAUAUAGUUUAAUUGCGUCCUCUUUUUCCAAUCCUUAUAUAUCUGCUCAACUCUUGGUCAAUUAUUUGCCAGUAAGAAUGUUUAAUUGCUUGAUCAAUGAUGUCCAUUCAAUUUGAAGAAGAAACAGGACUUUUGUCCAAUAGGAAUUUGAAAUAGGGAUUGAGACCAGAUAUGAGUAAGAUGUCCCAAUUGUUCAUUGAUUCUUAGAUGCUACGUCUUUUUAGUUGAUUUGUGUGGAAACUAUUCAUGCAUGUUGCGACUAAUAUAUUCAAGUCCCCGUAGCAACGCGCGAGCAUAUUUUCUCGUACAUAUACUAAAACCCAGUUUUAUGUUACUGUUUUGCACUGUUAAUGAACAGUGAAAUUACGGAUAUACCCUUGGUUUCUCCUUUGUUUGUGCAACGAAUUUCCAAUUUUGCCCAUGCUGGCGACGGGUCAGUCAUCGUUGAUUUUUAGCCUUCGACUCGGUUUUGUUUACUCUACCUUUCUGUGUGGCUUUUCUUUCUUGCCGCUCUGUGCUUCCAUCCGUUUUGGUCUCGCCUUUGUUCUCCGCACUUUAUUUCGCAAAUUAUUCACGAAAUUGGUCUCCGUGGUUUUAUCCUGCGUUCAUGAUUUCUGUUUUUUUUUUGGGAUUUCGUUUUGCGACCUGCGUUUUGAAAGAAGUGGUGCAUCUCUGUGAACCUAAAUUUGUUGGCGGUCUGUGGAGACUCAUAAAAUUCGUCUCCAUGUUUGAUCCUCCACUUCUAAUCGCUGGCGGAAGACUUUUUGUUUCUUUUUCCGCCUGCCAUACCGAAGUUGUUGCCGGAUUUCCCACGAAUUUUCAGGCCACUUUGGGCACAGCCUCUCUGCAAACUGAGGUAUUUUUUUAACCCAUUUCUAGAGAUGUUAUUAAUUUUUGUGAAAUAUUUGGUCUGGUUUUUGUUUCCCAUUGCACACCCAAGUCUGAUGUGUGUGUAAUAGUCCUCCACACUAAACUAUACGCUUCCAUCCAGUUGGAAAUCCAUGGGUUCUGUGGGUCCCUUGGCAUCCGCAACAACGUGAUCCUCCAUUUUGGUAGCUAUUUCCUUUUAGGGUUUUUGUGUGUUUUUCCUAAUGAAUUAAAAUGAUGUCAAGUUCCUCUGAUUAUUGCUACAUUGGAUCCUCAAUUGGAACUCAUCUCUCAUCAGAUUCAAUUGAUUGAGGGUAUCAAUUAACAUCACCCUUUUAACUUUACCAUGGUGUGGUUCCACAAAUUAAGUCAUACCGUUUUCUCUCAUUUAAAUUCUUGAAGUUUUAAUUGGAAUUUCUUUAACAGUUUUUAUGAAAUUUGUUAUCUUGUUGUUUUAGAUUUUUAUAAGGUUUUUAUGAUUCAAUUAAUGGGGUUUGUUUUCGUUUCAGAUUAAUUUGGUUCCUGCUAAAGUAAUCAAACAUUGAAAGCUUGGAACCAGCAAUCUUUCAAAGAGGUUGGUUGUUCAAUGUUUUCAUUUUUGUCUUUUUAGUUGUAUGAAUGUGGUGGUAUGAUUUACUGUUUACAUUUAUAAUUCCAAUGUUUGGUUAUGUUUCUUUUAGUUUAACUGUUUUGCAUAUAUUGAUUGUCCUGUGAUUGAGAUAAUAUGAUGUGUACAAUGAAACAAAAUUCAUUGAAAAAAGGGAUGUAGAAUUCCAUUUUUCAAACUUUUUUAUUUUGGUUUUUUAAAAUUAUCCUUAUCAAACCUAAUAAAAUUUUGUAAACUGAUGAUAGACAAUUUUUUUUCUUUUCCUUUUUACAGUAUUUGAACAAGCUCUAUUUUAUAAGCUUUUGAAGUGUGUUUUUGGCUUUGAAGACGUUCUGUGCUAAAGGUAAGUAAUAUAAACUUUUGAUGUCAUUUGAUUCAAAGUUUAAUUAUAUAGUUUUAUUCAUUUUUUUCUGAUUGAAGUCAAGUUUCAUAUUAUGUUUAUGUUUAUUGAGAUCAACUUUGUUUUAAACUUCUGUUUACAUUUGAUAUAAGCCAUAUUGAUUUGUAUAUGUGUUAUGUCUCUAUUAAUUUUUUUUUCUUUUUUCGAAAUCUGUUUUGCAGUUGUUUGCUUUUGAAUUAGUUGUCAGAGUUCCUUAGUAUCAUGUCUAAACGAUCUAUAAUUACAAUAAGUGAUGGUCUAGACCAAAAAGAAAACAUUGGCAAUAGUGAAUAUAAUUUUUUGAGUGAGUAUAAUUGUUGAUGCACAAAAUCAAUGAGGACUUUGGUACAAUAGAAAGUGUCAAGUUUGUUAGAUUGCUUUGGUCACUAGUGUGGAUAAGUAUGCAAAUGGAUAGGGACAAGGAAGCAAACACAAGAUGUACGUGGUUCACCUAGAUUGGCUACGUCCACGAAGUAGAGGAGUUCUCAUUAAUUGUGAAGGGUUUACACAAGUACAUAGGUUCAAGCUCUCCUUUAGUGAGUACUAGUGAAUGAUUUAGUACAAAUGACAUUAGGAAAUAUUGUGAGAGAAUGAUCUCUAUUUAUAGAAGAGAGUUUCUAGUUUCAUUCUAACAUUGACAUGUGUCGUGUUGUGAUUGGCUUCUGAUGUCGACACAUGUCGCACUGUGAUUGGCCUCUUGGUUGGAGGGAAACUUUUCUGGAUGCUUGACGGUAUAAUGUUGAUCGAUGCGCCAUAGUUUCGGGAUUGGUCAAGUAUGGUAUAAACAAUAAUCAUCAACCAAAAAGACUUUGUAGAAUUGCUUAUAUACAAAAUUGUGAAAGCACUUCUGUUAGCGAAACUGAUGCAUUAGUUUAUGAAUAUUCACGAGCUCCAGUGCAUCUUCUGUUAACCAAUGUGUUAUUAUGCUUGUGAGCGAUGUUCAAGUAUUAGAUACCACCCCGUUUAAAAAUGAAAUAUAUGUUUGUGAUCGAAAAGGCUAAAACAUUAUUGGUUUCUCGACUGGCGUUGAAAACUCUGUUGGAAAAAGCUUAGGCGCUAACAAUUAUAAUUUCAUGAGUAAAGGUCAAUCCUUUUUCCAAGCAACCAGAAAGGGUGAGUUUUACAAUUUGUAUAAUGAUUAUUUCGUUUAGGUUUGAUCUUUACCGUUUAGCUACUUGCAUGUAGUGAUUAAUUUUUUCUUUCUUUUUGUGUGUUGUCUUUUUAGGGAUUAUGAAACUUUAUAUGGAUUUGGGUGACAAAAAUUACAAAUGUGUAUACUGUGGUGCAUUCUUGGUUAAAAGAGUCUCUUAAACACACAUGGAAAACAAAUCAACCCAUUUUCACUCUAUGUUGUCAACAAGGAAAGAUUAAAUUUUCAACUCCAAAACCGACACAUGCUUUUUAGAUUCCUUGCUUGAUCCAAAUGGAGGUAAAAAAAGUUUAUCAUUUCGAGAAAAUAUUAGAGCUUACAACUCGAUGUUUUCAUUUACUUCAAUGGGAAAAAAAGUUGAUAAUUCAAUUAAUGACAUAUCAAGUCCUUACAUUUUUAAAAUUAGUGGUCAAGUUUGUCAUUUGAUGGGGUCUCUUUUGCAUGUUGAUAAUGAGUCACCAAAAUUUGCUCAAUUAUAUGUUUAUGAUACAUAUAAUGAAGCACAAAAUCGUUUAAGGGCUGUUAAUUGUGAUAGAACAAAUGAAAAACUUGAUUCAACAAUUGUUGAAAACUUGAUUAAGAUGUUUGUUGAGUCAAAUGAGCUGGUAAAACUUUUUCGAACAGCGAGAGACAAAUUUGAAAAUGAUGGUUUGGUCAAUUUCAAAAUGAUUUUGUUGGGUAGACAACCAAAUGAUAGUAAGCAAUAUGAUCAACCAACAAGUGAUGAAAUAGGUGGAUUAAUAGUUGAUGAUAUAGGUUUGUCAGACUCUAAUAGAAAUAUUAUUAUAGAUUGCAUGAGUGAAGGAUUAAAACGUGUUGCAAAAUUGAAUCCAAAAUUUAUGGCUCUUCAAUACCCUAUUCUUUUUCCAUAUGGUGAAGAUGGUUACAGGCUUGAUUUAAAAUGGAAUGAAAAUUAUAACGGUUCAAAAAUAAAAAGACAAAGAAUACCUAUGAGAGCUUAUAUAGCUUAUCUGAUUCAAGAAAGAGAUCCAUACUUAACUACUUUGUUAAAAGGAGGUAGACUUUUUCAACAGUAUUUAGUAGAUUCUUAUGCGAUGCUUGAAGAUGAAGAUAGAUUGGAUUACAUAAGACAAAAUAAAAAAAAUUUAAAAGUGAGAUUUACAAAGGAAUUUAUGACGCUGUGUCAAGAGGUAACAACGAUGCAAAUAGUUUGGGACAAAAAAUUGUUUUGCCAGCUUUGUAUACAGGAAGUCUAUGAUUAAUAAUUAUCAAGAUGUUAUGGCUAUUUCUAGAGAACAUGGACAUCCUGAUUUGUUUAUAACAUUUACCUGUAAUGUGAAAUGGCCAGAAACUAUAAGAUAAUUUGAAAAUAGGCUCGACUAUGAUUCUCUUCCCUCCUAUUUUCAUCCCCUCCUCUCACAUUCUCUUAUUUUAUCUUUCUCUUGCUAUAAAAAAUUAAUAUAAGAUAUUGACGUGCCUUAACCAUAACCGUUCAAAUAAGAGAAGAGGAAAGGGGAGGGAAAAAAAUGAGGGGAGAUAAUUCUACUCCCAAAAACAAAGGCAUCAAGAAGAUAAGAUUCCAGGGUUGCGUGCGUGAGCGAAUUUUCCAAGCUCAGCUGCCUCAUCAUUCACCAAUAAAUUCACACGUUAAGCUAAGCAAACGUAAACAUUGUCGAUUGAAAAAUGGAGCAAAGCAAAGGCAGGAGAGUUAUCCUCUUCCCGCUGCCCUUCCAAGGGCACAUAAACCCUAUGCUAGAACUGGCCAACAUUCUGCAUGCCAAAGGAUUCUCCAUAGCCAUCAUCUCUACCAACUUCAACUCCCUCAACCCUUCAACCCUAAACCCACACUUCACCUACCAUUCAAUCCCUGUUGACUUGACAGAAAACGAGGCCUCCAUGAAGGAUCCAUUCCUUCUUCUUUCUAUUCUAAAUGCUAAAUGUGUUGAGCCUUUCAGAGAAUACUUGUCCGGGUUGUUAUCCAAGGACGUUAAUUCGGAGGACCCCAUUGCAUGCUUGAUCUCGGAUCCUCUCUUCAACUUCACUCGAUCGGUUGCGGAAAGCUUUAAGUUGCCGAGGAUCGUGUUAAGAACAGGGGGUGCAGCUUCCUUCGCUGUUUAUGCUGCAUUUCCACAACUCUUAUGCUGCAUUUCCACAACUCAAGGAAAAGGGUUACCUACCAAUACCAGGUACAAUCUCAAGCCAACAAAAUCCUAUUAUCAAAUGUCUUUUUAUCUCAUCAUUGUUAGUGACCCACGUAGACUGAAGACACCGUAUCAAGACUAAUCACUUUUUUGGAAUUCUUUUAUAAGUAGCAUUUUUGUUCUUAUGAACAUUAUGCAAUAUGUGCUUUUAUUAUAAACAUGUAAAUUUUUUUAUUAAAAACUCAAGCACAUGGAAAAAAACUUCAAAGUGAUUCUUCUACUGAAAUCACUCCAUUGAUCCAAAAAUGUUUUUGGUUACCAAAAAACACUUUAGCACUUCUAGAAGCGAUCCUAAACUAGCAUUUUGACAAUUUGGGCAUAUUUGAGUUAGGCUUGUUAGGUUAGCAUUUUUAUUUCUGCUCUGCCUCGUCAUAAAUUAGCAUUUUAGAAUAUGCAUUAUUCUAAAAUGCUAAUUUAUAUAUACUUUUUAGGAACCUUAUAUUUGACUUUCUAUUUUGACAAUAAUUAGAUUCUCGACUAGAAGAGUGACGGAGCUUUCACCUAUCAAAGUUAAAGACCUACCUGCAGCGAUGCCCAAUUGCGACCCUGAAGAUUUCUAUCAACUGAUAACCAACAUGGCAAAUGAACCCAAGGAUUCCCAUGGACUCAUCUUCAAUACGUUUGAAGAUCUUGAGGAAAAGCACUUGCCACAAUUUGCCAAGAAUAUUACCCCAAUAUUCCAAUUUUCUCACCAGGUCCAUUUCACAAGUGCGGCCCUACAACCUCUUCUUCUUCAACUAGCUUACUAUCACAAGACCAAAGUUGCAUUUCAUGGCUAAACACUCAAGCGCCAAAAUCUGUUGCUUAUGUUAGCUUUGGAGAGCGCUGCCAAGAGAUAGAUCACGCUCAAUUUUUGGAGAUUGCUUGGGGGUUGGCAAACAGUGGCCAACCUUUUUGUGGGUGGCUCGACCCGGAUUAGUUCAAGAUUCAGACUUGCACGAAGCGUUGCCUAAUGAAUUUUUAGAAGCGUUGAACGAAAGAGCUCAUGUUGUGAAAUGGGCUCUACAAAAAGAAGUGUUGGCCCAGCCUGCAGUUGGAGCCUUUUGGACUCAUUGAGGUUGGAAUUCUACAUUGGACAACAUUUGUGAAGGGGUCCCUAUGAUUUGCACGCCAUAUUUUAGUGAUCAAAUGGUGAAUGCAAGAUUUGUGAGUGAUGUUUGGAAGGUAGGGCUGCAAUUGGAGCAUGGGAUUGAGAGAGGUGAGGUUGAAAGAACAAUUAGAAGACUAAUGGUUGAGAAAGAAGGGGUAGAGAUCAAACAGAGAGCCUUAAAUUUGAUGGAAAAGGAAAAUCAUUGCCUGAAAGAAGGUGGCUCUUCGUACCUAUCUUUGGAUGGCUUGGUUAAGCACAUUUUAUCGUUAUAAGUUGUUUGUUUAAGUGACUCAGUAUUAGCUAUUCAAUAAAAUAAAAAAUAAAGGCUUCUAGUAAUGUAUUAAAUACAUUUUUAAGAGAGUUUUAAUAAAAAGGGUCUUAUAAAAUAAAAUCUUAAUAAAAGCACUCCUUAUUGGUUACUUUAAUAUAAUUCCUAAUUUCAGUUUUUUGUUGGAAAUCAAAACUGAUGCAUUAUAAAGUUGGUUUUAUACUACUUAGUCUAAUAUUGUUAGUUAACCAAUUGAUCAUGUGCAGCACACCAUGUCCUAAUAUCAGUUUUCCUUCUUAAACAAAAACGGAUAUAUUUUCUUUGUAUCCUAACGUUGGGGUUAAUAAUGUUUCUGUUACCCGAUUCGCACAUUUCAACUUAAUCUCCAAUCCAUUCUACCAUUUGACAUACGUCAAAAAACCAACAAAACAAAACAAUAAUGGUUUUAAUAAGAUGGGAGCAAGUUGUGUUGGAGCCUCAUAUACCGCAUCCAAUCAAUCUACAUAACAACCAAAAAAUUAGGGUUCCUUCGUCACAACGAAUGCAUUCAAUCAAUAUACAUACAUAAUAGUCAUCAUACUUACAUUGUCUACUUUUAAUUGAUCCAAAAUACUGGCAUAUUGUUCCUUGGAUGCUUCUACUUGCCAUCAAAUGAUUUUCCAAUAGCUUUACCCCAGCUCUCAAUCAGCAGAUACUCUGUUUCUGAUGCCCUAUGAUGCAUGAACAUGGUGAUAUCCUCUCUGUUGCGAGUUAUAUAUUAGUUAAAGUGUAAAUAGUAAUUUAUUGUCCCACAUUGGUGAAAUAUAUAUGUAAUACCAAUUGUAACUCCUAUAUAUACUCCACUUUGGAGAUUAAUGAUAUAUAAGAAAUUCCCAAAUAUUGUCAUAUAUAUUUUUGGUAUUUAUCAUGUUUAGUUUAAUAUUGGUAUUUACCAUGUUUAGUUUAAUAUGGCAUCAGAGCAGUUCGCUCUUGGUGACCUGUGUGCUUUAAUUUUGUGCCCACAUUUUUCGUGAUUUCCUCUGUGAAAGAAAAAAAAAUGAAUAGUGUCGCACUACAAUACAGCGCUUUGCUACAGUGCGUGAACAGUGUCCUGCUUGUGAACAUUGGUCAUCUACAGUGUCAUGAACAGUGAUUGCUACAUUGCUAUGAAUAGUGAUUGCUACAGUGUUUUGGUAAAUUGUUUUCAUUCCACUGCGUAUCUUUUGUGCUUUUAUUGUUAGUGAUUUUGUUCAAUGGCACAAUAUAAUCAUAGUGUUGUUAUGCAUCUUGGUGGAACAAAUAAAUGGAUAAUUGAUACUGGGGUCAUUGAUCAUGUGACUAGUGACCCCAGAGUGUUUGAUGAGUUAUUUGACUAUGUUCAUGAUCCGUAUAUUACUAGUGCAAAUGGAGCACCUUCUCCUGUGAAGGGUGAAGGCACUAUCUCUCUGACUUCAAUCUUAUCACUCGUCUGUGCUUUACUUAUUCCUGAUGUUAAGUGCAAUUUUUUGUCGGUAGGAAAACUUCUUGAUACCUUAUAUUGUUCUGCUCACUUUUAUCCUACGUAUUGUUAUUUUCAAGACAUUCAAACUCAGAAGAUAAUUGGUUAUGGUAAAAGAAUAGGGGGUUUGUACAUCUUGAUUAUGGAGGAUACUGUUGUUUCUGGUUCAAAUAAUCAUCAAGUUUUAAGUGCUAAAGUGGAUAACAAACAUCAAAUUUGGUUGUGGCAUCGACAAUUGGAACAUCCACCAUUCAAUUAUAUAAAGCAUCUAUUUCCUUCUUUGUUUCGCACUUGUAGUGAUUCAAAGUUCAAGUGUGAAACAUGUGUUAUGGCUAAGAGUCAUCGUGCUUCCUUUCCUGUAAGUGAUUCUAAGCUACUUUGUCAUUUAAUUUGAUACAUUCUGAUGUGUAGGUCCAGCGAAAGUUACUUCUAAUGGAUUCCGUUGGGUUGUUACUUUUAUUGAUGAUUAUACUUGGUUAACUUGGGUGUUCUUGAUGAAAAAUAAGAGUGAUGUUCCGUUACUUCUUCAAGAAUUUUGUACAAUGAUGUCUACUCAGUUUCAGACCAAAGUUAAGGUCUUCAGGUCUGAUAACGGAGGAGAAUAUGUGAAUCACACUUUGGCAUGUUUUUUUCGUUAUCAUGGUAUUAUUCACCAGACGACUACUCCGUUUACGCCCCAACAAAAUGGUGUGUUAGAACGGAAGAAUCGUCAAAUAAUGGAGGUUGCUCGCUCCUUGAUGUUGGAUAAAUGUGUUCCUAAUCAUUUGUGGGGGUCAUGCUGUUUUGGCUGCUGUGUAUUUGAUCAAUCAUGUUCUAAGUAGGGUUCUUGAUUUUCAAAUAUCGUUUGAUGUGCUACAAAAACAUUUUUCUCUUGUUUCUGUAUCAAAGCUUCAUCUGAAAGUGUUUGGGUGUAUUGCGUAUGUGCAUGUCUACUCUCAUCAGCGGAGUAAACUUGAUGCAUGUGCUCUCCGGUGUGUCUUUAUUGGGUAUGCUAACAAUAAAAAAGGCUAUAAUUGUUAUCAUCCUACGACUCAAAAAACUUAUAUUACCAUGGAUGUCACCUUCCAUGAGGAAGUUUUGUACUUUGUGAAGUCCUCGUCCGACUCUCCACUUCAGGGGAAGAGGGGGAUUGAAGUGCAGAUUCGAAGAGAUGGUAUGGAUGAUGUGUUACAGGCAGAGUUAGGAACAAAACCUAUUAUGUUGCGUGAUAAUAAUCAGUCGGCUACAGAUAGUAAUUGGUCACCUGUUAUUCCCAGAACUAUUUCUACUGACAGAUCAGAUGUGCCCACCGAAUUGCCUGUUAGUAUGUUUGACGAAUUACCUUCUGAUGAUCGGUUGCCUGCUGCUGAUAUGUCUAACGAGUUGCCUGAUGAUGGUUCGUCCAAUGAUGAUUCUUCUACCAGUUUGGUACAAGAUGAUGACAUACAUAAGGUAAAUUCUGACGAUUCUUCUACUUAUCAGUUGCCUCCAUGAGCUAAUCGUGGAAAACCUAAAGUACAUUAUGAGCAUGAUAUGCAUGCCAAAGCCAAAUAUCCUAUCAACAAUUAUGUGUCUACUCGUUUGACCAAACCAUAUGCAUCUUACAUAUGUUAGCUAUCUAGUGUAUCAAUUCCAACAAAAUUGCAAGAUGCUUUGUCUGACCUUAAGUGGGUUAAUGCCAUGAAAGUUGAGAUGGAAGCUUUGGAAAAGAAUUCUACUUGGGAUUUGGUUCCUAUACCAAACGGGAAGAAAGUUGUUGGAUGUAGAUGAGUGUUUACUAUUAAGCACAAAGCAGAUGGUUCUAUUGACCAGUAUAAAGCCAGAUUAGUUGCUAAGAGUUAUACUCAAACAUAUGAGGUGGACUAUCAGGAGACCUUUGCUCAUGUUGCCAAACUUAAUACUGUGCGUGUUCUUCCGUCCUUAGCAGCAAACCAGGAUUGGCCUUUGUUGCAGUUUGAUGUUAAGAAUGCUUUCAUUCAUGGUGAUCUUAAGGAGGAAGUGUAUACGGAUCUCCCACCUGGUAUUGGAACAUCUCCUGGAAAAGGUGUUAUAUGCAGGUCACGAAAGGCCUUGUAUGGUUUGAAACAAUCUCUUAGAGCGUGGUUUGGGAGGUUUACAAGUUCAAUGAAGAAGUUUGGGUAUAUCCAGAGUCAUUCAGAUCAUACUUUGUUUCUAAAGCGACAAAAUGGUAAGCUAACUGCAUUGAUUAUUUAUGUUGAUGACAUGAUAGUGACUGAUGAUGAUCAGAAUAAGAUACAACGCCUUCAAAAGUACCUAGCUACUGAGUUUGAGAUGAAAGAAUUGGGUGAAUUGAAGUAUUUUCUUGGAAUCGAGGUUGCAUGAUCCAAGCAUGGUAUUUUUCUAUCUCAACGGAAGUAUGUUCUUGAUUUGUUAGCUGAAACAGGUAUGUUAGAUUGUAAACAUGUUGAUACUCCGAUUGAGCAGAAUCAUCGUCUGGGCUUAUUUCCAAAUCAAGUUCCUACUUAUAAGGAACGGUAUCAGAGGCUUAUGGGGAGAUUAAUUUAUUUGUUUCGCACUCGCCCUGACAUUGCUUAUGCAGUUAAUGUGGUAAGUCAUUUUAUGCACUCACCUAGUAAAGCUCAUAUGAAUGCACUGACCCGUAUUUUGAGGUACUUGAAGAUGGCUCCUGGCAGAAGCCUAGUUUUUUCCAAUGAUGGUCAUUUGAAUGUCGAAGGGUAUACAGAUGCAGAUUGGGCAGGUUCUAUCACUGAUCGGCGAUCUACAUCUGGAUACUUUAUGUUUAUGGGUGGUAAUUUAGUUACUUGGAGAAGCAAGAAACAAAAAGUGGUGGCUAGGUUAAGUGCAGAAGCUGAGUUUCGUAGUAUGUCUCAUGGUGUAUGUGAGUUGUUGUGGUUGAAAAAAUUGUUGAGAGAUCUUGGGUUUAAACCCAAAGGUGCUAUGAAACUUCAUUGUGAUAACAAGGCUGCUAUUGAGAUUGCUCAUAAUCUAGUGCAACAUGAUUGAACAAAACAUGUGGAGAUUGAUCGACAUUUCAUGAAGGAAAAAUUGGAUGCUGGAAUUAUUAUGUUUCCGUUUGUGGGAUCUGAAGAUCAACUUGUUGAUGCUCUUACUAAGGCUGUGUCUAAUAGUGUGUUUUCCAACUUGCUUGACAAGUUGGGCAUGCGUGAAAUCUUUGCACCAACUUGAGGGGGAGUGUUGCGAGUUAUAUAUUAGUUAAAGUGUAAAUAGUAGUUUAUUGUCUCACAUUGGUGAAGUACAUAUGUAACCAAUUGUAACUCCUAUAUAUACUCCACUUUGGAGAUUAAUGAAUAUAUAAGAAAUUCCUAAAUAUUGUCAUAUAUAUUUUUGGUAUUUACCAUGUUUAGUUUAAUAUUGGUAUUUACCAUGUUUAGUUUAAUACCCUCGUAUCCCAGUAUCAUGUCAUGUGGUAUUUCUAUGUUGUAUCAUGUCGUAUCCUGGUGUCUAUAUCCAUAUGUCUUGAUAGGUAGCCUUACAGAAAGAUAUGACAUAAACAAAAAGACAUUUGUAGUUAAUGAACACGCUUUAAUAUUUGGGUUAGAAGUUGUUAGAAUAACUGGGUAGUCAGUAGUUGGCUAACCAUCCAUAUAUGAUUUGUGUCUUAAUCUUUUAGGGAAACGUCCUGAGGGGAUUAAGAGUUACAUCAUCUUGAAUGGCUGAAGCCAGAAUUUAUUUGACAUGUUAAUCUCUGGUUAGACGAGGGGAUUUUCAGAGAGAAGAAGAGAACAUUGUGGAAUAUGACACGUGGUGGAAGAUCAACGGGGGAGCAUAUAUCGUGCUGGCUGUGGUUAUACGUUUUGGGCUAGUUGAAACAUUUUACUUAUUGGACUGCGAAGGAAUACGAGGGUAUAUGCCCAUAGACAAGAUGAAAGGCUCAGUAAAAAAUAAGCCCAAAAUCCAAUUGGUAAAUAUAUUCCUUGUGUGUGUUUAAGCAACCACAUAAAAGAAGUAAUGACAAAAGGGGCUGCCGGUGGAUUAAGCUUUCAACUCCUGGAUGCAUUCCUUUUCAUGUCAAGUGGUUGAUGUGACAAGCUCGGCGAGGUGUGAGUUCACACUUAAUCUCCUUGAAAUUACGGGAUUUAGCCCUUGAAAUGUGUUUUUCCAUAUGAAACACCUUUUGCAACACCUCCUAAUCUGAAAUAGGAGGGGAUGAGAAAGGUAUGAGAUGAGGAGGGCAGACAAUCCAAGUCCUUACAACACCCUCUAGUCUGAUUAUUCACAUAGAUUUACCGCCCAUAGCUGCCACGUCAUAAUCAUAAUUUUAAACAUUGAGUCUGUUACUGACCGCAAAUCUUCCAAUAAAAUGCCCAUUAAACAUCUAGCAGUUUAGCGAGCCUAUUGGGCCACGUUGUGAACUCAGUGCUUAAUUUUGACCCAAACAUAUAUAAUUUUCAUUAAUUCAUAAAGUAAUUUUAUUCAUUUUGAAUUAAAUUUUCCAACAACGAGGAAGGAAAUGUUGUAAUAAAACAUACGAAAUUCGUAAGCUCACAAGCUAAGCAAAACAACCGGUCUUAAAAAAUCAAAUGGAGCAAAGCAAAGGCUGGAGAGUGAUACUUUUUCUGCACUCCAAAGGCUUCUCCAUAACCAUUAUCCACACUAGCUCCAACUCCAUCAACCUUUCAACUAUAAACCCGCACUUCACCCACCACUGCAACAAAAAUCAUCAACAGAAUAUACAAUCAAAUAGAAAAAUCCUAUUUUUUUAACCAACAGUUACAACUACUGAUCCGAAAUCACCAAAACCCAAUUGGAGCACACAAGCCAAAUCAAAAUCAACACACCAAUUUGUCUAAACUCUUAAAGGUUAACUAGCUUUCAUGCACGCGCUCACGUGCGUGCAAAAGACAUUUUUUGAAUCACGGUGUGCUACGCGCGAAUUACACGUUUUAAAUGUAUUUAUAUGCGUAAAUUGACAAAAGGAAAGUCAAAUAUUUGAAGUAAAUGAAUAAUCUCAUAUCAUGCUAGAAGAAACUCCUCAUAAAUUAAUUAAAGCAGUUGAAUUCAUAUAAUAAAAACGAUCUUUAUAUAAUUUACUUUAAGAAUAGAGAAAAUAAUAUUUAAUAAGCAAUUAAUUGAAAAACAUUAUGGCUAGCCCAUUGUGAGGAGCCCACCUCUCACCUCCAUAGACCAUCUCCAAUGGUUGGGCUAAAAGCCAAAUAUUUUAGCUCGGAAAAUUUAGCUUUUAGCCCAAAAAUAGUUUUUCUGCUCCAACCGUUUUGGCCUAAAAUUUUAGUCCGGGAUUAUUAAAGAAUGAACUUAGACUAUUUUUUUCUUAAAUUAAAUUAAAAAAAUUAAAUAUGUAGACUAUCGUAAAUUAAUUUUAUGAACAUUUUAAUCUAAAAAAAAUUAAAUUCCGAUAAAUAUUGAAAAAUCACUAAAUUUUCCACAAAACCUUCUUAUUUUGAUUUGUGCCAAUUACACCAUCUCCGCUAACAGAAACUCAUGCCAAGCAUAGAGCAACAUCUUCAUCACAUGUCCAAUUACGACCUCUAAUAUGCUUUCUUGCCAUGUUGAACAAUUUGGAAAUGGAAAGAAAUGGUAGAAAGAUAAAUUGGAAGAAUUGUAAGAGAAAAUUGAGGAUGUUUGAACAAAUACAUAGGUAUUUAUAGAGUUUUUGGGUGAAUUUUGAGUUAAAUAAUUUUUUAAAAUUAUUUUAGCCGUUGGAUUUAAAUUUGGGCCGUUAGAUCUUUUUUUUUACCGUUAUAUUUGAUUAUAUUCAAUCUCAACCGUUGGAUUCAAUGUAUUUUAAAAUAACAUAUUUAAAACAAAUCAAAUUUGAAUCCAACGGUCCUUGAAAACUAGCCAUCCAAUUCAAAAUGUAGCUGUUGGAAUUCAGUGGGUGGCCCGACAAACCGCUGACAGCGGGGCCCACCCCUGUCGGGAAUGAAAUGCAGGCGCUCCGUGUGGGGCGCGUUGGAGCGUGAACCGGCCGAGACUGGCGCUCAGUGAGUCCAAUCGCGCGAGGGGGGUGGAAACCUGGGGGGUAUUUGGCCCAGAAAUAACAUUUGGCAUUUAGCCCAAAAUUUUAGCAUGGAUUGGAGAUUGUUUGGGGGGGGGUAAUUUGGCUUUUAGCCUCCCAUUGGAGAUGGUCUUAGUGUAGAUAAUAUUGUUUGUUUAAAAAAUAUCAUUUGACAACUAAUUUAAUCACAUUAUUGUCCACAUGCUGAAGACCUUUUUUAUAACCGGCAUUACACUCCUCUUAAGAUGUUUUGAAUGUGUUUAAAAAUAGAAAAAAAAAAUAUUUAAUAAACAACCGAUUGAAUCAUAUUAUUGCUAGUGCAUUGUAAGGUUAACCCCACUUGACACACCUCGACCGAGAUCAAGGCAUGCCGGCCGUCACACGGGAGUGACGUAGCCAUGUGCACAGUGCAAAAGCAAUAAAGAAAAUAAAUAUAGGAAUAAAUAAAAACAGAAAUACUAGAGUGCACCACUAAACAGAAGGUGAUAGGAGUUAGUUACAACAGUGAACACUCCUAAUCAGAGCAUAAAGUCUAGGUGCAGUCCAGUAGGACAAGUACUAGUUAUACAGUACCAAGAAUGUCAUACUAUUAUUUGGAUAAGUCAGAACUGCCGACGUCCUCUAGCCACCAACAGCAAGCUUACUUAAAACUGGAGGGGGGCAAAACAAAAAACGUGAGUGGGAAAAAACAAAUGCUUUACAAAGUCAUUUUCUUUAUCAACUUGUCUAACCUCUCGCUGUAAAACAUAUAUAAUUUUUCCCAGAAUUAGAAUAUAAGCAUAUACAUAAUUUAUAUAUAUACAUAUAUAUAUAUAUACAUAUAUAUAUAUAUAUGAAAUCAUAUCAAUUCAAUUCAUGCUUCACAUAAUCAUAUUCAAAUAUAUAUGCCAUGCUAAGAUAUAACAGAGUAAUCAAUUCAAGUAAGAAUAAAUUCAUAGAAUGUGAUAUGUUAGCCGGAACCCUUGUGGUAGUCUGUACGGCUGAACAUAUAGCUCAAAGUCAAUCUAGCCAGAGUCACUACAAUGACCUAUACGGCAAUAUACUACACAUAAGUCGGAACCCCUAAAAGGUUUGUACGACAAAAUUGGGUGUAAUACGGUUAUGCUCAAUUUUACUAUCUCAUAAUAGUCGAGCGAUAAAUUGCUAGUCACCUACGAGUUGGAACCAUAAAUAAGGUUUGUAUGACAAGACUGUGCACUUAAUUUGGAUCCAGUAUGAGCAUAUAGUGCGGGAGGUGACUUAAAUAAACAGGCAUGUACUUCAUAUCUCUGGCUAAAUCACAAUCACCCUAGGUGCAGUUUUAUGAGCUCAACAUUAUUCAAUUACAUAUCACAUCAUUGAUGAUUCACAUAACCAAAAUAUAACUCACCUGAACUUACCUGGGCCUCCACAGCACCAUGCGACAAUAUGCAUAAUUAUGAUAAUGCAUAUACUAAAAUAAAAUAUAGGCAUUGGCAUAGCAUGGCAUUUAAAUCACAUUUCCUUUAAAUAUAUUUUCUGGGAAAAACAUCAAGUAUACUGAAAACAAAAGCCCACUCACUGAUAUGUCGAUGGGUCGUAACCCCCGAGUCGCCCUUGGAUAUGCUCGUCCUCGGGAUAAGUCUCACCUAUAUUCGAAUUAACUAUAAAAACGUUAUUUUAAAGCACAUAGACAAAACUAGCUAAUAACUUCUAAUACAUUGCUCAAAAUGGGUAUACGAAUAUACCAUAGUGACCUACACAACCUUACGAAUAUCGUGAUAUUUUUUGAGCUCCCACGCGCCGGCAAGGGCACGGUAAAACGCGCCCCCACGCUUGGCCCAAACCUGACGGAUUCCCUAACCACCGUUAGGGAAUAUUCCGUUAAACCUAACAGAUUCCGCUAAAAUUGAUUGACGACGUUAGCAUAUUCCGUCCAAACUGACGGAAUAUGCCGUCAUCUUCUCUGACGAGUCGCCGAUCGCCGGGAAACUGGGUAAAAUCUCAAACCCACACAAUAAACUCUAAAUCUCAAUAUGUCACACAUACACACUACAAUUUCCUGUCCAAUGUUAAAACUGUCAUUUGACCGCACUAAUAAAUGAAUUUCGGGACGGGCUGUGACAAUCUCCCCACCUUAUAAAAUUUCAUCCUCGAAAUUACAUAUAAUAAAUACAUCCACUAAUAACCAUAAAACAAGCAUGGAUACAUCUCUCGCAUCCGAUCCUCUGUCUCCCAAGUAGCUUCUUCCACUGAAUGAUUUCUCCAUAACACUUUUAGCAAACGAACUGUCUUGUUCCUCAGUUCUUUGUCCUUCCAAUCCAAAAGAGUCAUUGGCUCUUCAUCAUAAGUCAAUUCCGAAUUGAUUUCCAAGGGUUGAGGAGGAAUCAUAUAUGAAGGAUCCGAAACAAAAUGUCAAAGCAUCGAAACAUGAAAUACAUCAUGCACAUUGGAUAACUCUGGAGGCAACUUAAGCCUGUAAGCAACCUCACUUACUCGCUCGGUGAUCAUAUAUGGUCCAAUGAACCUAGGACUCAACUUUCUUUUCUUUCCAAAUCGCACUACACAUUUCCAAGGUGAUAGCUUCAGAAAUACCCAAUCGCCUACAUCGUACUUCCGAUUAGUGGCAUGCUUGUCUACUAAGCUCUUUUGUCGAUCUUGAGCCGCUUUCAGGUUAAACUUAAUUACCUGAACAUUUUGAGUAGUCAUAUCCACAAUCUCAGGGCCCACUAAAACUCUUUCGCCAACCUUUGACCAACAUAGAGGUGUACGACAAGAUUUCCCAUAAAGUGCCUCAAAUGGUGUCAUACCAAUGCUCAAAUGAUAACUGUUGUUGUAGGCGAACUCCAUUAAAUCCAAACAAUCAUGCCAACUAUCUCCAAACUGCAGCACUGAAAAUCUCAACAUAUCCUGUAAUGUCUGAAUGGUCCUCUCAGAUUGUCCAUCUGUCUGAGGAUAAUAUGCCGUACUAUAAAGUAAUCUCGUACCAAAAGCUUCCUGGAAUGCUAUCCAGAACUUAGAAGUAAAUCUAGGAUCCCGAUCCGAGAUAAUAUUAACUGGCACACCAUGAUACUUCACAAUCUGUGAUAUAAAUAACUGAGCUAAUUGGCUUAGCGAAUGCUUCUCCCUCACUGGAAUAAAAUGUGCUGACUUCGUAAGCCGAUUAACUACCACCCAAAUGCCGUCAUAUCCAUUCUGUGUACGAGGAAGCUUGUACACAAAAUCCAUAGUAAUAUUUUCCCAUUUCCACUGUGGAACGGGAAAUGGCUGCAUCAACCUAAACGGCUUCUUCCUUUCAGCUUUAACCUGUUGACAAAUGGCACACCUACUCACAUAUUUGGCAAUUUCUCUUUUCAUACUUGGCCAAUAAUAAAAUGGUCUAAUGGUAUGAUACAUCUUAGUGCCUUCUGGAUGCAUUGCAUAUGCCGAAAUAUGUGCUUCAUCCAAAAUUUCUUUCUUUAACUCUGCAUUAUUCGGCACAUACAUCCUGCUUUCCUGCAUAAGCAUGCCAUCAGUUUCUCGAAUCUCGAAAUCUUUCUUUUUGGCUUGGUUCCUUGCUUGAAUUAUUUCAUGGGUCUCUUCAUCAAUCAUUUGAGCCUCAAGUACAUGAUCAAUUAAAAUUGGCCUAACCUGAAAAUUAGCACGUUCACAAUCUUCCACUCCUAACUCCACUCCAGUGGACCUCAAAUCUGCUAAGAGAGGAACAUGACAAUCAUAGAUGGCAUUAAGUCUGGUUGGAGUCUUUCUACUAAGUGCAUCUGCCACUGCAUUUGCACGACCAGGAUGAUACUCAAUCGUGCAAUCAUAGUCACUAAGUAACUCAAUCCACCUCCGCUGAUGAAGAUUAAGAUCUCUUUGAGUAAACAGAUAUUGGAGACUUUUAUGAUCUGUGAAGAUCUUACAUUUUUCACCAUAAAGAUAAUGUCUCCAAAUCUUCAAGGCAAAGAUGAUAGUUGCUAACUCCAAAUCAUGUGUAGGGUAAUUCUUCUCAUGAGGUUUCAACUGUCUCGAAGCAUAAGCAAUUACUCUACCAUGUUGCAUCAAUACACAACCCAAACCAUUCAAAGAAGCAUCACUAUAAACCUCAUAAUUACCGCUAUCAUCUGGAAGUGCUAAAACAGGAGCAUGAGUGAGAUAAUACUUCAACUGCUGAAAACUUUGCUCACAUUUAUUAUCCCACUCAAACUUAACAUCUUUUCGAGUCAACCUCGUCAAUGGCAGAGCAAUCACUGAAAAAUCCUUAACGAACCGUCUAUAAUAGCCUGCUAAGCCAAGAAAACUCCGUACCUCGGUGACGGUUCGAGGUUGCUCCCAAUUCUCCACGGCUGCCACAUUCUGAGAAUCCACUUGAAUGCCCUGAGAAGAAACUAGAUGUCCCAAAAAUGCCACUUGGUUCAGCCAAAAUUCACAUUUGCUAAACUUAGCAUAUAGUUAGUGUUCCUUCAAACUACUCAACACCAACUUCAAAUGUCUAACAUGCUCAGCCUUAGACUUAGGGUAUACCAAAAUAUCGUCAAUGAAGACAAUAACAAACCUGUCCAAAUAUGGCUAGAAUACUCGAUUCAUCAAAUCCAUAAAAGUUGCUGGUGCAUUAGUUAACCCAAAUGGCAUCACAAGAAACUCAUAAUGACCAUAUCGAGUCCUUAAUGCGGUUUUUGGGACAUCUUCAUUUUUAAUCUUCAAUUGGUAAUAACCUGACCUCAAGUCAAUCUUAGAAAAUACACAUGCACCUCUGAGUUGAUCAAAUAAAUCAUCUAUACGAGGCAAUGGAUAACGGUUCUUAAUGGUCACUCGAUUCAAUUGCUUCUAAUCAAUGCACAACCUCAAAGUUCUGUCUUUCUUCCUCACAAAUUAAACUAGAGCUCCCCAAGGUGAAGUACUCGGCUGAAUAAAACCUUUAUCCACUAACUCUUGCAACUGGACUUUCAAUUCCCUUAAUUCAGAAGGAGCCAUUCUAUAAGGAGUUAAGGAUAUGGGAUUCGUACCUGGAAGCAAAUCAAUAACAAACUCCACCUUUCUAUCUGGCGACAAUCUAGGCAAAUCCUCAAGAAACAUAUCCGGAAAAUAUCUGACAACACGAGCAUCCUCCACACUACUAGGAGCAUUAUUAUUCAACACCACAUGAGCCAAAUAUCCUUGACAACCUUUCGACAACAAUCUCUUUGCUUUCAUGGCUGAAAUAAUACCAUGCCUCACCCCAUUAGGCUCUCUUACAUAUGUAACUUCAGGUAAUCCAGGACAAUGAAAUGUGACUGUCUUCUCAUAACAACCUAUCUUGGCACGAUUAUAGUGCAACCAAUCAGUGCCCAAAAUCACAUCAAAAUCCAUAAUAUCCAACGGCAUACGAUUAGCCGGCAUAAUAAUAUCCUCUACUAUCACUGGACAUCCUAGAUAUACUUGAUCCAUAAAACAGCUAUCCCUUCUAGGCAUAGAAAAUUCUAAAUUAUAUCCUAGAGGUGUAGGAUGGGGUUGCGACACUUGAGCAAAUGUAUGAGAAAUAACAGAAUGUGUAGCACCACAAUCAAUCAAUACUCUAGCAAAAUGACCAAGAAUAUUUAACAUACCCAGGAUUAAAUCUGGAUUAUUCUGGGCAUCUUGCAGUGACAUGUUGUGGAUACGUGCCUGGUUCUACUAUCGUCCACCGCGACCUUUGUUGGUGUGAACACCACGUCCCUGCCUCUGCUGACCCGACUGCCUCGAAGGUCCUGCACUACUAGCAGCAAUUUCUCCCUGCUGGGGUUGUCCCCCUUGGUACCACUGAGAUCCUCCGGCUGAAUGUGGCUGAUAAGACAUAGAUCCUUCAUGAUACUGAGGGUACCCACUCUGGUACUAAGGAUCUUGAUAGUACUGUUGCUGUCCUGAGGUGUAUGGAGCGACGUCGCCCUGAUAGUGGUAGGCACAUCCUCGUCCAGUCUGAUUGUAACCACCAGAUUCUGAAGCUUGCUGAAUCGGUGCAGGUGGUGGGAAGGAAGGCUGUUGGGGUAUCUGCUGACUCUGAGGGCAUUGGGUAGCCUAAUAACCCAUCUGACCACAAGUAAAACAUCCAUUGCUGCCUCUCCUACACUCCCCAAAAUGUCGAUUAUUACACAUGCGGCAUAAGGGAGCACUAGAUCCACCUGAACCACCAAAAUCUUUCUGCCUCUGAAACCUAAAGCCUCCAGUGAAUUUACCACCUCUCCUCUGCAUAUUAGUACUCAAUCCUCCGCUAGAAGAGCUAGAGCUGCCACCAUUCCUCUUAAAGUUCUAGGUCUUGCGGAGUCCCUGAAAUGCUUACCCUUUUCCUUUGUCAUCUCGUCUCUAGCCCCCAUUCUUUCCUUCCUUAUCUUCACUUUCACUAGGCAUGUUCUCUAAGGCCUCAAUCCUCAGUAGAAUCUCAUAGAACUCCUGGCAAGAGGCACAGUGAGUCGAUGUUGCUAUGGAAUGCCAUUUCUUCUUAGUACCUAAACUGAAACGAUGAAGCAUCUCUACUGGGUUAGCAGCAACCUCCGGAUCAUAUCUCGACAGAUCAGUAAACAUCCUAUAAUACUCAUUAGCGGACAUUUUCCUUGUCUCAGGUGAGUAAACUCCUGUUUCUUAAGAUUGAUAUAUGUAGGAGGAAUGAACCUUUUCCGAAACCGUUCCUUAAACAUUCCUCAGUCUACAAUCUCUUCUGGGGUCAUCUGGUAAGACUCCUGUCUCCACCAGGAUGCAGGCUGUUCUUUUAAAACCAGGUAGUCGUCUCGACCCACUUAUCAGGAUAAAGAUUCCCCUGACUCUGCAUCACCUAAUAUGUCUUCUCCACAUGAUUCAGCCAUUUUUCUACCCCCUCAUGACCUUCAUUAUCCAUGAAGUGAGUCAACUUCAGAUUAUGAACUAUCUCAAGAUGUGUCAUCUGAGGAGUACAAAAUGCUGUCUGAAUGGCAGAAACUAUAGCUUUCCCCAAUUGAGCAAUAUUAGGGAAACUAGAUUCGGCUACUUGACGGGGCUCUCUACAAGGCGGCAUAGUUCUGACAUAAAACAUCACAAGGAUUAGAACAUUCAAGAAUUAUACAGGAUUGCUAAACCUAUGCUCUGAUACCAAACUGACACACCCCGACCGAGAUCAAGGCAUGCUGGCCAUCACGUGGGAGUGACGUAGCCAUGUGCACAGUGCGGAAGCAAUAAAGAGAAGAAAUAUACGAAUAAAUAAAAACCAAAAUACUAGAGUGCACCACUAAACAGAAAGUGAUAGGAGUUAGUUACAACAGUGAACACUCCUAAUCAGAGCAUAAAAUCUAGGUGCAGUCCAGUAGGACAAGUACUAGUUAUACAGUACCAUGAAUGUCCUACUAUUAUUUGGGUAAGUCAGAACUGCAGAAGUCAUCCAGCCACCAAUAGGAAGCUUACUUAAAACCUGGAGAGGCGCAAAACAGAAAACGUGAGUGGGAAAAAACAAAUGCUUUACAAAGUCAUUUUCUUUAUCAACUUAUCUAACCCCUCGCUGUAAAACAUGUAUAAUUUUUCCUAGAUUCAGAAUAUAAGCAUAUACAUAAUAUAUAUAUAUAUAUAUGUAUAUGAAAUCAUAUCAAUUCAAUUCAUGCUUCAUAUAAUCAUAUUCAAAUAUAUAUGACAUGCUAAGAUAUAACAAAGUAAUCAAUUCAGGUAAGAAUAAAUUCAUAGAAUGUGAUAUGUUAGCCGAAACCCCUGUGGUAGUCUGUACCGCUGAACUCAUAGCUCAAAUUUAAUCUAGCUGGAGUCACUAUAAUGACCUAUACAACAAUAUACUGCACAUAAGUCGGAACCCCUAAAAGGUCUGUACGAUAAGAUUGUGUGUAAUAUGGUUAUGCUCAAUUUUACUCUCUCAUAAUAGCCGGGCGAUAAAUCGCAAGUCACCUACGAGUUGGAACUAUAAAUAAGGUCUGUACGACAAGACUGUGCACUUAAUUUGGAUCCAGUAUGAGCAUAUAGUGCGGGAGGUGGCUUAAAUAAACAGGCAUGUACUUCAUAUCUCUAGCUAAAUCACAUUCACAUAACCAAAACAUAACUCACCUGAGCUUACCUGGGCCUCUACAGCACCAUGCGACAAUAUGCAUAAUUAUGAUAAUGCAUAUACUAAAAUAAAUAUAGGCAUUGGCAUAGCAUGGCAUUUAAAUCACAUUUCCUUUAAAUAUACUUUCUGGGAAAAACGUCAAGUAUAUAUAUACUGAAAACAAAAGCCCACUAACUGAUAUGUCGACGGGUCGUUAUUGGAUAAGUAAAUAAUAUGCCAGGUCAUCAUUGUACAUGUGCAGAACAUGUGCACAUAUAGAGUAGUAUAAAUAGUUACUUUCCUCUUGUAUUUGGGAAUGUCGGUGUAUAACAAAAACAGUUACAAAAAUAUAUUGAGAAAUUCUUCGGUUUCCUUCGCCUUUAAGCUUUCUUAGUCUGCAUAUUUCUUGAUUUCUAUGAAGCACUUCCUUGUAGUUAAGAUGGUAUCUAAAGCCGGUCUUGCUUGCGCAAUGGGUCUGGUUUCUGGGUUUCGCUGCUUCGGUUGGUGAUAAGGUGGUUUCUGUUUUUUUCGUUGCUUCGGUUGGUGAUAAGGUGAUAUUGUUUCACAAAUUCUCAAGAAUUUUGCUUAGAUCUGGAGUUUUUUUUUAAUUGAAGGCCGAUGCCAUAGUUUCUGUUGAAUUGACGAUUUAUAUGUUGUGUUCAUGAAAGGCCGAUGCCAAUUUGUUGUGAAUUUUGGGUUUUCUUGCUAUAAGUGAAUUGAUUGAAGGCCGAUGCCGAGUGAUGAAGUUUGUUUGUGAUUCUUGAAAUUGUAUAAUGAUUGGUUGCUCUUGAUUCUGUGUUCGAAGUUAAUUUUGUACAUCUUUCAUCUGGGUUCUUUCCACCGACUCAAAUUUCAUCUGGGUUUUUCUGGGUUCUUCCAUUAUCUUUUGGUGUUUGUUACAUUUGUUGAUAUUACAGUGAAUUUGUUCUUCCAAUCAUGGUUAAUCAAGUGAAAAUUGAAGGUUUGCUGGGUAUGCUUACGAUCAAACUAAAUGAUGAUAAUUUUCUUAAAUGGAGUUUUCAGUUUAGCUCUGUUUUGCGUGGAUAUGAUCUUCUUGAUCAAUUUCACAGGUGAUUAUGUAUGUCCUCCCAAGUUUGUUCUCACUCCUGAAUUAGGAGUUACUACUGAGGUUAAUGCUGAGUAUAAGGACUGGGUUAAGAUGGAUAUGGCAUUGUUAAGCUUGUUGAUUGCUACCCUUAGUGAUGAUGCAAUUGAGCAUGUGGUCGGCUGUAAGACAUCUCAUGAGGCCUGGAUUGCCUUACAUGAUCGAUGUAUGUCUAUUUCUAAAGCUAGUGUCAAUCAUCUAAAAGCUGAACUACAUACUAUGCAAAAAGGGGGGGACAUUAUUGAUAAGUAUCUGCUAAGGUUGAAAGCACUAAAAGAUCAAUUACAGGCUGCUGGAGAGAAAGUGUCCGAUAAUGAUCUUAUUAUUGCUGCACUCACAGGUCUACCUUCUGAUUAUGAUACAAUUAGAACUGUUAUUUUUGCCAGAGAGUCACCCAUUACUCUUGAGGAAUUUCGCGCUCAAUUAAUCGGUGUAGAGAAGAGUAUUGAAGCCAGAAUGAAUUCUUUGGUUCAGGGGAUGUCUGCUUUGUUUGUGAAUGCUAAUUCUUCUAAUAAUCAUACUGGGGGAUCUUCAGGUUCUUUGACUAAUCCUUCACCACCUCAAUUUUCUCCAAAUAUUGGCUAUAGCUCCUCUGAUAGUUCUUCUUCUUAGCCAAGUUAUUCUUCUGGUAAUCAAUUUCAGUCGAAUAGUUUUUCAGGCUUGAAUCAGAAUGGCAGAAUGUUUGGUAUGAAUACCUAUAGACCUCGAGGUAAUGAAGGUUAUAAACCAAGGUUCAAUAAUUCCAGAUCUGGUCCAAAUUGGCAAUCAUGGUCGGGCAAUACUUCUAACAGGUUUGAUCUUGUCCCUGAGUGUCAAAUAUGCUCUCGCAAAGGUCAUGUUGCUGUUACCUGUCUUUAUAGAAAUGAUGGUGGACAGUCUGUACAAGAGUGUCAAAUUUGUGGCAAGCGUGGUCAUAUUGCAUUAAACUGUCGGCAUAGAGGCAAUUAUGCUUAUCAAGGCGCUCAACCUCCUCCUUCCUUAUCUGCUAACUAUGCAUAUCAAGGUUUUCCUAUGUCUUCUCAAGCUAAUAUGGGAUUGGUCUCUUCUCAAUCUCAGUUUUUGAAUAACAAUCAACCUCCUCAGUAUGUGCAUAACAUUCAGUCUCCUCAGUUUGUGCACUACAAUCAGUCUACACAGUUUACCUCUCCCUCUAUGUCAUCUCCACCUGGUUUUCCAGCUAUGAAUGCACAAUCUUCUGCUGCGAUUGCAAAUGGAGAUUCCUGGAUUCUUGAUACUGGUGCUUCUCACCACAUGACACCCGAUUUGACAGUCCUUGCUCAAUCUACACCUUAUGCAGGAUCCGAGAAGAUAAUAGUGGGCAAUGGUGAAGGUUUGAAAGUUCAAAAUAUUGGUCAUGGCACUGUGCAAACUCCUUCUCAUGUUUUACAUCUUAAGAGCAUUUUACAUGUGCCAAUGUUGACUGUGAAUCUGUUGUCUGUUAAAAAGUUGUGCAAAGACAAUCAUAGUUGGUUUAUCUGUGAUGAUAUUCAGUUUUUUGUGCAGGACAAGGCAACUGGGGCGAUCCUCCACCAUGGAAAGAGUAGCAAUCAUGAGCUGUUUCGAGUCCCUAUGCAUAUUUUUCCCACUUUACUGGAUCAAGGUGCGGGUUCUGCUUAUUUGGGACAGUCUGUGACAUCUUCCUUGUGGCAUCAACGUUGUGGUCAUCCUUCUAAUGACAUAUUGAAAACUAUGCUCAGAGAAUCAAAUAUAGUUGUUACUUCUGAUGAAAAUGUCAAACUUUGUUCUCAUUGUCUUGAUGGGAAAAUGAGUAGACUUCAUUUUUCUGAUAGGAUUGAUAGAGUAGAUAUUCCCUUUUACAAAGUACACAGUGAUGUAUGGGGCCCUUCUCCAGUUGUUUCAGUUGAAGGGUUUCGAUAUUAUGUGUCUUUUAUAGAUGAAGCUACUCGAUUUGUAUGGAUUUUUCCUAUCAUGAAUAAAUCAGAAGUUUUUGGUUCCUUUGUCAAAUUCUGUGCAUAUAUUGAGAAUCAAUUUCAUACUAGAGUUAAAGUGUUACAAUCUGAUGGUGGUGGAGAAUUUCUUAGUCAUGCUUUCAAAGAAUUUUUGGCAACACAUGGUAUAUUACAUUUUAUCUCUUGUCCUUACACACCAGCAGAAUGGAUUAGCUGAGCGGAAGCAUCGACAUCUUAUUGAAACAGCUAUUACAUUGCUAUCUGUGGCCAAGUUACCUCACAAGUUUUGGUCUUAUGCAGUCAAUCAUGCUACCUUUUUUAUUAAUAGGAUGCCAUGUAAGGGUCUUAAUAUGAUUUCACCUUUUGGGAAGUUGUUUGGCAAGAAACCAGACAUAGCUAAUCUCAAAGUUUUUGGUUCUGCCAUUUAUCCUUAUCUUCGGCCCUACAAUACUAAUAAGUUACAGCCUCGAUCAACCCAAUGUGUGUUUUUGGGAUAUUCACCAGGUUAUAAAGGUGCUAUCUGCUACAGUAUAUCCACUGGGAAAGUUCUUAUUUCUCGUUAUGUCAUUCAUGAUGAAACUAUAUUUCCUUAUAGACAUGUUAGUUCAACUGCUACAGAUGCUACUUCUUCCAUGUCUUCUGGUCAAAGUAGUACUGCAAGUCCUAUUAUUGUACAGUUACCUUCUUUAAUGGAUCAUUCUUCUAGUCUUGAUUCCAGCAAUGUUUCUCCACGGGUUUCAGUCACUCCAUCACUUGGUUCUACAUCCCAGCAUCAUGUUUCUUCGAGCUCUUUGGAAAAUACACAGGACUCUACUACGCAUGCUACUCUUUCCAGCCUUAUGUUGCCUGUCCAAGUUGAGUUAGCUCCUCUCAGUUCUUCUAAUUCUCCUCGCACAUGUAAUACAUCUAUUUCACAAGGAAUUCAAACACGGUUAAGAACUGGUACCAUAACCAGAAAAGACUACUCGGCCUUAACAGCUAUAUUCCCAGAAGUGCAGUCUUUGACUCUUGAGGAUGAUGAUCACUUCUCAGGGGGUUUCACCUUUGUUGCUGAUAUUCUGGAUGCUUCAGAACCGUCUACUUUCAAACAAGCAUCUCAUAUUCCCCAGUGGAAAAUGGCAAUGCAGGAUGAGUUUGAUGCUCUUCAAGCACAAGGUACCUGGUCACUUGUUCCUAAUUCCUGUGAUAAGAAUGUCAUUGGUAGCAAGUGGGUGUAUAAAAUAAAAAGGAAUAGAUGGCUCUGUUUCCCGAUAUAAAGCACGCUUGGUUGCCAAGGGAUUUAAUCAGGAAAAUGGGCUGGAUUAUACAGAAACAUUCAGUCCUGUUGUUUGACAUACUAUGGUUCGUAUAAUCUUAGCACUAGCCGCUACACAUCAUUGGGAUCUUCGACAACUUGAUGUGAAGAACGCUUUUCUUCACGGGGAAUUGCAGGAAGAAGUUUAUAUGAAGCAACCCCAAGGUUUUGUCAAUCCUCAGUUUCAUACUCACGUUUGCAAAUUAGUUAAGUCUCUUUAUGGUUUAAAACAAGCUCCCCGAGCUUGGAAUGACAAAUUUACUAACUAUUUGCAGGCUAUUGGAUUUGAAGCUUCUCUGUCAGAUUCUAGUCUAUUUGUUAAACUCGAAGGAGCUCAUGUGAUCAUUUAAUUCUCUACGUAGAUGACAUCAUAAUUACAGGUUCUAAUUCCCAGUUGAUACAAUCUGUGAUCACAGCUCUUAGUGAAGUAUUUGAUCUUACGGAUAUGGGCAAGUUAGCCUAUUUCCUUGGCCUCCAGGUUACUUAUAAGACAAAUGGGGAUAUGUUUAUCAAUCAAGCCAAAUAUGUGCUUGAUUUGAUUCACAAGGCUGGCAUGGAUGAUUGUAAGCCGUGCUCCACACCCUGUAAGCCUCAUAAUCAGGUUCUUUCUACUGAAGGUACCUUACUCACUGAUCCUACUCUAUAUCGAAGUUUGGUUGGGGCUCUACAGUACCUUACAUUUACACGUCCAGACAUUGCCUUUGCUGUGAAUACUGUAUGUCAAUAUAUGAAUGCUCCUACCGAUGUACACUUUGCUAUGGUCAAAAGAAUACUUCGAUAUUUGCAAUUAACUGUUCAGUGUGGCUUGACUUAUACUUCUGGGAGUUCUGUGUCUGUAACUGCAUAUAGUGAUUCGGAUUGGGCUGCAGAUUUGAACACUCGGAGAUCUAUCACUGGUUAUGUUGUGUAUCUUGGCUCUAAUCCUGUUUCUUGGCAAUAAAAAAAGCAGUCCUCUGUGUCUCGGAGUUCGACUGAGGCUGAAUAUCGCGCCUUAGCACAUACCACAACUGAUAUUGCCUGGAUCCGUCUCAUUCUCAAGGAUUUACAUGAGGUUUUAUCGACUCCUCCAGUGGUGUAUUGCGAUAAUCAAUCUGCAAUCACUUUGAGUUUAAAUCCAGUUCAACACUCUUGAAUCAAGCACUUGGAAACAGAUUUUCACUUUGUCCGUGAACGAGUUCAAAAAGGUGACUUAUCUGUUGAAUAUGUGUGUACUAAAGCUCAGAUUGCCGAUGUGCUCACCAAAGGUCUUCAUGGUCCAGAUUUUCUUCGUCACUGUUUCAAUCUUAAGCUUGGUUAUCCAAGCUAAGAUUGAAGGGGGGUAUUGGAUAAGUAAAUAAUAUGCCAGGUCAUCAUUGUACAUGUGCAGAACAUGUGCACAUAUAGAGUAGUAUAAAUAGUUACUUUCCUCUUGUAUUUGGGAAUGUCGGUGUAUAACAAAAACAGUUACAAAAAUAUAUUGAGAAAUUCUUCGGUUUCCUUCUUCUUUAAGCUUUAUUAGUCUGCAUAUUUCUUGAUUUCUAUGAAGCACUUCCUUGUAGUUAAGAGUCGUAACCCCCGAGUCGCCCUUGGAUACGCUCGUCCUCGGAAUAAGUCUCACCUAUAUGCGAAUUAACUAUAAAAACGUUAUUUUAAAGCACAUAGACAAAACUAGUUAAUAAUUUCUCAUACAUUGCUCAAAAUAGGUAUAUGAAUAUACCAUAAUGACCUACACAACCUCACGAACAUCGUGAUAUUUUUAGAAAAACAUUUCGAGCUCCCACGCGCCGGCAAGGGCACGGCAAAACGCGCCCUUAUGCGUGGCCCAAACCUGACGGAUUCCCUAACCACCGUUAGGGAAUAUUCCGUUAAACCUAACAGAUUCCGCUAAAAUUGACUGACGGUGUCAGCAUAUUCUGUCCAAACUGACGGAAUAUGCCGUCAUCUUCUCCGGCAAGUCGCCGGUCGCCGGGAAACUGGGUAAAAUCUCAAACCCACACAAUAAACUCUAAAUCUCAAUAUGUCACACAUACACACUACAAUUUCCCGUCCAAGGAUAAAACUGUCAUUUGACCUCACUGAUAAAUGAAUUCGGGACGGGCUGUGACACCACUCCCUCUCCCUUAAUGUAGAUAAUAUCGUUUGUUAAAAAAAAAGAAUAAUCAUUUGACAACUAAUUUAAUCAUAUUAUUAUCCGGAUGCGAAUGACCUUUUUAUAACCGGCAUCACAGGCCGCUUAAAAUGUUUUGAACGUGUUUGAAAAUAGAAAAAAAUAAUAUUUAACAAACAACUGAUUGAUUCACAUUAUUGCUAGUGCAUUGUAAGGCUAAGGUCACCCCUUCUCCCUUAGUGUAGAUAAUAUCGUUUGUUAAAAAAAAUAAAAACAAUCAUUUGACAACUAAUUUAAUCAUAUUAUUAUCCACAUGCGAAAGACAUUUUUUAUAACUGGCAUUACACGCCUCUUAAGAUGUUUUGAACGUGUUUAAAAACAGAAAAAUUGAAUAACAUUAUUACUAGCCUAUUGUGAGUUUCUAAUUUUUUUUUAAAAGAAAAAAAAUUAAUUAUUAAAAAAAUAUUGUUAAAAUGAUGAAAAUUCCUUUGCCUUAUUUGAUGUAUUAUUUUGCAAUGCUUUUGAAGUUUUUUUGUUUUAGAGGUGUUUUUGUCCAAAAUUUUUUAUUGAAAGUAACACCAAAAUCACUAUUCAUCUUUUGCGUUCGUUAUAUAUAUAAGAUGUUUAAUAGUCAUAAUCAAUUAGUCAAUCAUCACUCUGUCCUCUGCCUGCCUCCUGUCAAUCCUUUAGGAUUUCAUAUAAUCCGGCACAGGAGAUCCCAAAGUUACAGCGGCCUGGCACCAUUUGUCUAAAGUGUAAAGUCAUAAAGUUGUGAAACGCGUCCUUUAUUGCGUUUAGCUAAAUGUAAAUCAUGACCUGAGGAAAAAGACAAUUUCCAUUGAUCCAAUAAUAUCUCUACCGUAUGAAAUUCACUUACUAAUGAAAACAAGUAUUACCAACUUUUUAUUAUUUUCUAAUGUCCCCAAAAGGCCUAUUCUUAGAUGUAAAGUCGUUGAUAAGAUCUGACAACAGUUUACAAAUGUUUGUAAAGUUGGAAAGCCAAGAGUAAUUAGGAUUUGAUACUCACUAAUGAUAUCCAAUUUCUAAACAACAGUUGGAAAGUCAAGAGUAAUUAUUUUUUUAACGAUUUAUUUUAUAUAUAAUUUCUUAAUGGCACAAGUGGACUGCCACGUCAGCAAAUAUAUGGGCCCUCCAUGUGCCAAAUCAUUACUUAACUGUCAGUUUGACAGAAUCAUUAAUAGAUGUAUGAUAUUGCAACGAAUUUAUAAGUUAUAGUAUGACAUUGCAAUGUUUAAAACAUGAGGUAUGAAAUUCUGGUGCGACACAUAGUUGAGCUAGUUUUGUGUAAUUUACUCUUAUAUUUUUUGUGGAGUAUGAUUUUCUUCCUUCCAUAUUCCUCGUCCUCCCUCCCCUUCUCUCUCUUUCCUUUUUGUCUCUCUCUAAAAAAUAAAGUCAACACAAUAUGUUGGCGUGACUUAAUUGUGAUCGUUCAAAUAAGAGAUGAGAAAGGAGAAAUUUUUCAUUGUGACGGGAACAUAGGUGGUACACCACAUGUUUUUAUAUAAGUGGUGAGAAAUUGUAUUUUUUAAGUUAUUAAUUUUUUAGCACACAAUUCUAUCAUUGAUAUAGUGACACGUGAUGUACCACCUUGUGUUCCAGUCACACUAAAAAAUCUCUGAUGAGGAAAGAGAGGAGAAAAUCUUACUUUAUUUUUCAUACCAUAUUUGUACUACUUCUCUAAUAAAAGUAGGAUCCACCAAUACAAAUAGUUCUCACUUUUAUUAGAAGAAUUAUACUAAUAUGAUAAAAUAUAGUAUUUUUGAUAAAAUAAUGUACUCCUAUCCUCGUUUUUAACUUUAAGUAAAAUGACAUACAGCUACUCAAAAUAUCGAUAACAUUAAUGAUAUAAACCCGUGUGUUCUAGAGCUGGCCAAUAUUCUACACUCUAAAGGCAUCUCCAUAACCAUUAUCCACACCGGUUCCAACUCCAUCAACCUUUCAACUCUAAACAUAGAAAAACCCUACUUUUUCAACCACAAGUCACUACUGAUCCGAAAUCACCAAAACCCAAUUGGAGCACAUAAGCCAAAUUCAAAAUCAAUGCACCAAUUUGUCUUCACUCUUAAAGGUUUAAUGUUUAAUAGUCACAGUUAGUCAGUAAGUCACCACCCUUACCUUUGCCUACCUCCUAUCGUUGGUGUGGCACCAUUUGUUUAACGUGUAUUGAGGAAAACCUCUGAAUUGGCUUAGAAGAAAGUAUUUGGUCAAAAUUUCAAUGUAGGUCAAGUUAGAUUUGAUUGAAUUCACCAUUAAUAUUAGAAAAUGGAGUCACUAAUAAAAGAGCGGUUAGUAAAAGUGGUCAAAGCGUGAGCAUGUAUAAGCUGAACCACAUAUUAACAGCUGUUUACAAAUGUUUGUAAACUACAGUUGGAAAGCCAGGAGUAAUUAGGAUUUGAUACUCGGUAAUGAUCCAACCUGCAUAGCCAACGAAAUCUUACAUCAUCAAGAUUAAGUGGGAAUUGUUGUAUGAUCAUGAUGAUGUUAGCUUUACUAUUCUCUGAAAAUAAUAAGAUGAAGUCUAUUAAAGGAGGAUUCAUUCCUAGACAAAUCAAUCCAACUUGAAAAGCAUUUUCUCUUCUUCCCCUUGGUGUGCUAUUUCUCCCUUGGCACUACCGCACAGUAAUCAAUAAUCUAACAACAUUAGAGAUUGAUCCUAUAAUCCAUCAAAUUCUACAUUAGAAAUCAUUUGUGAGGGUGUCCUUAUGAUUUGCACACCAUGUUUACUAACCAAAUGGUGAAUGCAAGAAAUGUGAGGGAUGUUUGAAAGGUAGGGCUGUAGUUGGAGCAUGGAAUUGAGAGAGGUGAGGUUGAAAGAACAAUUAGAAGACUGAUGGUUAAGAAAGAAGGGGAAGAGAUCAAAGAGAGAGCCCUAAAUUUGAUGCAAAAGGCAAAUCAUCGCCUCAAAGAAGGUGGCUCUUCGUACUAAUUUUUGGAUGGCUUGGUUAAACAUCUUACCGUUAUAAAUCAUUUGUUUAAAAAACUCAGUAUCAUUUAUUCAAUAAAAUUAAAAUUUGUUGCAGUCCUAUUAGAUUAGGAAUGCGAUUGUGUAAAUCCUAGUAUAUCUUGGAAUAUCUCUUAUUCCUAUUAUGAGUUGAUCACCUAUUAAGAGUUGUAAUCCUAAAAGGGUAAGAAAUUAACCUUUCCGACUACUAUAAAUAAAGGCAUAAUGGGGUGGAACAGAACACACCUCACACGUACACAUCUCUCUCUUCUCUCUACUAUUGCCGCACCUUUCUUUCUCUAUGGCCUCCAUAAUUGUUCAGUAAAUUAUGCCUACAACACGUUAUCAUCACACUUUCGACGUUGCGCUAAAGAAAGUUUGAAUUUCAAUCUGGGGAGUAUUACGUUUUAAUCAUUUUUUUAUGAUUAAUUUAUUAUUUUAUUGAAUUGAUCUACAUGCUAUUGAUUCAAUUUAAUUUUUCUUUGUUGAACGUGACACAACGCAUUGGAGAUGCAAUUUCGGCUUUCUGUGAAGGAUCUUCUACAAAUACAAAGGCUUUUGUUGUUUUCUGCCAAUCAAGUACGCUGAUAGGAUUAAAAUGCACACCACAAAGUAGCAUACAAAUGUCCUAUUGAUUUUCCUUAUUAACACUAAGAUUUGUCAAUUGUAGCAUAUGAAAAUAAGGGUCUUUCCCGCAGAAGACUGUUUUAUCUAACUACUUAAAAAGUCACAAAAACUGGGCUGCUGUCCAUACUGACCAGCCACCGAAAAAUAAUUAUUAGACUAACUUACGCUUAUCUAAAGUCUACAAAAUUUUAUAUGACAACACUAGACACACAGAGCUACACUCACAAAUAGUUUUGGGAUUUUUGGAGUUGAUUUGCUAUUUAAAUUAAAUUGAACAAAAACAGGACAAAAACAAAUUUUAAAUAGUUCAUAAAUUAAGAAAAACGAGUUAGGGGAAUUGCUAUCCACCACCAAAUAAUCAUGCAAACAUGUUAUGUUUCAUGCAAAAUCCUUUUAUUUCAGGAUGAAGAUGCUUAGGUUGGCUCAAUGUUAGAACUCAACCUAUUACUCUUUCUUAUGUAGUAUGUUAAGAGAAUGGCGUUUUCAACUUAACUUAGUCCCUAGCAUGCAAUCUAGAAUGGCGUGUUCAUAGAUAUAACAAGUAGAAAUCAUUAAGAACGAAAAGAGUUUGGGUCAUCACAAGGCAUCGUAAGUACUGGCGUUGUCUUACUUAUCCUAGAAAUUGGUUCACAUGUUAAUCGCAAUUAACAAGUACUACUCUAGAACAUAUGUAGGUCCUUAUUCGACAAGGGCAGACACACACAUAUUCAUAGUGUUAGAAUCCUAGAUAUGCUUACUACGUAUGCAUCCAUAGAAAACAAAUAAAGAAUUCAUCAAUGAGACAAGUAGUGAACCAAUUUUCAUCCAUUCAUAAAAGUAAUUCAAACGAAAUGUCAUAACAAAUUUGCAAUCAUAUUCGGGGCUUCAAAACAGCCCCUAACUACUAAAAAUUUAGUUACACAUAAUCCUUAAGUUAAAACAAAAGAUAGACAUGAGUUUGAGAAUAUAGAACCGAAAGAAAUCGACCGAGGCCUCCUCCUCUCUUCCUUCCUUCCCCAAUGUUGCUUUUAAACCAAUUCUUGCAUCAUUUUCUUCUCCUUAACUCACCCACUAAUAACCAUUUAGUGAUGACAAUAAGUGAGAGGAAAUGUGGUAAAACAAUUGUAACACUUUAGAUAGCCUUUAUGCCAAUUACUCCCUCUUAAUCCUCAUUUUUAAUUCCAUUUCCUCUAAUAUUUGAAUAGGUGUCAGCUGACUUGUUCUUGGCUGCAUCAGUUUUGGCUGCUAGAUUUAUUGGGUUUAUUGCUUUCAUUGCAGUUACAAACUGCUCAGCCUCUUGGUAACCUUUCAGUGUUAAAACGGCCAUAACGUCUUCUAGAAACAUGAUAUUAGCAAUCCGCGAAAUGCUCCAGAAAAUAGACAUCCGUAACUUUCCAAACAUAUAAGGCUCAUUCUCUAAUUCAUUCUGAGCUGUUCACAACUUGCUUCCAAAGUCAGCUGAUCUGCAUAGGCAUUUUUGACGAAUUUGUUACUUAAAAUCCCACUUGUGCUAUUUUUCUUUAUUUGCUUGACAAAUCCCACAAAACACAAAAACAAAGUAAAUAGCUCAAAAAUAUAAGGAACUAACUAAGAAAAGACAAGUGAAUUUGAUGUAAAAUAUAUAUAAACAUGAGCUUAUCAUACGCUUAAAAUAAAGUAAGAUAUUUGAAACGACCAUGAAGCAUGAAAGCAUUCCCCAUGAUGCAUGAAUCCCAUACAUUUAUAUUUACCUUCCGAUAUAUAUAUAUAUAUAUAUAUAUAUAUAUAUAUAUAUAUAUUGUAUAUGUUCAUAUAUUUUUCAAUAUAUAUAUAUAUAUUUGUUUCAUGCAUUACGCAAUUAUAUUUGUUAUGUGGAAUAUGUGAGUCAAAGUAUAUUCAUAAAUUAGAAGCAAUUUAGGGUUUCCUAAACCCUAACACUUUCGGAAAAAAAAGGAACAUAUUGCGAUGAACCUCGGUAGUAUCCCUCUGGGCUUUGCUGCUAACAUAUGGACACACCAGGCAUUCGGCCUGGCUGGUUUGACUCGGACCCGUAGCCCAACUUCAUCAAGGAAGCCUGCAACUUUCCUUUUGGACCUACCUUAUGCUCUCAGCCCAUGCCAGCAAGCUGUCAUGCUUGCUGGGCUUUGAAUUAAGCCCCAGCCCGCGGCAAGCUUUGCUUGCUAGGCUUGUCCUGCAUGCACCCAGGUCUGAAACAUGCUCACUCUGGUGCCAGCCCACAUAAUUAGGCUUGGUCUCCACGGCUCAAUAUGAUGCCAGCCACAUGGCUGGGCUCAUGUGCCUCAACCAGGCCAGCUCCGUGCUGGGCCCGAAGUUCCUCGCACUCCCUAGGCCCAAAAACCAACAGUCUUGGUUGCUAGACCUUCCAACCCAUCAGGCCCAUGGCCUGCAACCCACUUCUGAGGCCUUUAGGGCCUUGCCUACUUAUGGCACCCAGCCCAAAUCUUUUUGGGCUAUGGUAUUUUCGACCCUAUACUAUUAUUUAGCCUUUUAAAUAAUUUUAACUCGAAUGUUAUUAUUAUUUUUGCUUCUAUAAUCGGCCUCGUUUGGUCCCAAUUUAUUGAAUUAAUUAAAAGUGACUUGCAAUCCAUUAAUCCGAUAAUGAAUCCAAAAUUAUUGACAUGAAGAUCACUCUUGGACAUUGACGAUUCAAUAAUUUAUUUUUUUAUACUUUGAACCGUUGACAUACUUUCGUAGUAACGAAGCUCUCACACUUGAAUUCCCGAAAAAACUCAAAUCCUCUACACUUAGUUGUAUAUUGCAUUCUGUGUUCUUGCAUGAAUCUCUUUUUUAUGAACUAAACGUUCAUAAACUAAAUUGAACCUGUAAUUUCAAAUUUAGUGCCUUUGAAAUCUGAAGUUUUCUUAAAACAAUACACCCAUAAAAACCUAACGUUUUUCAUGAAAACCAUGUCUUAGAACCCAAAUGUUCUAACUUUGAUGCUUAUGGAUGAUUCAUUCCCAUAGCACCAAUUACAAAUCUUGUUCCCUCCAAAUUCAAUGGAUUCGAACCGUCAUAAGUUCGAUUUCCCUUAUUUGGAUGUUUCUUAUAGAAACCACUUUAUGUGGGGUACAACGUUAUACCGAAACUAUUGAGUACUGGUCAACGUUAUACCAUCAAAGACCCAGAAGAGUUUCUCUUAACCCAGGAGGCCAAUCAGAGCGUGACACGUGUCGACAUCAGAAGCCAAUCAUAGCACGACACGUGUCAACAUCAGAAGUCAAUCAUAACACGACACGUGUCAAUGUUAGAAUGAAACUAGAAACUUUCUUCUAUAAAUAGAGAUCAUUCUCUCACAAUAUUUCCUAAUGUCAUUUGUACUAAAUCAUUCACUUGUACUCACUAAAGGAGAGCUUGAAUCUAUGUACUUGUGUAAACCCUUCACAAUUAAUGAGAACUCCUCUACUCCGUGGACGUAGCCAAUCUGGGUGAACCACGUACAUCUUGUGUUUGCUUCCCUAUCUCUAUCCAUUUACAUACUUAUCUAUACUAGCGACCGGAGCAAUCUAGCGAAGGUCACAAACUUAAUACUUUCUAUUGUACCAAAGUCCUCGCUAAUUUUAUGCAUCAACAUUUGGCGCCGUCUAUGGGAACGACACUUAUUCCCACUCUCUUCAACUUUGUCAAGCUAGUUUCCACCGUUCGUACACUCUCUUUUGACCAGGCAUCCCUCUCCAACAUGGGGAGCGAAGGAAGCCACAGCACACAGAAUGACACCCCUCUUGCACCUAGUGCGAAACAACGAAAGAAGGAAGGAAAGAGGGCUGUUCUUCAAGCUAAAGUCGAUGAGUUAGAAGCUCAAAACAACAAGAUAGCAAUGAAGAAUGAGGUCCUCCAGGAGCAGUAUGAGAAGCUAUUUGAGACGCUCCAUGAAACUAUGCGUACUCAAACACGCGAGCUUGUUGCCCCUGUGGACAUCAACCAUCAUCUGGGUGCCCCCUAACACGGAGGGUUACCUUCCUUCGACAUGGGUAUCUCUGAUGAGGAGCAAGCUAAUCAUCAAAACAUUGAUCAACAUGAGACUUCUCUCAACCCAGCUGCUUCGACCCGAAGUAUGAGAAGUGGAGGAAGACACCUCCUUGUAGAAGGGUUGGAAGGAUCGAAAGCCAUUUAUCGUGACUGCCGAGACUUCCUAAAGUAACGUCGAGAGAAUCUCCUCCACAUAUGCUUGAAGAUCAAUGACCCAAGGGUUUCUGAAAGACUCGGUCCCCUCUCACGACCCAAGCCAGCUGCCAAUCUAGGGAAGGAACGACAUGUCCUAGAGGAACAUGAAGGUACAGGGGACUCUGAGGUAUUCCAACAGACUCGCCCUAGAAGUCAGUACGGCGAAUCCAAGGAAAAAUCACACGCCCUUGCUUAAACUUUCCUACUUCCAAUAGGCGAUGAAGACUUACGAAAGAAAAUCCCAAUGAUACAUGACUCCACUCAAGACCCCCUUGUCCUACAGCUCAUUGAGGAAGUAAACAAGUUGAAGGCCGAACGUCAGGCCGAGAUACCUGACUGGAACCAACCCAGGCCUGGCCCUCUCACAAGGAGGAUCCUCGACACCCCCCUUCAAGCAAAGACAAAAUAAAAGCUUGGUUUAUAACUCUAUACUGGAAGAGAUGACCCAAUUGAACACCUUAACCUUUUUUAGUCCACCAUGGCAUAUCGGAUGCACACCAACGAAAAACGAUGUCUUCUCUUCCCCUCCACCCUCUCUGGCGGAGCUCUAAACUGGUAUUGCCGUCUUCCAUCUGAGACAGUAGAUUCAUUUGAGGAACUGAGGAAACUGUUUAUCUCUCAACAUAUCUUCCAGACCGAUCGCUUGCAUUCUGCAGAUGACUUGUACACUAUUCGCCAGAAGCCAGACAAGUCACUACGAGAGUAUGCUGGUCGUUUCAGCCAUGAGUAUUCUCGUUGCGCUGAGGCAGAUGACAAGACCGCCCUCAAGGCCUUCACGGCAGGCCUACGGGAUUGUUUUUUCAAGUACAUGAUCAAUGCCAACACUUGGAAGACUUACUCUGAGGUGAUGGCACAGGCUUACAACAUUGCCUCCGCCGAGGCAAUGACAUAUUAAGGGAAACCCCCCACAACCACCCCUUAUCAGCAAGUAGGGAGUGGAAGCCAGAUCCAACCAAAUGAGAAGACCUCGACCUUCCAAACAGUAGCGGUGCCUCCCCCUGCCUUACUUAAUACUUUGCCAAGUCAACAGACAUAUCAAUCUCAGGGCAAAAGGAAAGAUUUCCAUCCUCACCAGUCUCAUUUUAGUAAAAGAAGUAAGUGACACUAUUGCGAUAACCAAGGGUAUCGCCAUGAUAAUCCCCAACCCUAGGUAGUCAACACAGUGGGUCAAGCACGUGUCAGGACAUCCCCUACCCUGAAAUAUGAGGCAUACACACCUUUGAACGCCACAUGUAUGGCCAUUUACCCCAGCGUAGCAAACUUGAUACCGAAGCCAAAUGUGAGGCACCCGGAUUACAAGUGCACGAAGAACACGGGCACGUUUUGCUGCUACCACGAGCAUAACGGCAAUGACGGCGAGAAGUGUAUCACCUUUCGUGAUCAUGUUGAAGCUUUGGCACGUGAAGGAAAAAUUGAUCAAUUCCUCCUUCACCCUCCAAGGGGUAACCGUAACCAACGUCAGGUGAAUGUGAUAUAUUCCAUAUGUGGUGGCACACCCAUAUCUAAAUCUUCCAACAGGGUUAUGAAAAAUAGUGAACGAGCUUUAAGGUGUGGCCACUAAGUGUUUCACGUGGAAGACAUCAGGGGAGGUAAGUAUAUGUUUCUACCCUGAGGAAGAAAGAGGUAUCAUUUACCCUCACAACGAUCCACUGAUUGUGGAAGCUCACAUAGCCAACUUUGAAGUACGACGAAUUCUGGUAGACACGGGGGCUUCGGUCAAUAUCAUGUUUGCUGAAGCUUUCAGGGCACUUAAUGUAGCUGAACACUUGCUUGAUCGCUCGAUUUCCUCUCUGAUAAGCUUCUCCAGUGAUAUCGUGCAACCUUUGGGGAACAUACACUUACCUUUCACCAUUGAUAUAGGCCCUUACAUAGCUACCAUUAUCACUAACUUCGUGGUGGUUGAUUGCCCAACGGCAUACAAUGUCAUCUUGGGACGCACAUGCAUCAAUGAUCUCAAGGCCAUGGUAUCCACACAUAUGUUGUUGAUGAAAUUUCCAACCCCCUAUGGCAAUGGUUACAUCAUAGAAGAUCAACUUAGUGCAGGAUCAUGUUACAACACUUUGGUCAAGCAACAACACCUGCCUGUGCCCAAGGAAACCCUUUCUAUACAUGACUAAGUCAUAAAGACCAGCCCAGACGAAACCAACUUGGAUCUUCACGGUGGUAACAGUCAACUCGACGAUCCUCGAGAUGACUCUUUCACCCAGCAAGCACAACCCGCUGAAGAGUUGGAGAAGGUCUCUAUCUCAAAAGAUUAUCCGGAUCGUAUAGUGAAGAUUGGCACCACCUUGUCACCACCCAUUCGGUUGGCAUUGAUCUCUUUUUUGCAAGAGAACACUGAGGUCUUUGUCUGAUCAUACGAGGACAUGUCAGGCAUCUCUCCCGAUAUCAUCUGUCAUCGCUUAAGUAUUGACCCCAAGACCAAGCCAGUGAGACAGAAGCGAAGAUCCUAUGACAUUGAACGGUGCGAGGCAAUGAAGGCAGAAGUUGAAAAACUCAAAGGCAUAGGGUUCGUCCGUGAAGUCAAUUUUCCAAUGUGGGUAGCAAAUGUUGUCCUUGUUAAAAAGAAUCCGACCAAGGAAAGUUUCCUGCUCCAAAAGGUCUUGUGGAGAAUGUGUGUCGAUUACACCGACCUAAACAAAGGAUGCCCGAAUGAUAGCUUUCCUCUUCCUCUCAUAGACAGACUUAUAGACUCUACCGCAGGGUGUGAACUUCUGAACUUCAUGGAUGCUUACUCAGGAUACAACCAAAUCCUCAUGAACCCUCCGGACCAAGAACACACAACCUUCACUACUGACAGGGGACUAUAUUGCUAUAAAGUAAUGCCAUUCGGCCUAAAGAAUGCAGGAGCAACUUAUCAGAGACUGGUCAAUUCAAUAUUCACCGAACAUAUUGGGAAGAGCAUGGAAGUUUACGUUGAUGAUAUGUUAAUUAAGAGCAAGCAUGCUGACCAACACAUCACCAACCUAUCUGAAACUUUCACCAUUCUGAAGAGGUAUCGAAUGAGGUUGAACCCCAAUAAAUGUGCCUUCGGCGUAGGCUCUGGCAAAUUCUUAGGCUUUAUGAUAAGCCAACGAGGCAUUAAGGCUCAUACUGAGAAGAUCAAAAUAAUCAUUGGCAUGAAGGAACCGGUAACUUCAAAAGACAUCCAGAGCCUUACUGGCAAGGUGGCAGCCUUAACUAGGUUCAUCUCUAAGGCAACAGACAGAUGUGCUCAUUUCUUCAAAGCACUUAAAGGAAGUAAGAAGUACAUUACAUGGACUGAUGAAUGUGCUGAGGCAUUCAAUAACCUCAAAGACUACAUGAGUAAGGCCUCUUUGCUCUCCAAACUUGAGGUUGGUGACACUCUCAUUAUCUAUUUGUCGGUAUCGGCUUCACAGUAAGUUUCGUUCUCAUUCGAAAUGAUGGUAAUGUCGAACGGCCUGUCUACUACGCUAGCAAGGCCUUACAAGAUGUGGAGACACGAUACUUUAACAUUAAGAAAUUGGCUCUAGCAUUGGUCAUGUCUGCUAAAAACUUUGCCCUUACUUCCAAGCACACUCUAUCAUUGUGCUUACCAAUCAUCCUCUUCGACAGAUACUCAAAAGUCCUGACACUUCUGGGCAAAUGAUCAAAUGGGCGAUAUCAUUGGGUGAGUUUGACAUCUCCUACCAACCAAAGCCAGCUGAGAAGGGCCAAGCAGUGGCAGACUUCAUCGCCGACUUCACAUAUCCUGUUGACAUUGUUUCUACACCUAAAGAAGUGGUUUCAUUACACUUAGAAGCUCAGAAAAUAGAACCAACAGCCCCAGCUUGGAGUCUAUAUGUUGAUGGCUUGUCCAACCAACAGGGUUGUGAAGCAGGACUAGUCCUUACGACCCCUGACAAAGUGGCGAUGAAGUAUGCUCUUCGUUUCAAAUUCAAGGCGUCGAACAAUGAGGCCGAAUAUGAAGCCCUCUUAGCAGGCUUACGUUUGGCCAAACACCUUGGGGUUAAACGAAUUGAUAUCUUCAGUGACUCCCAAUUGGUGGUUAACCAGGUCACCAACAACUUUGACGCUAAGGAUAACUCUAUGGCUGCAUAUCUGGCACAAACACAAUUGUUGCUUAAGCACUUCCACUACCAGAUCACCCAAAUUCCUCGAGCGGCAAACAGUCAUGCAGAUGCUUUGGCUCACCUCGCCUCAGCGAUGGAAGACAAGAUUGGGAGAAAAAUUUGGGUCGAAUUGUUGGCAGCACCAAGAACCAUAGCUGCGGAAGUGUGCAACUUACAACAGGGGGAUAGUUGGAUUACCCCGAUUUAUAGAUUCCUUGCUCAUGGCACCCUUUCAAAUGACAAAGUCCAAGCUAAGCAGAUUUGAUACAAGGCUACCCGUUACUUGAUCAUUAAUGACCAACUCUACAAGCGGGGUUUUAACCUACCAUACCUAAGAUGCCUUACGCCUGUAGAGGCGGAAACUGUCCUUCGGGUUUUAACCUACCAUACCUAAGAUGCCAUAUGAGAAGUUUUCCUCACUCGGAAAAUUAAGGGAGCACUACCUCAACCUACAUGCUUCACUCACAAAGCUUCAACAAAAGGAAAAAUUCAAAUAACUUAGUGAAGAAGGCCUUAGUGUAUUUAACACAAUACAUUGAAAUGAAGCAAAGCUUGUUUAUUGAUAUCUCCGAUAAGUUACAAAUAUGUACAUAUACAUGAAUCAAAAUAUACAAAUAAGAGGGAGCCUUCACAAAGGUUGCUCAAGAGAAGUCUCAGCAGUCGGCAGAGCCCCAGAAAGAGGAGGCACCAGAGGGUGAUUAUUCGAAGCCUCAGUACUAGGUAGAACCCCAGAAGGAGGAGGCACCGAAGGUUGAUCAUUUGGAGCUUCAUUACGCGGUACAGCCCCAGAAGACGAAGCAAUAAAUCCCUUUGGAACAAACCCACAAACCUCUGAUGAUCAAGAAAAAUCUGACCAUCAGAUUCCUGCAGCUGGUCGAGCUUUCUUUUCAUGUUUGUAGCAUAGUCAUGUGCGAGCCUGUGCAACUGUUUAUUCUCAUGCUUGAGCCAUUUGAUCUCCUGUUUGAGACUUAUCACUUCAGCCGCCAAUGAUUCAACUUGGCGGGUUCGAAUAAAUAGGCGUUGGGCCAUAUUAGACAUAGAACCUUCACAAUGAACACCGAGAGCCAGAAAAUCCUUAACAGCCAACUCAUCAGACCGUUUGGAUAGUAGUCUGUUAUCUUUGGGAGUGAGAAUGUUCCUGGCCACCACCACAUCGGUCAUAUCAUUCUUCAUCAUAGAGUCCCCAACGGUAAGAGGACCAGUAUGAGAUAAGAAGGAUGGUCGCCAUAUGUUGUCUUAAGAAGGCAUUGCUGCCUCUUCACAAAAGUUCAAGUCAAAACGACGGUCGGAUGGGCCAGACAUUCUCAGAAAUGAUGAAACACAAAUGAGGUGCAAUAAAUCUCUGAAGUAAGGGGAAAAUUCCUACAAGCAAUAACUCUCUGAAUGUACUUCUUGCACACAAUUGGUGCCCUUAUAAAAGAAAGGGCAACAGAGCCGUUCGUUCAAAAAUCGAAGACGCACCACUCUCCGAAUUUCGAAGAGGCACCACUUUCCACACGCAACAUCAGCUCCUCGAGUACCACAGAUAACUUUGCCAAAGAUUUCUGACAAAGUUUAGACACCUAAAUUUUGAAGAUCCAGCUACCCUACUAUUACCCAUAAGGGUAAAGGAACAGCACCACUGCUUGAUAACUAGAAUGUCCCAAUGUGUGUCAACCUCCGUGCUCCGUGGCAAAGCAGACUGGUAAAAAUACCUAACCUUUACUUAUAUUCGAGAAAACACUCCCAACAAGAUUGCUUGCUCAAAAAUCGAAGAGGCACCACUCUCCGAAUCUCGAGGGCUAGACUCCCAAUAGCAUUACUUUCUCAAAAAUCGAAGAGACACUGUUCUCCGAAUCUUAAUAGUUAGACUCCCAACAGGAUUGCUUUCUCAAAAAUCGAAGAGGCACCGUUAUCUGAAUCUCGAGAGCCAGAUUCCCGACAGGAUUGCUUGUUCAAAAACCGAAAAGGCACCGCUCUCCAAACUUCGAGAGCUAGAUUUCCUUGGAUAAAGCUUGUCUGCAAUCUUCAUAAGCAACAUCAGUUUUCUAGAUACCAUAGACCACUUUUUCAAAGCGCUCUGACAAAGUUAAAACAUGUGAAGCUUGCAGCUCCCACUACAUUGCUAUGACCAAGAAGGGUAAAGGAAUAGCAUUAUUACUUGCUCAAAAAUCGAAGAGGCACCGCCCUCCGAAUCUCUAGAGCCAGGCUCCCAACAGGAUUACUUUCUCAAAAAUCGAAGAGGCACCGCUCUCCGAAUAUUAAGAACUAGAUUCUCAACAUGAUUGCUUUCUCAAAAAUCAAAGAGGCACCAUUCUCCAAAUCUUGAGCCAAAUCCCCGACAGGAUUACUUGUUCAAAAACCGAAGAGGCAUCGCUCUUCGAAUUUCGAGAGCCAGAUUUCCUUGGAUAAAGCUUGUCUGCAAUUUUCACACGCAACAUCAGCUUUCCAAAUACCACAUACCAUUUUUUCAAAGUACUCUGACAAAGUUAAAAUACGUGAAACUUGCAACUCCCACUACAUUGCUAUGACCAAGAAGGGUAAAGGAAUAACAUUACUACUUGUUGUUAAAAAGACUCCUAUAUAUGUCGAUCUCUAUCCUUCACGGACAAGCAGACCUGCAAAAAUGUUCAACCCUUCCUCAUAUCUGAGAGGGCACUCCCAACGAAGUCUCUCGAAAUACUCAGCUUCUUUUCCUCCUGAUAAUACCUCUGCAAACAAGCCACACCUAGAGCAAUAGUAUCUCAUAUCAUCAGGGUUAAAAGCAAGAGUAUCCCAUAUCAUGCUUUUUCCCUAUCUUUUCCUUUGGCCUUGUUCUUACCUGCAAGACAAAGAGAAAGAUAGCAAUCAGUCAGCACUUGGAAUCAAGCUUCCAGUCAGGAACUGACUGCCUGGAAUCCCUUGCCUGAUUACUUACCUGGCAUUGCUCUCGAGUACUCAUCUUCAACAUCUUAUACUUCCAGAGAAGAUACCACAUCUACCUGAGGAACAGAUAUGGCAAGUGAGAAGGAUACAAGCAUGUGGAGACAAGCGUAACAGAACAUGUGCCGAUACAUCCACUACUUUGUCAACAGCAAAAGUAUCCCAUAUCAUCAGGGUCAAACGUACUCUAGAUUUAAUGGACUUGUUUUGACCCUCAAAUUCUUGAGUCGACCUUAUACUUUGGAGGAAACCAGAAAACGCUCCAACCCAGUUCAAGAAUAAGCCUGUGGAAAGUUACUUCUUCAAAAGCAAAAGUAUCUCAUAUCAUCUCUCUCCAUUUGCUUCUCCUUAUCCUUGGUGCUAUUUACGACACAAGGAGAAGGAGAACAAUCAACCGGAAGCCGAAGUCGAACCUCCGAUCCAAGUUGCUUGCUUGGAAGUCUGAUUGCUUACCUUGUCUGUUACCUCUUUCGGCAAAUCUCCUAGCUCGGCGACUUGGGGGACUCAUACUAUAGGGUUUUGUAUCGUACUUGACCAAGCCCGAAACUACAAGUAAGCUUCAAGUGAAAUUGAUACAUUACCUUGCAUCUUCAUCGGUUAAAGAUACCACCCUUGGAUGGAGGAAAAGUACUUCCAGAGAAGAUGCCACAUCUAUGUAUGAGACAGAUAAGGCAAGUGAAAAUGAUACCACACUUCGGUACUUAGAAGUUUCAUGAUUACUCAAUGGCUUUGAUCUUGCAAGUCCCCAACCGAGGAGCUUCCCUCACUCGGGAACUUAAGGGAGCACUGUUUGUACCAUACUUGACCAAUCCCGAAACUACUGAGCACCAGUCAACUUUAUACCGUCAAAGACCCAGAAGAGUUUCCCUCCAACCAGGAGGCCAAUCACAGCGCGACACGUGUCGACAUCAGAAGCCAAUCAUAGCACGACACGUGUCAACAUCAGAAGCCAAUCAUAACACGACACGUGUCAAUGUCAGAAUGAAACUAGAAACUCUCUUCUAUAAAUAAAGAUCAUUCUCUCACAAUAUUUUCUAAUGUCAUUUGUACUAAAUCAUUCACUUGUACUCACUAAAGGAGAGCUUGAACCUAUGUACUUGUGUAAACCCUUCACAAUUAAUGAGAACUCCUCUACUUCGUGGACGUAUCCAAUCUGGGUGAACCACGUACAUCUUGUGUUUGCUUCCCUAUCUCUAUCCAUUUACAUACUUAUCCAUACUAGUGACCAGAGCAAUCUAGCGAAGGUCACAAACUUAACACUUUCUGUUGUACCAAAGUCUUCGCUGAUUUUGUGCAUCAACAAUUUUUGCUUCUAUAAUCGGCCUCGUUUGGUCCCGAUUUAUUGAAUUAAUUAAAAGUGACUUGCAAUCCAUUUAUCCAAUAAUGAAUCCAAAAUUCUUGACAUGAAUAUCACUCUUGGACAUUGACGAUUCAAUAAUUUUUUUUUUUUUUUUUAUACUUUGAACCGUUGACAUACUUUCGUAGUAACGAAGCUCUCACACUUGAAUUCCCGAAAAAACUUAAAUCCUCUACACUUAGUUGUAUUCUGUGUUCUUGCAGGAAUCUCGCUUUUAUGAACUAAACGUUCAUAAACUAAAUUGAACCUGUAAUUUCAAAUUUAGUGCAUUUGAAACCUGAAGUUUUCUUAAAACAAUACACCCAUAAAAACGUAACGUUUUUCAUGAAAACCAUGUCUUAGAACCCAAAUGUUCUAACUUUGAUGCUUAUGGAUGAUUCAUUCCCAUAGCACCAAUUACAAAUCUUGUUCCCUCCAAAUUUAAUGGAUUGUCGAACCGUCAUAAGUUCAAUUUCCCUUAUUUGGAUGUUUCUUAUAGAAACCACUUUAUGUGGAGUACAAGACAUGAAUCUCCACUUGACUAUCAAGAAACUGAGAAACCAUUGUAGCCAACAAUGGCAUGGAAGAGCUGAAUAAGCCUUCGCCAUGAUCUUUAUUUGAAGAUUUAUGCUCGAAGCAUAACAAACAGAAAUACCUCCAGAACUAGGAUUCCAUGACUCUUUGGCUCACUUCUACAGACUGUUUAAUCAUGAAAGACAUUGCCUGAAGCACACCAUGAUUAUGUCCAUAAAUAAGUACAAUUCUGAAGUUUAUAAAUCUGAUCGAAUUUUGACUGGAGAAUACUUUUCUCGUCCUUCCAUGUUUCUAACUCGUUUCUGAAGCAAUAGUGUAGAAAGUGGAAGUUUACCAAAUUCUCAGAUUUGAUUACCACCACAAACAUAUGGUAGACUCAGGGCCUGCCUAGGUGUGGCAUCAUGCCCGAAGCAUGAUCUUUGGUACCUAAGACCUAAAACUUCAAGAAUUAGGGAUAAUAUUCCCAAACUUCAACCCUGCAAAAUCUACUUCCAUCUCGAUAGAAUAGAUCAUUGGUCAUGCAACUGUUCGUGCCUCUACCAAUGUCGUUAAGGAGUGUCAUUCUCGUAGUUAAUAUGUGAGACUAAUUUUUCUCCACCAAACAUCAUUGGAAGAGCAAAAUAUUGACAUGGAUGACCUUGUUGGCCGAAUCCCCUUAGUAAACCAUUUACUUUAUGAACAUUUUUCUAUGUUCUUGAAUUCAAGGUGGGUGUAUGUUUUACUUAUGGAUAAUCUUAUUGAUAUUGUCAUCAAAUACGAAUUAAUUGAAUCAUGUUUCUUAAUACAUGUGAUCGAUUCAAUUAAACACGUGAUUAGGUAGGAAUGUGGGGAAGUUAGUUGUCUGAAUGAAUGCGAUACUACGCGCACCAACUUUAAACCUAAAUCACAUAUCUAACAAUGACUUCAGGUUUAUCCAACCUGAUUAAAAGUAUUGGCACGCUCCUUGUUGUAUGAAUGGUAUUGCAUGACCAUUUAAAGGACAUUAAAUUCUCCCUGUCGUUGAGUUUUUAAGGAUAUUCGUGAUACAAUGACCAUAAAUGAAACCACUGAAGAAAAUAAAGUGGAAUAUCUUUGCACCACCUCCAAAAAUGAGCAUGCAGCUUUGAUUUAGGGCCAAUGGGUUGUCUCCCAACUGGGAACACACCACAUGUGGCUGGUCUGGAGAUUGGUGAUUCAAGCAGUUUACUCGCUUUGGCACGACCUUUUGGAACACUUAGGUCGAAUUAUGAUGCUACAAUGCAUCUCCUUACCCGAAGUAAGGAUCUUAUGCUAACAAGCACACUUUGCCAAGGCCGUUCAUUUGGGAAAUUUGAUUUUUAUAUCAUCCCUCGCAAAGAUACGAAACGACUCUCUUUUAACAGUGGAUUCAAGGGAAUAUAUGUGGACUAAUCCUACCAAAAUGCGGACCAUAUAAAUACUUAUGGUUUUGGUUGAUGAAUCGACAAACUGGUUACAUGUUUGUCCACACACAUUGCUGCUAAACCUCUUGGCCGAUUAAGGGCUCACCACCCUACUUAUCCCAUAAAGUCUGAGAUACUAGAUAACGUCGGAGAGUUUAUAUCGACAGUUUUCAAUAAAGUAUUGCAUGUAUUUUGGGUUUAUAAUUGAACAUUGAAUUCCCAUGAUUCACCCCAAAUGGCCUCGCCUAGUGAUCAUAAAGCGCAAUUUAAAUGAUCACUUGGAUUUUGGUAAACAUACCAAGUUUUCAGUUUUUGCCUAGGGCUAUGCAAUCUUGUACGCAGUUAUGUUAGUCUGCCUUGAGGCCUAUUGCCACUCAACCUAUUGGACGUUACAUUUAGUUACUGGGUACGAACUUGACGUUUUUCGUAUUUACGCAUUUAGGUGUGCAUUCUAUGUGCCAAGUUGCGCCCUUACAACGUACCAACAUGGGUCAUCAAAGAAGGAUGUGAAUCUUUGUCUAUUUUGAUUCUCCUUCACACUAGCUCUAUUCGAGCCCUUGCAUGCGAUCUUUUUACCUCUCAUUUACGGGUUGUCACUUUAAUAAGACAGUUUUCCUGCUGUUAGGAGGAGAUAAGAACGUCAAUGGUCCUGUAGAAUGGCGUGAAUUUGCACGGACUUUGCCCAUUGUCUCAUCUUGAUCCCCGUACCACACAAGUGUGAUAAGCAAGUGCGAUGAAGUCUAGCUUUCAGAAUGUUGCUCCAGACGCAUUCAUUUGGUCUACCUAAAAUGACGAGAUCAUAUACUAGCUGCAAACAUGCAUGCAAGGAUAGACAUAUUUAACAGACGUCGAGUCAACAUCCCUGAAGGAUGUGCCGCCCCUAUUGGACGGUCCGGUACAUUGGUGGGUAGCCAAUCAAUCUGUCUUAGCCUAGAGCAUGACAAAUCACUCGGUUCGUAGGAUUCACUUCCCUAGAAGAGGAAGACACGGCACAAAAAUGAAUCUGUUGAUGCACAAAAUCAGCGAAGACUUUGGUACAACAGAAAGUGUCAGGUUUUGUGACCUUCGCUUGGUUGCUUCGGUCACUAGUGAGGAUAAGUACGUAAAUGAAUAGAGACAGAGAAGCAAACACAGGAUGUACGUGGUUCACCCAGAUUGGCUACGUCCACGGAGUAGAGGAGUUCUUAUUAGUAGUGAAGGGCUUACACAAGUACAAAGGAUCAAGCUCUCAAUUUAGUGAGUUCUUGUGAAUGAUUUAACACAAAAUGGCAUUAGGCAAUAUUGUGGGGGAAUGACCCCUAUUUAUAGAAAAACUUGUAGCUUUGUCACAUUGACAUGUGUCAUGUUAUGAUUGGUUCUUGAUGUCGACACGUGCUGCGCUCUGAUUGGCUUCUAAUCUUGACACGUGUCGAGUAGUGAUUGGCCUCCUGGUCGGAGGGGAACUCUUCUGGGUCCUUGACAGUAUAGCGUUGGCCGGUGCUCGGUAGUUUCGGGAUUGGUCAAGUAUGGUACAAACAGAAUCCAUACUUGAUCGUUGUCUCAAAAUCAUUUCCAUCUCAUGAGAUUAAUCUGGAUUACUCUUAAGACUUCAAGUUCUUAGUCCAGUAUACUAGUUUGGAUAAGCUAAAUGGAAUUGAACUAAGAUUACCAUCAAUGAUGUUUUCACUUACAUGGUAGCUACUGAAGUAAAUGAAAAGCGACGAUAUCGAACCGUGUUCCAUUGAUUAAGUGACAACGUAUAACUGAUUGGACAACCGAAAUUACAAUCCAAGUCAAAUUCCUUACCAAAGUGUGUUUUGGACCUGUCGUUCCUACACUACCCAAGGUAACCCUAUUGUGUUACAAGUAGGAAAGGAAGCGUUAUGACAUGACUGAAAUAGUGUGAUAUGAUGCAUGCCUUACGGUGCAAGGUUUCUCUCAAACGUCAUGUGAUUGAUAGCAGCAUUAUGAAAUUUGGUUAGUGUUUUCUCCAUGGGGAUAUAGAUACGGAGAUUAGCAUGUAAGUUCUCGAAGAAUUACAUGAAUUGGUUCAAAAAGUUCCAAAACCAUGGAACACCCUCUUAACUUGUUUGAGGCAUUCACUUACAAUCCGACGGAUGUGGUUUACCCGUCUAAAUGAUUAUUUGAUCGGUCGGGGAUAAAUUAUGCUCUUAUGUGUUAAAAAUAUGAAGUCUUAUUCUGAAUUGCUAAAGUUACAAUUUAUGUUGUUGACACAAAUCUCACUAAGACUCUAGAAGAGCUUGAGAAAACUGCCUCGCACUUGAAGAUGAAAUUUGAGAUGAAGGAUCUUAGGAAAACUCGUUUAUGCUUUGACUUAAAGUUCAAAACAUUAUUCUGACGGUAUUUUGGUCUACCAAUCUAACUACACCCCGAAUGUGUUACCUUUGAGUAUACCUAUGAUCGUCCAUAUGUUAUAUGCAAAUGAGACCCUUGAAGAGGUUAUGGAAUCCGAAAUUCCAUAUUUGAGUUCAACUUUGCGCUUUGUUGUACUUAGCUCAUUGUAUUUAGAUAGGACAUCUACUUUGCUGUUGAUCUUGGUAAAGAUGCAGCACUACACCUACAUGCAACCAUUGAAUUGAUAUUAAAGACGUACCCUAAAGGUACUACGAAUUUGGGCAAUUCAAAUCUCAUUGCAUCUCGAACGGAUCCAACCCCCUAAUCCUCAUAAUGAUGAUGGUUACUUAUCAAAACCGCACAAGGAAAAAUUCCCGAAUGGUUAUGUCUUUACCAUUAAGGAUAUCGCAAUAUCUUGGAGGUCCACGAUAUGACCUUAGUUACAAAAUCUUCGAAUCAUUCCAAAAACUUGCCUCACUUCACUACGCCACACGUGAAACAUGGUUAAAAGUUCUUGUUGAGCAUAUUCGAAGUACUUGCUAUUUUCGUCCAUCAUUGAGUCCCAACAACGAUUCAUGAAGAUUAUGCUGCACGUAUCCACUCAACCAAGACAUGAUACAUCAACGAAGUCAACGCCAAGACAUAUUGUGUCUACAUCUACAUCAACAAAGCAUCAAGAGAUUGAAGUCAUGCAAGCCGAUCCCAGACAACCUUGUCCGAGGAAUUGGUAUGCCUAACUAUUCAUAUGCAAUGCUUGUAGUUCUCAUUUGGAAGUUAUGUCAAACUCAGGGGGAGUAUCCAGAAGUAUACUCACUUGAUCUUAAUGUACUCUUUUUUCCUACGAUUAGGAGCAUUUUUCCCACUGGGUUUUUGCUACCUAACUAGGUUUUAAUAAGGCAUCCAUCAUGGGCUGAUCAUACCCUUGUAAGCUAUUCUACUUGCGUCCAAAAGACUUAUAGUUUUGACUUAAUACAACUUCUCACUUUUCUCCUUAGUCUAUGGGUUAUAUCCCACCUUAGGUUUUACCAUAACGAGAUUUUGUGAGUUUUAUUUUUUUUUAUACAUUCUUCCAUUGAUUUGAGACUCGCAUUUGCUCAUUGUGUCGACGACUUCAUCAACUAUACUUGCUUGAUCACUGAAGCCAUUUACUUGAGUAUUUACACACUCAAGGGAGAGUGUUGCAGUCCUAAUGUGAUUGUGUAAAUCCUAUUAUAUCUUGGAAUAUCUCUUAUUUCUAUUAGGAGUUGAUUACCUAUUAAGAGUUGUAAUCCUAAAAUGGUAAGGAAUUAACAUUUCCUACUACUAUAAAUAAAGGCACAAUAGGGUGGAAUAGAACACACCUCACAAUUACACAUCUCUCUCUUCUCUCUACUAUUGCCGCACAUUUCUCUCUCUAUAGCCUCCAUAAUUGUUCAGUAAAUUAUACCUACAACAAAAUUAAAAUUGUUGGGUUGCAUUAUAUGUAUACAUAAAUAUAGAAUUUUAGCAAUGUAUUAACUGGGUUUUUUAGAGAGUUUCAAUAAAAAAGGUCUUAUUGUGAUAUACAUUCUAAUACGUGUGAUUGUACAAAUCAUAAAUAGAGAUGAAUUAGGAAUUCUUCGGGAUUUAGAAGAUAUUUCCUAUUAAACUUUGUAUAACCUGAAGAGCAAAGUUUCUCUCCUGCUUAUUGUUAUAAAUAAAGACACUAAGUCUGAGUAAUAACGCGCACAUAAAAUUUCUCAAACCUAUUCUCCAUCUCCCUCUCUUUUGCCGUGUUCCCUCUCUUUUUCCUCAAUUAAUCAUAGAAGAGUCUUCAUCCAAGGCAUGAAAGUUGCAGACCUCAUCGACAAAGAGAGAGAUGGAGUUUUCAUGUUUUUCUUUUUCCAUUUUUCUUAUUUUUCAAUUUUAUUAUUAUUUGGUAUUUGUGUUUUCCUUCUUAGUCAUAAUACACUCAUCAUCCAAGUCAUUUAAUGUUUAAAAAACUGCAAAUCACUCUUAAUCAAGAUCGUUAGUGUUAUAAGAUUUAAAGACUAAAAAGAAGUGUAAAAAUGUUUGUCAAAAUCGUUUUUCCCUUGAUCCAACCUUUUAAUUAUAAAUAUGUAAAUAUUAUGAUCUAAAUCUCCAAUCAUGGCAUAUCCCAAAUAGCCAGUAUAAAUAAGCAACUUAGGCCAUCAAUCAACCACAUAUUCCUUGUGGAGCAAAAAAUAAUCAAGAAAAUUAUGAAGGUGACAUGUGGACUUUUGAGGUGAAAAUGACAAAAUUACCCUUGAGGCACACCGGGACUCCCACGCGCAUGCAACGGACAAUAACGGCUCAAUCAAGGUCAAAGGUGACCUAAAUGGUAUUCUUUUAAACCCUCUCAUCACUCCUCAUCAAAUCUUCAUCCACAAGGUAACUCCCAAUUAUUCUUUUCAAAUUGGGAGUUAUUGUCAAAAUUAAUUGAUUAAUUUCCUAAUUAAUUGAUUAACAUCCAAAUUAAUUCCAAGAUAUUAUUUCACAUAAUAUCUUGCAAUCAAUCCCACAAAUCAACCAAAUGUGGCCAGUCCCAACCACACCCCUAUAUAUAGCCCUUCAUUUUCUAAAAAAAUGUAAGUCCAAUUAUUCUCCUAAAAUUCUCUAAACACUUUCUCUCUCAAAUUCUAACUUUGGCAUCGGAGAUUCUUCGGCCAAAGCCCCCACAUUCAUCGUGAGCGUGUGAGGCUCUUGACCUUGAUCUUAGGUGUUAAUUGUUUUGCAGGUGCAUUUUCGUCCAAGAAGAAGGCAUAAAUUUGCAUCCACAAAUUGGUGCUUUCAUUAUGAGUUUGAUUCACACACUCGAAAAAGACUCUCGCAUUCUACUUUUCUAAUUUUCUUCAUUCAUUCGUAGAUUUUCCCACACGUUCCUACUCCUAGAAUUUUUUUAUAUAAAUUAUUUGAAUAGCCCUCGGGAAGAAAUACGAUGACGAAAAAAUUAUGAAACAACAACAAAAGGCACUCCCUACAAAUUUAGGUUUUCACCCACUCGACGGAUCGCGGAGCAACAAUAGUUGCCACCACCCACUGCUACUGUCGUGGCCUAAUCAAGAAUCGGUGCAAUUUUUUGCAGCUAAAACCUAGCCCAUGCUGGUGUAACCUGUAGCCCAUUACCUCUAGUCCAUGCGUCGAGCCAUUUUAGCUAGGGAUGUAACUUUGGUAGGGCCAACCUGAACUCGUCCAUGUCCAACCCGACUUUAAACCCCGAACAAACAAGUUUAUUUUAGCUAUAACCCGCCCGAACCCAACCCGAUUUCAACCCGUUCAUUGAUUGGUUGAGUUGGGUUGAUCCCGAACCUAAACCGACUUUCUAAUAUAUAUAUUUUUAAUAAAUUACCCCUCUAAACCCUAAAGCUAUAUAUUAAGUUGUUAGUCUCCAAUUUCAUUAUGCGGCUUUGCAAGACUGCAACUCAGUCCCUCUGUCUUAGGUCUCAAGGCUACAAGUCUCCAUCUUUAUUUGAAAGCCCAAGAAAAUUUGUAGUUGAAGUAUGUUAAGUGGUGUUAUGACAAAUUUUAUGAAAGUAAAAAAGGUCACUGAUAUAAUUGCUAAGGUUUAAGAUUUGUCAGUGAAGCUUUAUCAAAUUUAUUUAUUAGAGAACCCACAAGCAUUGGAUACUGGUUUAUCUCAAAGUCCUAAUGUCUCAAGUUUGAAUGAAGUGGAAGAACUCAUUGAGGAAGAAAGCUCGGGUUGGGACAUUCAUAUUGUAUUUUAAUUCAAACAUUGCAUGGUUGAAACAUUCAUAUUUAGUUUAACUUUGUAACAAAUACAAUUUGAAGAAUUGAAUUUUAAUUUUGAAAAAGUUGGGCAACCCAAAUCCUCCCAUGUCCAACCUGAACCCGAUUAAACCCAAUUAAAACCCAACCCGAACCUAAGCCCAAAUUGUAAAAAUUGGGUUAGGGUUGGGUUGACCUUCCAACUCGCCCAACCCACCCGAGUUGCACCCCUAAUUUCAGCAAGCCAGUAGGCUCUAGAAAAGGCUAAGGCGCGGGCCCAAUGUUGAAAACCAUCAAAAUCCCAAUGCUUCAACUAAGCUUUCCAAGCCAUUUCCUAUCUGAGCCCAACAUUGGAUGCAACGGCUACGUGGAGGCAGUCCCAUGGUAGAAGCUACCCAGGCCUAUUCCCGCACUAACCCAAUGCGUAGAAGCCCCAGCACGCAAGCCUCAUCCGUGCGAGCCCAGUGUAAGAAGCCCAUUAAGCGUGAGCCAUGCUCCAGUGCAUCAGGACCUCUCAUAUGCAAACCCAGUGCGUUGUUCCAUCUUGCAGCCACUUGGGCCAAGCUACAUAGCCCAAUCCAACAAAGCCCAAUUGGACAACUAAGGAGGUAGGCCCUAGCGCAAUCAACGCGGGUCAAGUUGACCUAGAUUCGCUCCCACACGCCCAUGAUCUAGAUCCACUACUCCUAGCGCCCAUACAAGCCUAUUUUUGGAUAUUUCGAACCAUUUUUCAAUGUUUCGGACCCCUUGUUUGAUGUUUCAGACCCUUUUUUUCGGUGUUUUUUUAUGUAUAUUUGGCUCAUUGAAGCUCAAAAUAUCGUGCCCGAAAUCUAUUACACUUCUACUACUCAAGGAGACGCAUACCUUCGAAGCUCUUCCAACCCAAAUGACGAACUUUUCCAGCAGCGUCCAUGCAAGCAGCCCUUCGACUAGCCAAGAACCGAGCAUUCGAGCAAUGUACACUCCCGACUAGGCCCUAGAGAUAAUGUAUACUCUUGUCUUAGCACACAUAAGAGUUUGCAUUCUCAGUUAGGCCCACGAACGAGCAUACACUCACAGUUGGGGCCACACUCUGAUAAUCAACAUGAGCAACCUUCCAAGCGAAGUGUUCAUUUGCAGCUAAGCCUACAAGGAGCAUCAUCCACCUCACAUCGAAGUAAGCAGCAUGAUAGACGGAGAUAAACAGUCACUGAAUCCAGCUCAAGUUCAACCUGCAGCCUGCAAGGAAUUCACUCGCCUGUUAAGAACAUACCACAUGCACCGCAACAUAGACGAGCCGAACACAUAGAAGAACAGCCUAGACCAGCAGCUCACGACUAGGGGAAGCCGAGAGCUCCCCUACCCCCAACGAAAGUAAAUUCAGGAAGAAGUAUAGAGGCUCCUAACCAAGCGAUUGCAUGAUUUCCAACACAACGAGGUCAUUGACGAGGCACUACGAAAGGACAUGACCAAUAUAAAUAGAUCACCCUUCAUGGACGAGAUCGAGCAGGCAAAGCCUUCACACAAAUUCAGGAUACCACAUUUCAUAUCAUUCAAAAGAGAUGGAGACUCGAAAAGGCACUUAAAGCACUACUGGAGUGCAAUGAUCUUCUAUCGAAACAACGACGCUUUUAUGUGCAAAAUAUUUGCCACCAUUUUACAAGGCAAGGCGUAAGAUUAGUUCCAUACCUUGGCUUCACAAUCUAUCUAGAGUUUCGAUGAGCUUUCUUUGGUUUUCACCAAGGAGUAUUCAUCUUAUCGCUCGAUCAAGAAGAAGUCUGACCACUUGUUCAACAUCAAGAAACACCCAAAAGAGUCGCUUCGUAACUAUGUGAAGAGGUUAAAAAUAGAGAAGGCUAAGAUAGUCGAAUGCAACGACUCGAUAGUUAGAGCAACCUUCCAAAAAAGACUCUGAGCAGACCCUUUCGCUCGGGCAAAAAAGCAUGCAUUUUGGGAUGAGGCUUGCAGAUACACAUUAAGGACUUGAAUAAGUACCUAACAUCACAUUCCUACUAUCCAAACCAGAAGCAAUGGUUGACCUAUUCACAUGUUUGAUGGUAUUUGAAGCAGCAAUAAGCUCUACCCUCAUACAAGAAGAGUUGGGGGGCCGAUAUUCCACAGUUCAAAAGCUCUCCUCGAUGCAGAAACCAGCUACCAGAAAUUCAAAAGCUAACUUUGGCGCAUGCAGUCAUCCUCAUAAUACAUUAUUCCACCCAAUCCAGACGCGCGAUGAUAAAGGCACAGAAAAUGACAGAUGUAAAGUUUUCUGACGAACGCAACAACUCAGCCUAAAAGGCGCGCCAAGGGCAGAUGAACACUAGAAGGACACACUCGAAAGCAAGUUUUAUCUUCGUCACCCUAGAAGAUUCUACAUAGGAGCAACACGUACCGACAGUUGAGCACCACCUCCUGCUGCGCGUCACCCCAGCCGACCCUUGCUCUAUAAUUCAGCUCUAGAAUAGCCCAAUGCCAACAGGGGAGCAUAUUUUGUUGCGUGUAACAUGGCCCUAGCUCUACGGCUCCCUACCACACCUUUAAUUUUAGCCUAGGUGACGCAACAGAGCGACCUAACAACGCCUCAUAAGCAACCGAGCAUGCCCUAGCCACGCCUGCUUCACCCAAUGGAGAUUUCUAGCAUUUGCUUGUUGACGACGCAUUGAACUACAAGGGAUCGGGAGCAGGUGUGGUCCUUGUCACCCCAGACGGUUUAGGGGUAAAAAAGCUUGCAAUUCAUUCUGAUUCCCAGCUAAUCACCAUCCAGACUACUGGGGAGUACACGGCAAAACAUUCAAAGAUGGCGCAAUACCUAGAGAAUGUAUGAAAGCAACUUGAGACAUUUCAGACAUACAUACUCACUCGAGUUCCGUAGGCAGACAACGCUCAUACGGACGCGCUAGCCGGCCUAGGCUCCGCCCUCGACCACCAACGUAAACGUUAUAUUCCGAUAGAGUAUAUUGACAAGCUAAGCAUAGAGGCGGAGCCAACAACUGAGGUGUCACAGUUUAGUAUAACUCCAAACUGGCAAGAUUCCAUUAUAGACUACAUAGUCAAUUGCACACUCCCCAUGGAAAGAUUGGAGUUUACAAAGCUCCAAACAAAGGUAGCACGCUACUACAUGUGGAACGACAUUUUUGUCCGAAGAUCCUACAUUGGACCACAUCUCCGCAGCCUAGUGCCUCUUGACGACAUAAAGGUUCUAAGCUCAAUCCACGAAAACGUUUGUGGAAAUCACUUCGGAGGUCGAUCCUUAACACAGAAAACUCUAAACGUAGGCUACUACUGGCCUACUAUGCAUCAAGACGCUAAGGAUUUAGUACAAAAGUGCGACCACUACUAACGCUACAAGUUGGUACCAGCAUUGCUUGCCAGCGAACUACACCUGCAGAUGAGUCAUUGGUCGUUCAUGCAGUGGGGAAUUAACUUGGUAGGGACAAUGCCGCCUGCUACUAAGGGCUGAGGCAUGAUGAUUGUGGCAACUGAUUACUUCACCAAGUAAGUGGAAGCAAAGCCCAUGACAACCACAACUUAGAUGGACAUAAAGCACUUCAUAUGGAGGAACAUUAUUUGCCGAUUUGGCAUCCCUCAAUCCAUCGUCACAGACAACGGCCCGCAAUUCUUAGGCAAAGAUUUGGCGAAGUUCUUCCUGAAAUAUGGCAUCAAGCAACGCAUGUCCACGCCGAGGUAUCCCCAAGGCAAUGGGCAAGCCAAACCAUCCAACAAGAUGAUUCUCGACUACUUCAAGAAAUUCCUCUCCAACAAGAAGGGAAAAUGGCCAGACGAACUUCCCGGAUGUCUAUAAGUGUAUUGCACAACCAAACGACAAGAAACCAGUGAGACUCCUUUCUCUUUGGCAUUUGGUUCAUAAGAAAUCAUUCCUCUCAAUGUCGUCGUGCCAUGUAUCAGUACUCUACUGCCAAGCAUCAAGCAGAACAGAAAAGAUAUGGCCACAAACUUAAAUCUGGCAAAGGAGAAACCCGAGAAGGUCAUCACCGCAUCGCAACCUACCAGGACUAAGAUUCGGCAGUUCCAGUCUGGAGAUCUAGUCCUAAGUAAAGCCUUCAUCACUGCCUACAGAGAAUGCCCCAAAAAGAUGGAACGCCUACAAUCUGAGGAAGUACCAUGCAUGACCUUCCACUAAAUCAAAGCCCGAAGAUGCCCCAAAAAGAUGGAACGCCUACAAUUUGAGGAAGUACCAUGCAUGACCUUCCACUAAAUCAAAGCCCGAAGACUCAAGCAGCUCAACGAGCACCACCUCGCAAGCCGAAGACUAUCCAGUUGUUAUGCAGCCUUUACCUUACAGUUAAGUUUUCGUUUGUUUUACUUGUUUUUCAAUGAGGAAUUACAUGCGGGGACAUGGUGUUGGCUGCAGGCCAGGAGAAAUAAUCCCUGGCUUUUGGCCGAGGGCCAUGGAGCAGGCAUUGGGCGAGGAGAAAUAAUCUCUGGCUACGGGCGCAAAAACUUAGGAAUGGGCAUUGGGCCGGGAGAUAUUAUUAUUUGAUACCACUAUUUAGCACACUAUAUACAAGAUAUGCUUUAUGAGAUGUUUUAUGGCAUGCUAGGGUUUUCGAAAAACCUACCACUUAUUAUGCUAUUAGUUUUCAUAAAACUUUGGGGGUUAGUAUGUUGAUAACUGUUUCAGUAUAUUAUAUAUAUAUCAACUUGGUCCACUCAUGUUUGUUUUGCGCCCCCUCAGGACUUAGAAUCGAGGAGUACGAUCCCAAAAUCAAGGUACUUCCACGUCGGCUUCUUCGAGUCCUCUCGGUGUAGGACCCACUCAUUUGUUCAUUCAACUUUUAUAUUAAUUCUUUUAGUGUUCUAGAUUAGAUGUGUGCUCUGAAUACGUUCUUCAUUCGUAUAUUAAUUUUAUUUAAAUUCUUUUACCUUAUUUACAUUUUAGUUCUCAUGUUUUCAAUAAAUGGCUUUCGUUACCUUCGGGUGUCGGUCAACACGUACCUACCUUGGUAUUCAAGGAAUAUCAAGAUCAGAGCAUGUCACGUCUCUUAAGAUAUUUUGAAUGUGUUUAAAAAUAGAGAAAUUGAAUUACAUUAUUGUUAGCCUAUUGUGAGGUACUACAACAACAACAAAGCAUUUUCCCACUAAGUGGGGUCGACUAUAUGAAUCCUAGAACGCCAUUGCGCUCGGUUUUGUGUCAUGUCCUCCGUUAGAUCCAAGUACUCAAGUUUUUUCUUAGGGUCUCUUCCAAAGUUUUCCUAGGUCUUCCUCUACCCCUUCGGCCCUAAACCUCUGUCCCGUAGUCACAUUUUCGAACCGGAGCGUCAGUAGGCCUUCUUUGCACAUGUCCAAACCACCGUAACCGAUUUUCUCUCAUCUUUCCUUCAAUUUCGGCUACUCCUACUUUACCUCGGAUAUCCUCAUUCCCAAUCUUAUCCUUUCUCGUGUGCCCACACAUCCCACGAAGCAUCCUCAUCUCCGCUACACCAUUUUGUGUACGUGUUGAUGCUUCACCGCCUAACAUUCUGUGCCAUACAACAUCGCUGGCCUUAUUGCCGUCCUAUAAAAUUUUCCCUUGAGCUUCAGUGGCCUACGACGGUCACACAACACGCCGGAUGCACUCUUACACUUCAUCCAUCCAGCUUGUAUUCUAUGGUUGAGAUCUCCAUCUAAUUCUCCGUUCUCUUGCAAGAUAGAUCCUAUGUAGCGAAAACGGUCGCUUUUUGUGAUCUUCGCUAGCCUGCUCCGGUCAUUAGUGUGGAUAAGUAUAUAAAUGGAUAGAGAUAGGAAAGCAAACACAAGAUGUACGUGGUUCACCCAGAUUGGCUACGUCCACGGAAUAGAGGAGUUCUCAUUAAUUGUGAAGGGUUUACACAAGUACAUAGGUUCAAGCUCUCCUUUAGUGAGUACAAGUGAAUGAUUUAGUACAAAUGACAUUAGGAAAUAUUGUGGGAGAAUGAUCUCGUAAUCACGAAACUUCUAAGUACCGGAGUGUGGUAUCGUCUUGACUUGCCUUAUCUGUCUCAUAGGUAGAUGUGGCAUCUUCUCUCGAAGUACUCUUCCUCCAUCCAUGGGUGGUAUCUUUAACUGGUGGAGAUGCACAAGGUAAUGUAUCAAUUUCACUUGAAGCUUACUUGUAGUUUCAGGCUUGGUCAAGCGCGAUACAAACCAUGUAGUAGGAGUCCCCCAAGUCGCCGAGCUAGGGGAUCUGCUGAAAGAGGUGACAGACAAGGUAAGCAAUCAGAGCUCCGGCUGAUUGUUCACAUUCUCCCUAUCUUGCAGGCAGCAUGAAGGAUAAAGAGAAGAAAAAUGAGAAGAGAUGAUAUGGGAUACUUUUGCUUUUGAAGAAGUAACUUUCCACAGGCUUAUUCUUGAACUGGGCUGGAGGGUUUUCUGGUUUCCUCCAGAGUAUAAGGCCGACUGAAGAAUUUGAGGGUCAAAACAAGUCCAUCAAAUCUAGAGUACGUUCGACCCUGCUGAUAUGGGAUACUUUUGCUUUUGACAGAGUAGUGGAUGUAUCGGCACAUGUGCUGUUACGCUUGUCUCCACAUGCUUCCUUGUAUCCUUCUCACUUGCCCUAUAUGUUCCUCAGGCAGAUGCGGUAUCUUCCCUGGAAGCAUAAGAUGUUGAAGAUGAGUACUCGAGAGCAAUGCCAGGUAAGUAAUCAGGUAAGGGGUUCCAGGCAGUCAGUUCUUGGUUGGAAGCUUGAUUCCAAGUGCUGACUGAUUGCUCUCUUUCUCCUUGUCUUGCAGGUAAGAACAAGGCCAAAGGAAAAGACAGGGAAAAAGCAUGAUAUGGGAUACUCUUGCUUUUAACCCUGAUGAUAUGAGAUAUUCUUGCUCUAGUAUAGCUUGUUUGCAGAGGUAUUAUCGGGGGGAAAGAAAGCUGAAUAUUUCGAAAGGCUUCGUUGGGAGUGCCCUCUCAGAUAAGAGGAAGGGUUGAGCAUUUUUGCAGGUCUGCCUGUCUGUUGGGGAUGGAGGUCGACAUAUAUAGGAGUCUCCCUAACAUCAAGUAAUAAUGCUAUUCCUUUACCCUGCUUGGUCAUAGCACGGUAGUGGGAGCUGCCAGCUUCACAUGUUUUAACUCUGUCAGAGCACUUUGAAAAAGUGGUUUGCCUCUUCGGUUUUCGAACAAGCAAUCCUGUCGGGGAUCUGGCUCUCGAGAUUCGGAGAACGAUGCCUUUUCGAUUUUUGAGAAAGCAAUCCUGUUGGGGGUCUGGCUCUCGAGAUUCGGAGAGCGGUGUCUCUUCAAUUUUUGAGAAAUUAAUCAUGUUGGGAGUCUGGCUAUCGAAAUUCGGAGGGCGGUGCCUCUUCGAUUUUGGAGCAAGCAAUCUUGUUGGAGUGUUUUCUCGAAUGUGAGUAAAGGUUGGGCAUGUUUGCUAGUCUACCUUGCCACGAAGCACAGAGGUUGACACACAGGGACUUUCCAAUUAUCCAGCAGUGGUACUGUUCCUUUACCCUCUCUUCGAUUUUUGAGAAAGUAAUCAUAUUGGGAGUCUGGCUCUCGAGAUUCGGAGGGCGGUGCCUCUUCGAUUUUGGAGCAAGCAAUCUUGUUGGGAGUGUUUUCUCGAAUGUGAGUAAAGGUUGGGCAUGUUUACUAGUCUACCUUGCCACGAAGCACAGAGGUUGACACACAGGGACUUUCCAAUUAUCCAGCAGUGGUACUGUCCCUUUACCCUCUCUUCGAUUUUUGAGAAAGUAAUCAUGUUGGGAGUCUGGCUCUCGAGAUUCGGAGGGCGGUGCCUCUUCGAUUUUGGAGCAAGCAAUCUUGUUGGGAGUGUUUUCUCGAAUAUGAGUAAAGGUUGGGCAUGUUUGCUAGUCUACCUUGCCACAAAGCACAAAGGUUGAUACACCGGGACUUUCCAAUUAUCCAGCAGUGGUACUGUUCCUUUACCCUUGUGGGUAAUAAUAUGGUAGCUAGACCUUCAAAAUUUAUGUGUCUAAACUUUGUUAGUGUUGUUUCUUUGUUAUUCUUUUACCCUUCUUGGUCAGAGCGAUGUAGUGGGAGCUGCAAGCUUCACGUGUCUCAACUUUGUCAGUUAACUUUGGCAAAGUUAUCUGUGGUACCCAUGAGCUACUGUUGCGUGUGGGAAGUGGGUGAUUGAACAGUACGAUUCAUGUGCUUUCUACUUCACCAGAAAUUUUCGACAGAAUGCCCAUAAUUUCCGCAAAGCUGAGUGUGUGUGUGACAGGUGAUGACAAGGCUGAAAAAGUAGGUGCCUCUUCGAUUUCUGAGAUCGGCCCUCGUGGUCUCUGAGCAGCCCAGCUUUUGAGAAAGCAAGCCUCUUCGAUUUCUGAGAUCGGCCUUCGUGGUCUUUGAGCAGCCCAGCUUUUGAGAAAGCAAACGCCUCUUCGAUUUCUGAGAUCGACCCUCGUGGUCUCUGAGCAGCCCAGCUUUUGAGAAAGCAAACGCCUCUUCGAUUUCUGAGCAGGCGCCUCUUCGAUUUCUGAAGCUUCGUCGAGUGCAGAUUUUUAUAGGGGCUGGCAUUAAGUUCCAAAGCACACUUGAAUCUCCACUAGUAGAAGCUCUAUUCUUGCACUUCUAAGAUCUUGAUUUGUCCGACCUCUUCUCUCUUCAACACCUUUGAAAAUGUAUGGCCCCUCCGACCGUCGUUUUGACUUGAACCUUGUUGAAGAGGCAGCCUCGCCUUCUCUAGACAACAUAUGGCGCCCAUCCUUCGUCUCCUCUACUGGUCCUCUUACCGUUGGGGAUUCCGUGAUGAAGAAUGAUAUGACCGCUGCGGUAGUGGCCAGGAACCUUCUCACUCCCAAAGAUAACAGACUACUUUCCAAACGGUCUGAUGAGUUGGCUGUUAAGGAUUCUCUGGCUCUCAGUGUUCAGUGUGCAGGUUCUGUGUCUAAUAUGGCCCAACGCCUAUUUGCUCGAACCCGCCAAGUUGAAUCAUUGGCGGCUGAAGUGAUGAGUCUCAAACAGGAGAUUAGAGGGCUCAAGCAUGAGAAUAAACAGUUGCACCGGCUCGCACAUGACUAUGCUACAAACAUGAAGAGGAAGCUUGACCAGAUGAAGGAAUCUGAUGGUCAGGUUUUACUUGAUCAUCAGAGAUUUGUGGGUUUGUUCCAAAAGCAUUUAUUGUCUUCGUCUUCUGGGGUUGUAACGCGUAAUGAAGCUCCAAAUGAUCAACCUCUGAUGCCUCCUCCUUCUAGGGUUCUAUCCAGUACUGAGGCUCCGAAUGAUCCCCUCCGGUGCCUUCUCUUUCUGGGACUCUACCGACUGCUGAGACUUCUCCUAAGCAACCUUUGUGAAGGCUCCCUCUUGUUUGUUUAUUUUGACUCAUGUAUAUGUACAUAUUUUUAACUUAUCGGGGAUAUCAAUAAAUAAGCUUUCCUUCAUUUCAACGUAUUGUGUUAAAUACACCAAAGUCUUCUUCGCUAAGUUAUUUGAAUUUUCUUUCGUUGAAGCUUGUAUGUUGAAGCUUGUAUCCGAACGCAGAUUGAUGAUUUAUGAUGGAAGAUGAUCCUCUCGAAAAUACUAAUGCCUUAUUUGAUGCAUUAUUUUGGGAUGCCCUUGAAGUUUUUUUUUUUUUAUCUUGAAGGCAUUUUUGUUCAAAAUUUUUUGUUGAAGCUUGGUAACACCAAAAUCACUAUUCACCUUUGUAUUAGCGUUAUAUAUAAAAUGUUUAAUAGAGGAUGAUUAUCUACCCUCAUAAUCUCUCUACCCUUCCAUGCCCUUUAUUUGAACGGUCACGGUUAAAUCACGUCAACAUCUUAUAUUAAUUUUUUUAUAGAGAUAAUAAGAUAAAAAAUAAUAUGUAAGAUGAGGGAAUGAAAGGAGAUGUGAAUAAAAGGGUAAAGAAUCCUCCUUCAUGUUAAUAGUCACAGUCAGUCAGUCAGUCAUCACCCUGUCCUCUGCCUGCCUCCUGUCAACCCUUUUCAUAUAAUCCGGCACAGGAGAUCUCAAAGUUACAGCUAACGUUGGCGUGGCACCAUUUGUCUAAAGUGUGAAGUCAUAAAGUUGUGAAACGUGUCCUUUAUUGCUUUUUGCUAAAUGUGAAUCAUGACCUGAGGAAAAAAAAAAAAUUCCACCGAUCCAAUAAUACCACCACAUGUAUGAAAUUAACUUACUAAUGAAAACAAAUAUUACCAACUUUUUACUAUUUUCUGGUCCCCAAAAGAACUAUUCUUACAUGAAAAGUCGUUGAUAAGAUGUAUUGAGGAAAGCCCUUAGAUUAGCUUAGAAGGAAGUACUUAGUCUAAAGUUCAAUGUAGGUUAAGUCGGACUCUGCUGAAUUUGCCAUUAAUACUGGGUACGGUGGUAUUUUUCUAGUAAAGAGUAAUGGUGUUAUUUUACUUGAACGAUAGUAAAAUGGAGUCAUUGGUAGAAGCGUGGUCAAUAAAAGUUGUUAACUACAGUUGGAAAGUCAAAAGUAAUUAGGAUUUGAUACUCAGUAAUUAUAUCCAAUUUCUAAACUACAGUCGGAAAGUCAAGAGUAAUUAUUUUUUUUAAUGAUUUAUUUUAUAUAUUAUUUCUUAAUGGCACAAGUGGAUUGCCACGUCAGCAAAUAUAUGGACCCUCCAUUUGCUAAAUCAUCACUUAAUGGUCAGUUUGACAGAAUCACUAUCGGAUAUAUGACAUUGCAACGAAUUCAUAAGUUAAGGUAUGACAUUGCAAUGUUUAAAACAUGAUGUAUGAAAUUAUGGUGCAACCCAUAUUUGAGGUAGUUUUGUGUAAUUUACCCUUAUAUUUUUUGUGGUGUACGAUUUUCUUCCUUCCACAUUCCUCCCCCUCCCUCCCCUUCUCUCUUUCCUUUUUGUCUCUCUCUAAAAAAAAGUCAACACAACGUGACUUAAUUAUGGUCAUUCAAAUAGGAGGUGAGGAAGGAGAUGAGAGAAUCUUAUUCUAUUUUUCAUACCAUAUUUGUACUACCUCUCUAAUAAAGGUAGGAUCAACCAAUACAAAUGGUUCUCACCUCUAUUAGAAGAAUUAUACUAAUAUGAUAUAAAAAUCUACUAUUUUUUAUAAAAUAAUGUACACUCCUAUCCUUGUUUUAAUGUAAAAUGACAUACAACUACUCCAAAUAUCGAUAACAUUAAUGAUAUAAACCCCUAUUCUAGAGCUGGCCAAUAUUCUACACUCUAAAGGCGUCUCCAUAACUAUUAUCCACACCCGUUCCAACUCCAUCAACCUUUCAGCUCUAAACAUAGAAAAAUCCUACUUUUUCAACCACAAGUCACAACUAGUUAUCCGAAAUCACCAAACCCCAAUUGGAGCACAUAAGCCAAAUUCAAAAUCAAUGCACCAAUUUGUCUUCACUCUUAAAGGUUUAAUGUUUAAUAGUCACAGUCAGUCGGCCAGUCACCACCCUGUCCUUUGCCUACCUCCGAUCGUUGGUGGCACCAUUUGUUUAAUGUGUACCAUUUGUUUAAUGUGUAUUGAGAGCAACUCCACUGUGGGUUGCUGCUCGGGGGACAGUGGACCAAACAGGGCAUGAUAGCCUGGUUGAAGCCCUCCAGCGUGGGGAGCCCAAGGGACUAGGCCGGCCCGAGCAACAGGCUUGUGAGGAAUCGCUAGCCCGCAAGCCCGAGGUGGACCUGACUCAGGGCUGACGUUAGCCUAGCGUCAGUCUCAUUUUUAAUUUUUUUUCUGUCAGGCGCGUGCGCCUCACCUGCGCGUGGGGGCGAGUCAGCCGACAAAUUUCAGACCCCAGGGGCCCGCGAUGCAGUCUGCCUACCGUUGGGAAGCCACGUGGCUUCCCACGGUCCGUUCGAUCUCAACGGCUCUUUAAAAUAGGCCGUUCGAUUUGCAACGGUAAUAAAAAUAAAAUAAAAAAACUUAUUUAAUAUCAACCAUUGGAUCUGAGAUCGACGGUUGAUAUUAUUCUGAUUUAUAAAUAAAUAAAUAAAUGAAAAAUAGUUUUAAAAUUUUAAAAAGUUACUGUUGUGACACAUGGCACAAUCUGGAGUGUUGGAAUUCAAUUUUUUUUUAAAUCCAACGACAGAGAUUAAUUAGUUCAAUAAAAAAUUUAAAAAAUUGUAAAAAAUCUGAAUUUUUUUAAAAAAAAUUGUUUUUACUUUUCUAUAAAUACUUCUCAUUAUCAUCUACCUUACACCACAAUUUCAUAUUUUCUUAACUACUUUCAAUCAAAUUCCUAUCUUUCUCUCAAAGUUUCAAUCCAUUUUUUUUCAACAAAAUGACUACUACUGCAGGUACGAAUUGGUCGCUUCUUGAAGAUGUUGCGUUGUGUACUAGCUGGGUUGAAGUUACUCAUAGUUCGCUUAUGGGUAAUGAGAUGCAGUUGCGAGAAAUGUGGAGUCUUAUUCAUGCUACGUGGCAUGCCGUCAUUUGUUAAAAAUCUGAUGGAAAUCUAUCCUCAAAUAUUGUAAACAAAUUAUGACACGUGGCGCGACGUGAUUGGUUAAUAAUCUUAUCUGAAAUCCAUCACCAAUAAUUGUAUUUUUGGAUAAUGACACGUGACGCAAUGAGAACGAUUAAAAAUCUUAUCGGAAAUCCAUCACCAAUAAUUGUUUUUUCGGAUUAUGACACGUAGCGCAACGAGAACGAUUAAAAAUCUUAUCCGAAAUUACAAAUAAAAUUAUUUUGUAUUAUUUUAUUACCUAUAGCCAAGGGGAGGGCUCCCACACUGGAGGUGCAAAAAGCAGUUACUGUUCAUUAAGGGGAGUUACUGUUCACCUCCCACGCUGGAACUGCUAAGAGGAAAGCCUCUGAAUUGGCUUAGAAGAAAGUAUUUGGUCGAAAUUUCAAUGUAAGUCAAGUUAGAUUUGAUUGAAUUCGCCAUUAAUAUUAGGUACGGAAGGUAUUUUCUUAGUAAAAAGUAAUGUUGUCAUUUUACUUGAGCAUUAGUAAAAUGGAGUCAUUGAUAAAAACGCGGUCGGUAAAACUGGUCAAAGCGUGAGCACGUAUAAGCCGAACCACAGAUUAACAGCAGUUUACAAAUGUUUGUAAACUAUGGUUGGAAAGUCAUGAGUAAUUAGGAUUUGAUACUCAGUAAUGAUCCAAUCUGCAUAGCCAACGAAAUCUUACAUCAUCAAGAUUAAGUAGGAAUUGUUGGAAUAUAAUCAUGAUGAUGUUAGCUUUACUAUAUAUGUAUUUGAUGUAUGGAGGUGCACCAUAAGAAUGGUGUAUAAGAGGUAUGACUUAAUAAGGGUUAUACCAUUCUAUAAGUGAACUGUCUUAUCAUGAAGGGAUAAAACCAUUCAGAGAAGUUUCACAACUCUCUAAAAAUGGUACGAUGAAGUCUAUAAAGGGAGGAUUCAUUUCUCAAACAAAUCAAUCCAACGUGAAAUGCAUUUUCUCUUCUUCCCGUUGGUGUUCUAUUUCUCCUUUGGCACUACCGCAUAGUAAUCAAUAGUCUAACGACAUUAGAGAUUGAUCUUGUGAUCCAUCAAAUUGUACAUUGAAAAGUAUUAGUGAGGGGGUCCCUAUGAUUUGCACGUGAUGUUUACUGACCAAAUGGUGAAUGCAAGAAAUGUGAGUGAUGUUUGGAAGGUAGGGCUGCAGUUGAGCAUGGAAUUGAGAGAGGUGAGGUUGAAAGAACAAUUAGAAGACUGAUGGUUGAGAAAGAAGGGGAAGAGAUCAAAGGGAUUGAAUUAAAGUGGAUGGAAAAAAGCAAAUCAUUGCCUCAAAGAGGUGGCUCUUCCUACCAAUCUUUGGAUGGCUUGGUUAAACACAUCUUAUCAUUAUAAAUCGUUUGUUUAAGAAACUCAGUAUGAAGUAUUCAAUAAAAUUAAAAUUAAAAUAAACCGACAUAUGGUUAAUCAAAAUAUCAAUAAUAUUAAUGAUAUAAAUAAUAAUCGUGGAUCCAUGAAAUAUUAAUGUAAUUAUCAGUAUCAUUAGACAUGUGACGUAACGAGAUAACAUAACCUAAAUUGCACUCCUUUUUAUAAAGUCAUGAAGUUGUGAAACUUUUUUUUUUUUUUUCUGUUAAAGGUUAAACGCUUAACUUGAGGUAAAACAACAGUUUCCACUGACCCAAUAAUCUAUAUAUACAUGAAAUUCAUAAGCAAAAACUAACAUUCUUUGACCAAAAAAAAAAAAGCAAAAAUAAACAUUCUCGAUUCAAAAAUGGAACAAAGCAAAGGCAGGAGAGUGAUCAUCUUCCCACUGCCGUUUCAAGGCCACAUAAAUUCUAUGCUAGAACUGGCCAACGUUCUACACUCCAGAGGCUUCUCCAUAACCAUUAUUCACACACGCUUCAACUCCCUCAACCCUUCUACCCUAAACCCACAGUUCACGUACCAUUCAAUCCCUGUCGACUUCUCCGAAACCGAGGCCGCCUCGAGGGAUCCCAAAGGUUUUCUUUAUCUUCUCAAUGUUAGAUGUGUCGAGCCUUUCAGAGAAUGCUUGGCCGGAUUGUUAUCGGAUGACGUUAAGUUGGAAGGCCCCGUUGCUUGCUUGAUCUCGGACACUCUCCUUCACUUCACUCGACCCAUUGCGGAGAGUUUUAAGCUUCCGAGGAUCUUGUUGGAUGUCUCGUGCGCCACUAAUUUUGCCGUUUUGGCUGCGUUUCCGCUUCUCAAGGAAAAGGGUUACCUGCCAAUACAAGGUACAUCAGAUAUAUGCUUCUUUCUUUCUAUGUUGGUUACAACAAAAUAACUCAAUACCACUAUUAGUUGCACAAAAUAGAGUUGCUAAAUUUAUUUAUUUUUUGACACAGAUAGUGCUUUUAUCGGAAUAAUUGUCAAAUAUUACAAAAUGUCUUUUUACUCGCCAUUGGUACCUAGUAUUACUAAUUCACUGGUUAUAAACACGAGUGGACUGAUGAUAAUAUACAAAUACUUGAACAACUUAUAUUUGGCUUUCUAUUAUAUUGGCAAUAAUUAGAUUCUCGACUAGAAGAGGUAAUCACAGAACUAUCACCUAUCAAAGUUAAAGACCUGCCAAAGGCGCCCGGUUCCGAUCCUGAGAAUUAUUAUCAACUGGCCAUCCAAGUGUCAAAUGAACCAAAGUCUUCUUAUGGACUCAUCUUAAAUACAUUUGAAGAUCUUGAAGGACAUGCUCUGGCCAGAAUCCGCCGACACCUGCCCAAUGUUCCCAUUUUCCCAAUAGGUCCAUUUCACAAGUGUUGCCGUACAAUAUCCUCUUCAAGUAGUUUAUUGGCACAAGAUCAGAGUUGCAUUUCAUGGCUGAACACUCAAGCGCCAAAAUCUGUUGUUUAUGUUAGCUUUGGGAGCAUUAUACAGAUAGAGGAAGCUCAAUUUUUGGAGAUAGCUUGGGGGCUGGCCAACAGCAAUCAACCCUUUUUGUGGGUUGUUCGACCCGGGUUGGUUAACGGGUUUGAUUGGCUCGAAGCGUUACCUAACGGGUUUUUAGAAGCAUUGAACGGGAGAGCUUACAUUGUGAAAUGGGCUCCACAAAAAGAAGUAUUGGCCCACCUAGCAGUUGGAGUCUUUUGGACUCACAAUGGUUGGAAUUCUACAAUAGAGAGCAUUUGUGAAGGGGUCCCUAUGAUUUGUACGCCAGGUUACAUUGAGCAAAUGCUGAUUGCAAGAAAUGUGAGUGAUGUUUGGAAGGUAGGGCUGCAGUUGGAGCAUGGGAUUGAGAGAGGUGAUGUUGAAAGAACAAUUAGAAGACUGAUGCUUGAAAAAGAAGGGGAAGAGAUCAAAGAGAGAUCCUUAAAGUUGAUGGAAAAGGCAAAUCGUUGCCUCAAAGAAGGUGGCUCUUCGUACCAAUAUUUGGAUGGCUUGGCCAAGCACAUUUUAUCGUUAUAAAUCGUUUGUGUAAGAAAUUAAGUGGUAUUGCAAGUAGCCAUUUACCAUAGUGGUAAAAAUGAGUUGAGCUCUUACAUGAGGAUGUGAGUUCGAACUUCAUCGGUGACUAAAUAAAAGAAAAUCUAUCGUUUAACAAAAAAAAAAAAAGUACUAAGUGGUAUUAUUUAUUCAAUAAAAUUGUUGGGUUGCAUUAUGUGUUUACAUAAAUAGAGGCUUUUAGCAAUGUGUUAACUACAGUAUGUGUAUAAAAUAAAAUCUCGACAAAAGCCAGUCUUCACUUUACUACCAGAUUUGCACGUUUCAACUUAAUCUUCAACUCAUUCGAACAUGUGAUGUAGGUCAGAAUACCAACAAACCAAAAAACAAUAAUGGUUCUAAUUAGAUCUGGUAAAUUUUUAAACGACACGAAAAUAAAAGGUUUAGGGUAGUUACUAAGUCACCCGUUAAUAACGGGUUUACACACAGGUAACCAAUGGGUAACCCGUUUCAACCCGUUAAGAAAAAAAUAUUUUGAUGAUUUUAAAAUUAAGCUACUAAACAAACUUACUAUAAAAUAUAGUAUAUUAAAUAUGUAUUAUUGUAUUACUAUUCUACAUAAGUUAAAAAAAUAAAAAGUUUUAUUUAUUUUUAUUAUGAGAGUUUCUUAUCAUUACUAAGAUAAAUUUUACUUGACCUACUGUCUUAAAUUCAAAUCAACUAGUAUAAUAUUAGUAUAAGCAAAAUCACAGUCUUUCAAUUUCAGAGUCAACGACGUAGCAAAGCUUUUACUCUCUCUCUCUCAUACAAUCAUACUCAUAAAUGUUUUAUCCUCUUAAACGUGAGAUUAAAACAUUAUAAAACACAUUAAAAAAUUAAAUAUCAAAGUAAUUUAAAAAUACUAAACAAAUUAAAAAAUUAUAAUAAUUAAUUUACAAGUGCAAAAAAUGUGAAAAAAGAAUAUGCAAAUACUUGUGAUCACAUCCUCUAUGCUUUGAGAUGGGUACAUCAUUGUUUGAAUUUUUAAAACCGUACAAAGCCUCAUGAAUAGUAUUUUUAGGGGAGUUCAAAAUAAAUAAAAUUUCAUAAUAAUUAGUGUACAAGUGAAAAAUGUGAAAGAAUAUAUAAAUGCUCGUGAUUGCAUCCUCCACACAUAGAUGAUGGAUACAUUGUCGUUUAGAAUUUUAAAACCCUCCAAACCCUCAUGAAUAGUGUUUUUAUUUGAGUUCAAAAUUAAUAAAAUUCGUAAUAAUUAUUUUAUAAGUGUGAAAAUGUGAACAAAAAAAAAUAUACAAUCACUUAUAAUGAUAAGCUUUACAACUUUCGUGAAGGGAUCCAACUCCGAAAUCUAACACCAUAAUCCAUGAACCUUAGAUUUAUAUUUAAUCGUCGAUUAUCGUUUAUGCUUUACUCUUUCACUAAAUUUUGUUUUUCAUAUUUUCUCUUUUGAAAACAUGAUCUUUUAGCGGAUAUAGAAACAUGAAUGGUUCGGGUUGUUGAUAUUACGUUCCAAUAUGUACGGUUACCUGAAUAUGAGUCAAUGUUAUAUAGUUUUUGGAGACUUUAUAAACUCUGAGCAAUAUUUUCACUAACAGUGAAACUUUGAACGUAAUAUCAAUGAUCUGAAUUGUUCAUCUUCCUGCAUCCUCUAAAAGAUCAUGUUUUCAAAAAAGAAAACUUAAAAAAAAAUUGGUGAGAAGAAUUGAGCGUAAAUGUAAAUGAUAAUCAAUGGUUAAAUUUCAAUCUAUAGUUUAUGUGAUUAUAGUGGCAAAUUUCGAAGUUAAACCCAUCAUGAAAGUUGUAAAGCUUGUCUGUACGAGCGUUUAUAUAUAUAUAUAUAUAUAUAUAUAUAUAUAUAUAUAUAUUAAUAUCUUUCACACUUCUACAUUAAUUAAUAUUUAUGUGAUACGUGAAAGACAAAUGUGACACACCCCGACUGAGGCCAAGGCAUGUUGGCCGUCACGUGAGAGUGACGUAGCCAUGUGCACAGUGUGGAAGCGAUAAAGAUAGCAAAUAUACGAAUAACUAAAAACCACAUUACUAGAGUACACUACUAAACAGAAAAUGAUAAGAGUUAGUUACAACAAUAAACACUCAUAAUCAGAGCAUAAAGUCUAGGUGCAGUCCAAUAGGACAAGUACUAGUUACACAGUACCAGGAAUGUCCUACUAUUAUUCAAAUAGGUCAGAACUGCUGAAGAUCCCGAGCCACCAACAGCAAUCUUACUUAGAACCUGGAGGGGCGUAAAACAGAAAGCGUGAGUGGGCAAAAACAAAUGUUUUAAAAACCAUUUCAUUAUUCAGCAUAACUAACCCCUCGCUGUAAAACAUGUAUAAUUUUUCUAGAAUCAAGAUAUGAGCAUAUACAUACAUAUACAUAUAGAUAUAUCUAUAUACAUAUAGAUAUAUCUAUAUAUAUAUAUAUAUAUCUAUAUAUAGAUAUAUCUAUAUAUCUGAAAUCAUAUCAAUUUAGUUCAUGCUUCACAUAAUCAUUUUCAUAUGUAUGCCAUGCCAAAAUAUAACAAAGUAAACAAUCCGGGUAAGAAUAAUUUCAUAGAAAUGUGAUAUGUUAGCCGGAACUCCUGUGGUAGUCUGUACGGCUGAAUUCCUAGCUCAAACUCAAUCUAGCCGGAGUCACUUCUAUGACCUAUACGGCAAUAUACUGCACAUAAGUCAGAACCACUGAAAUGGUAUGUACGACAAGGUUAGGUGUAAUAUAGUUAUGCUUAAUGCUACGCCCUUACGCUAGUUAUGCGAUAAAUCGUUAGUCACCUACGAGUCAGAACCACCUAUAGUGGUCUGUAUGACAAGACUGUGCACCUAAAUUGGAUCCAAUGUGAGCAUAUGGUGUGGGAGGUGACAUAAUAUACAGGCUUGUGCCAACUCUCUUUGACUAAAUCGCAAUCACCCUGGUGCAGGUUAUGAGUUCAAUGUUCAUCAAUACAUUUAUAAUCAUUCUAUUCAUAACUAAGGCCUUUGUUUUAAUCACAUCUCAUAUAGACAAUCAACAUGUUCAUCUCAUUUAUUGAAUGGAUGCAUCUAACCUCUCGUUAGACUGCCUAUGUACCCUAAAUAAGGAUCAAGUCGUUCAUAGUUCACCUAAUCAAACAUAACUUACCCAAACUUACUUGUGCCUCCACAACACCACAUUUAUAUAUAUAUGCAACCAUGGAAAUGCAUAUUCAGAAUAUAAAGUCAUUUAGCAUAUUGUUUCAAAGCAUACUUUCAUUUAAAACAAAUUUCUGGGAAAUAAAUCAAGUAUAUAAAUAUAUACCGAAAACAAAAGCCCACUCACUGUUAUGUCGACGGGUCGUAACCCCCGAGUCGCCCGUGGAUACGCUCGUCCUCGGAAUAAGUCUCACCUAUAUGCGAAUUAACUAUAAAAACGUUAUUUUAAAGCAUAUAGGCAAAACUAGCUACUAACUUCUCAUACAUAGCUCAAAAUGGGUAUAUGAAUAUACCAACGUGACCUACACAACCUCACGAACAUCUUGAUAUUUUUAGAAAAAAAUUCCUAUAGCUUACGCGCCCUCACGCGCUGGGGAGGGCACGGCAUCACGCGCCCUCAUGCACAUCACCUUCAACCUCCAGACGCCGGAAUAGUGCCACCGGCCCCGGAUUCUGGGCAGACCUGCAACUGCCCAUUUCUCUCUCGUUUUUGCACCAUUUUCUAUGAAAUUUUCACCCAAAUGUCACAAAUUUCAAGAGGAAGAAGGUUAUACCUCUUUGGAGCCUCAAAUCCUUCGAAAACACGUCAGAAAAAUCUCAACAAAAUCGACCACCUUCGAACCUCAUGAUCCCGACGUCAAAACCAAGCUAACGAAGCACUCCGAGCUUCAUGAGAACCUCCUAGAGUUCGCUGAAGGCUUGGAUUGUCCUAAAACAUAACCAUUCAAAAGUUCAUGAAUAGUGUUCAACUCGGAGCUUGAGUUUUCAACGUGAAAUCGAACGAGUUCUUACCUGAAAUUGGUACUUUUGAACUUGUAGGGUCAUCACGAACACAACGGUACCAUUUUCUUCCUCGAUAUAUGAAGAUUUGGCUCAGUUUCAAGGUGGUCCGUACGGAGGAGAGUGAAGAGAGAGUCUGCGAGAUGAGAGAGAGAGCACGGGAAGAGAGAGAAGGGUAUGUAUUUGUGUGGUCCAAAAAUGCACACCAAUCCCAACUCUUUAAUUUUUUAGUUCUAAUUGGGUCCAAUUAGUUAGGGAUAGAACUAAUUGACUCAAUUCUUUAAUUCCACACAAACACACAUCCGACGCUCAAGGGUAAAUCUAUCUUUUCACAACCACAAUGAUAAAAUAAAGUACAUUUCUGGGACGGGCUGUGACAAAUGUGUUUUUAUGUUUUGAAGUAAUAUUUAUAUGAUAAUGUGGUAUGUAUUUACUAAUUUAGUAUUAUGUUUUUUUAUUUGAUUAUUUACUGGUUUAAAAUAAAUUUUCUUUAAUGGGUAAUGGGUCGGACCAUAUUAUCUAUUAAUAUUAACGAGUCGAGUUUCGACUUGGUCAUAUUACCUGUUCAUUUUAACAGGUGUUACACGACACAACCCGUUAAAAUAUCGAGUAUGACAUGAAAACGACACAAAUAUGAAAAACACUACACGAAUGCCAAAUCUAGUUUUAAUAACAUGGAAGAAAGUUGUCUCAGAGCCUCCUAUAGGGCAUCCAAUUCGUCACAGUGAAUGCUUCCAAUCAAUAUACAUAUAUAGUAAUCGUCAUACUUACCUUGUCUACUUUUGUGGAUCCAAAUUAUAGGCAUACAGGAAUUGUGGCAAAAAAACUCUUUCUGUGUGAGUUCUCUCUUCCUGAGAGUCGUUCUCACUAUUGUGUGAGUGGUUUCCCUUCCGUCUGAUUAUGUCACUGUCGACCCUUGCUGUGGCGGAGAUCAGUAACAGAUCAUUCCUUGUAAACUUUUAUGGAAGGCUUUUUGAAAAACUUUGCAGUUGUAGCCCUGUUGGUAGGACUGGGGGAUUAUUCUUGUUCUGGAAUUCUUGUAAGGUGGAUGUUAAUGUUAUCUCUUCCUCUUCUUGUUUUUUACACUGUGUGGUUAUUGAUUUUUCUCAAAGGUUGAACAUUAUUUCACUUUUGUGUGUGCAUAACCACGAAAACACUUGCAAUCUAUUAUGUUGGAGGACAUUUUAUUGCUUAGUCCUAAAGUUAAACCGGGGUGUUUAAUGGCAGAUUUUAACAACAUUAUGGACAUUUCUGAAGAAAAAAAAGAAGGAAGUUGCCAGGUUACUACAACUUUUAUGAACAAAUUCCUCCAAUUUCUUAACAACGGUAACCUCUUAUCUCUUAAUGCUUCUGGGGUGCCUUUUACUUGGUGCAAUAAUCAGGAAGGUAGUAAUCGAAUUUAUGAAAGACUUGAUCGUGCCUUGGGUAAUUCAUAUUGGUUAAAUGAAAAUCCUAAUUAUAAUCUUCAUAAUUAUCCUAUUUUCGGGUAACUUUUAAUUCAACAAACAUUAGUAGUAGACAUAAUAAUUCCUUCAAAUUUGAAGCGAUGUGGCUGUUGCAUCCUGAUUUCAAGGAGUUUGUGAAUGAUGCUUGGAAAUGUAAUGGUGGUUUCAAUCCUAUGAAUAAUUUUAGAGUUUGUGCAAAUAUGUUUAAUUACUUAGUAAAGAAUUGGAAUAAGACUACUUUUGGUAAUUUGAAAGUUCACAAGGAAUGCAUCCUUGGUGAACUGGCUGUGAUCCAAGAGACCAUUAUGAGAAAUAAAAAUGUUGAUGUUGAAUUGGAACUCGAAACUAAGAUAAGUGAAGAACUAAAUUCGAUACUAAAGCAAGAGGAAAUUAUGUGGGCACAAAAAGCUAAAGUCAAUUCUCUCCAGUUAGGUGAUAAGAACACUAGGUUCUUUCAAACGGUAGCAACUAUACGGAAGAAAAGACACGAAAUUAAGAGGAUGAAGGACAAUAAUGGGUUUUGGUGGAAUGUGGAUGAAAGACUUGAACAAGUUUUUGUACAGGAAUUUAAACUGUGUUUUUCUUGUGAUUGUCCUCCUUCACCCGUUGAUAUUUCUUCUUGUGCUAAUAUUAUUACCCCUUGCAUUGAUAAUAGUCAAAAUGAAAUGCUUCUCAAACCUAUGGAGGACGUUGAGGUUUGGGAGGCGAUGAAAAGCAUUCGUGCACUAAAGGCACCAGGGCCUGAUGGUAUUAAUGCAAGUUUCUACCAUGAAUGCUGGGAUACCAUUAAAGAUUUAGUUAGUGCAAUGGUGAAGGAUUUUUUCCUUAAUAAUUUCAGUCUAAAAUUGAUUAAUCAUACCAACAUAGUUCUUAUUCCCAAAGUGGAGAAUCCGGAGGUGGUAAGUAACUACAAACCAAUUAGCCUUUGUAAUGUUAGUUACAAAAUUAUUAUGAAAAUCAUUAUCAAAAGGUUAAGACCUUUGCUUGAUUUGUUCAUAUCUAACUGUCAAGGGGCUUUUGCCCCAGGGUGUUCUAUUCAUGAUAAUAUCUUGAUAGAUCAUGAGAUGUUCUCUAGCUUUAAAGUAUAAAAAAUUAAAAAAUUAAAAAAUUAAAAAAUUAAAAAUUAAAAAAAGAAGAGAAGGAAGGAUUGGAGCAACGGGAAUAAAAUUAGAUCUUGAAAAGGCCUAUGAUUUCCUUAUUGGGAUUAUAUUGUUUAGGUGCUUUUGAGAUUUGGUUUUGCGGUAAGGUGGGUCGAUUUAGUUAUGGUGUGCAUUAAGUCCUCUUCAUUCUCAGUCUUAAUAAAUGGUUCUACCCAUGGUUAUUUCUACCCGAAAAUAGGGAUUAGGCAAGGGGAUCCUUUAUCGCCUUAUAUUUUUAUGCUUUGCAUGUAACAUGUAAUUAGACAUUUUAACAGUAUGGCCAAUAACCCUAAGUCUCAUAUUGGUAUUUUAUCCUCUCCCGGGGGAUUUAGAAUUUCUAAUCUAGUGUUUGCAGAUGACUAUCUUUUGUUUGCCAAUGCAACUACUAAGGGUGCGCGGAAUGUCCUCCAAAUUUGUAAUAUGUUUGCUAAAGCUUCUGGUCAGCAGGUAAAUUUUCAUAAAUCAUCUUUAUACUUUUCAAACAAUACUAGUGCUCAAACUAGAAAUGCAAUUGUCAAUAUCCUACAUAUACAACACAAAACAACAAUUGGUAAGUACUUGGAAAUUCAUAACAUUGUGUUCUGGAGAGAUCUAGUUAAUGAACAAGAAUUAUUGAGAAGAGUGAAACAAAAGUUAGUGGGUUGGAAGGCAAAUACUCAUUCUAAAGCAGGUAGAUUAACUCUUAUUAAGUCUAAUCUAACUGGUAUGCCUAACCAUAUCAUAUCUUGUUUUAAGUGUCCCCCUAGUGUAACAAAGAAUUUAAACAAGGAAUAGGAAAUUUUAUCCUUUAGCUUGGGAUAAAGUUUGCAUGGCUAAAGACCAAGGGGGUGGUUAGGAAUUAGAAGAGUGGAUCAUUUCAAUAAUGCUUGUUUGGCUAAGUUAGGUUGGAAAGUUGUAAAAAAUGAGAACAAUUGGUGGGUGGAAGUGGUUAAAAGGAAAUACUUAAGGAAUAAUAUUUUUUUAAGUUGUAAGGUUAGACAAAACUAUUCUAUAGCCUGGAAAGGAAUUUUAAAUAGUAGACAUGUUAUCCACAUGGGAAUGAGAUGGGUGGUGGGUAAUGGUAGGGACAUCCUUUUUUUGGACCCAUUGUUAGGUUUUUCCUUAUCCGCUUGCCCACCUCAUUCAAGUUAAUUAGCGUCAGAAUAUUAAUUGGGAAGCUAAAGUUUGUGCUUUAUUGAUAAUGGGAACUGGGACAAAGUCCGACUUUCUCAAGUAUUAGAUUUAGAUGUUGUGAAAAAAUUCUAUUUGGUAACUAUUCCCUAGCAGAAUAAGGAAGAUUACUUCAUUUGGGAUCAUUCAUCAACUGGUGAUUUCUCAAUUAAAUCAGCUACUUGGAUUCAGAGUAAUCAAAACCAUGAAGUGAAGAGACAAAAGCUCCUUAAGAGGUUGUGGAGGUUAAUCAUUCCCCCUAAGGUAAUUUUUUUUACAUGGUUGCUUAUUCAAGGAAAAUUGCAUACUAAGGUAAGAUUGAGUAAAUUCAUUCAAAAUGCUAACAAAGAUUUCUUGUUAUGUGGCAAGGAGGAAGAAACACAAAGUCAUCUUCUUCGGAAUUGUGAUUUUGCAAAAGAAGUCUGGAACAAAUCCCCGUUAAUACACGACAGAGUAAUGUUGGUCAUACAAAUGAUUUUUUAGAUUGGUUAGAAUUAAUUAACAAUGAUGAAUGCAUUGGUUUGAGUGAGCUUAGUAAGGCUCUUCUGAAUUGUUGGCAAAUUUGGAAUGACAGGAAUAAUAAAGUUUUCAGAAGCAUAAGUCCUCAUCAUGUCAGAAGUAUUGCCAUUACAGCUAGAGUGGGUUUAUAUUAUUUUGAGGCCAAUUGCAAAAGGACUAACAAAAGCAACCUUUGUAAUCAAGCAAACAUUCGUUGGAAGCCUCCGCCCCAAGGUUUUGUGAAGUUAAAUUUUGAUGGCUCGGUUUGUUUAAAUAAAGUGGUUGCUGGGUUUGUUUUAAGGAACGAGGCUGGACAACCUGUUGGAGUUGGUGCUUUUAAUCUCAAUGGGGCCACCAUCUUGCUUGUGAAAGCCACUGCUUUAAAGGAGGGUCUUUCUUUUGCCAAGUGCAAAGGUGCGAGAAAGCUUGUUGUGGAUGGAGAUUCCAAGCUCAUCAUUUAGGUGGUGCAGGGGGAGUGGAACCCCCCUUGGCAUCUUAUACCGAUCAUUGAGGACAUCAAGUGGCUAGUAUCGGGAUUUCCGUGCAUUAGAUGGCAUCACAUUUUUAGGGAGGCAAAUUUUGUCACGGACAACUUAGCUCACGUGGGCCUAUCAGUGACGAAUCCAUAUUUUUAGGAUUAUUGCCUUCCUGCUUCGGCCUUGGAUGCUUUUAGAUUUGAUUGUUUGGGAAUCGAUUAUACUAGAGGCUUUUCUGUUUAAUGAAAUCUUUUUUCCUAUAACAAUAAAAAAAAACAUAUUUAAUUUUCCAAAUUUUUUAAUAAACCUUAAAAAAAAUUUAAAAAAUUAAACAAACACCACAAUUCCAAAUCAAACCUAAAACUUAAUUCGGAAUUUUUGUGAGUGCUCAAAUUGUUCCCAGUAGAAAAAUAAGCCCAAAACCCAAAUGGUAAAUAUAGACAAAACAAUGAUAUUCCUUGUGUAUCUUUGUAAGCAAUAUGCUAAUACCAAAUUCUUUCAUCAAUCCACUCUGCAUAGAAGAAGAAGAAAUACGGUGUUAGCUUUAAAAAACAGACAUGGGAAUUGGACUGAAAACCCUCCUCAGGUUAGGCGGUUGUUUGAUGAGUACUUCAUGGAUCUCUUCACGUCUUCUGGUCACAGGGAGUGGGGCAAUUUAUUAGACUGUGUUGUCUCAAAAAUUUCAGAUGAAUUGAAUGAGUCUCUAAUGGCAGUGGUCUCGAGUGAUGAGGUCAGAGUUGCUGCCAUGCAAAUGGGAAGUUUAAAGCUCCGGGCCCUGACGGCUUUCCGGGAAUCUUUUAUCAAACUAAUUGGGACACCAUUGCUGCAGAGGUGAAUGAAUUAAUUUGGGAUAUGAUGAAUGGAACGGAAAUCCCAGGGGGAAUUAACGCUACACACUUGGUGCUGAUUCCGAAGGUGCCUAAACCGGAAUCUGUGGAGCAAUUUCGUCCCAUUAGCCUCUGCAACUAUUCUUAUAAGGUGUUUUCCAAGGUUUUGGCAAAUCGUCUCAAAAUGGUUAUUCCGGAUUUGAUUUCUCCUUCCCAAAAUGCUUUUGUGGCGGAGAGGCAAAUUCAAGACAAUAUUGGAAUUGCUCAUGAGCUUUUUCAUUUCCUAAAGACUAGAAAAGCUAGGAGUCAAUUCGAAUUGGGAAUAAAGUUGGAUAUGCAAAAGGCCUAUGAUAGGGUGGAGUGGGACUUUUUAAUGGCUGUCAUGGAGAAGAUGGGAUUCGAUGAAAGAUGGCGAAAGUUGAUUUUGGGAUGUAUAUCGUCGGUGAACUUUUCCAUCUUGCUAAAUGGUCAACCGGGAUCUAAAUUUGCUCCGUCUCGCGGGCUUCAGCAAGGAGAUCCUCUUUCCCCUUACUUGUUCCUUUUGGUUAGUGAAGUUCUAUCUCUUAUUAUCCAACAGGCUUGUGAGAGGAAGUGGUUAAGGGGGGUGCAGAUGAACCCGGCAGGUCCGUGUAUUUCCCAUAUUCUCUUUGCUGAUGAUACUCUGAUCUUUAUUAAGGCUGAGGAAGAGAAUUGUAGGAAUCUUAUUCAGCUGAUUGAUAAUUUUUGUGCGGCUUCUGGACAACAUGUGAAUAAGUCUAAAUCCAGUGUGUGUUUUGGUUCCAAUGUCCCUGAGGAGGUCUCUCGACAUCUAUCUAAUAUUCUUGGUUUUGAGUGGGUGGGUGAUCCGGGGAUGUAUCUCGGGGUUCCAGCUAUAUGGGGAAGAUCUAAAAAAGCCGGGUUGGCCUAUGUUAAAGGCAGGCUUCUGGAUAAAUUGCAGGGAUGGAAAAAAUCCACUCUCUCCCAAGCCGGCCGGGAGAUCCUGAUUAAGGCGGUGGCACAAGCCAUUCCAGCUUAUCCUAUGAAUUUGUUCAAAUUUCCUGUUUCUUUUUGCAAUGAAAUGGAUGCAUUGAUAACUAAAUUCUGGUGGGGUCAAAAACUUGGUGAAAAUCGGAUCCAUUGGGUUUCCAGGGAGAGAUUGGGUCGGUCUAAGGAGGAAGGAGGUCUCGGCCUAAGGAGUUUUACGAUUUUCAAUGAUGCUCUGUUGGCCAAACAGUGUUGGAGAUUGAUCUCUGAACCUAACACAUUAUGGGCCCUUGUUCUCAAGGCCCGUUAUUUUCCUAAUAGCUCAUUCCUUGAUGCUAAGAAUGGUGGGAGAGCUUCUUGGGUUUGGGCUAGCCUUCUUGCUGGAAGAGAGAUUCUUAGGGCAGGUGCUCAUUGGCAGAUUAUGGACGGAAAUGACACGAGGGUUUGGGUGGAUAGAUGGAUCCCCCCCAUCCCUUUAGGGAGACCGUCCCCGUUGGGGUCAGUUCAAGUUUCGAAAAAUCUAAAGGUGAAGUCCCUUAUCUGUCCGGUGAGUGGGGAAUGGGACUUGGAUUUUUUAAAACCUUUCUUGGCGGAUUCUGAAGUUGAGGCGAUUUUGGAUUUGCAAACCGGUGAUCCGAUGCUUAAGGAUAGAUUGGUUUGGCCCUUUGAUAAGAGGGGGUCUUAUUCUGUGAAAUCAGGCUACUAUUGGAGUCUCAAUCGAUCCCAAGUUCGCUGCCAACAACCUACCAGGUUGGUCUCCAUUCCUUCUACCUUAUGGAAAACUGUAUGGAAGUUGAAGGUUCCUCCUAAAAUUCGAACUUUCAUGUGGAAGACCCUGCAUGCGGCUUUAGCUACAAUGAAGAAUUUAUAUAUUCGAAGAUCUUCCCCCUCUCCCAUCUGCCCUCUGUGUAACUCCUUUGAUGAGUCCAUAGAACACCUCUUUCUUUUCUGUCCUUGGGUGGAGGUGGUAUGGUUUGGAGGAAGGCUGAAUCUGAGACCUAACCGGCAGCAAGUUUCGAGUUGGGCUAGUUGGCUCAUGCAAAUGGGUGCGGCAGAGAAUGGGUCAGCGGAGGUGAGGAUUGAUCGAAUUUCCUAUAUUGCUUUUACAUGCUGGCAUAUUUGGAAAUCUAGAUGUGAUUUUCAGUUCAACAAUCAGGUUAUCUAUCCCAGCAGGGUGGUUGCUGCUGUCUCCAGAUCGGUCUCGGAUUACCAGGGGACAAUCUUAAGGCAGAGUUCCCGUUCUUUGCUAAACCAUUCGAGUUUGGGAGAUGGAGUUAAGUGGUCUCAUCCGGAUCAUGGUGUUAUCAAAAUAAACGUGGAUGCCAAUUGGGAGGCAAAGUCGGGGGUGGGUUUCACGGGGGUUGUGGCGAGGGAUGAGCAGGGUUGUUUUUUGGCUGCCUCUAGGCAGAAGAUUAAGGCUACUGGUGCUACUAUGGCGGAAGCUUUGGCCAUUUUGCAUGGGUGUAAUCUGGGGGUUAGCAAUGGAUGGAAUUCAAUAUGUGUUGAAUCUGACUCAUACGAUGCUAUCUCCUGUUUGUGGGAUCCGGCUUUGAAGGGCAAUUGGGAUGCUUUUCCAGUUCUCAGGAAGUGCCUUAGAUUGGGAAGGGCUUUUCAAGCUUGCCGCUGGUCUUGGGUUCCAAGACUAGCCAAUUCGGUAGCGGACUGUUUGGCGUCGCUGAUCGGAUCAUAUUUAUAUAUAUUUUUACUUCGAAUUCACUCGUCUUUUCUUAGUUAGUUCCUUAUAUUUUUGAGCUAUUUACGUUAUUUUUGUGUUUAUAGGAUUUGUUAUGCAAAGAAAAUAAAAAUAGAACAAGUGAAAUUUUAUGUAAUAAAUUCGUCAAAACUGUCUGUGUAGAUCAGCUUUUAAAUUAAAUUAAAAAUUAUAUUUAAUAAUGAUAAGUCAUGAUGAUGUUUGAAACAUCAUCAUGAUGGUUUUGUUUUGUAGAAGAAAAGAAAGGAACGGAUGGAGAAGAAGAAAAAAAAAGGGAAUAAAAGUAUGGAAAGCAAAGGCAUACGACGGAGAAAGAAAUCAGAAAAGGAGGGAUCCAAAGCGUGAGGGAGGAGAGGAGUAAGCUGCCCUUGCAGCUUUGAGAAGGUAAGAAAAGAGAUAUAAAAAAAUAUAGAAAGAAAGGAGAGGUCAGAGAGGAUAGGGAGACUGGCAAGGUCAGAAACAAGAAAGAAAAAUAUAAAAAAGGCAGGAAGCUGCCUUAGCAGCGGAGAAAGAAAGAAAAAAAAAGAUAAAAAAAUAAAGGAAGUAGUAAGGAGGUGAGAAGUCAGUAAGGGGCGGACAGGAGCAGAAAACAGGAAGCAGCUUGCUGCCUUGCGGGAGCAAGAACGAGAGGGAGAGAACCGAGAGCUGAGCUGCCCUUGCAGCUUUGGAAAGGUCAGAGGUGAAUAAAGAAAUAGCUGCUUUGCAGCUGGAGGAAAGAGGGGGCAGCGCAGAAAAAUGGGGGAAUAAUCAGCAGCAGAUCACAGAGGCACGGACGCAGCAGAUCUUCUUUUCUUGGUUAAAUCUUUCCAAACUUAUAUUUUAUUUCUAUUUUAAUAAUGUGUAACUAAGUUUAUUUUGGCUAGAGGUUAAUUCAAAGCCAUGAAUAUAUUUGUAAUAUGAAUUGAUUACCUUCAGUUGUGAUUUCUGAGUUGUGAUUUAAUUUGCUUAACUGCUUGAUUGAUAACUUAUUUUUGUAUGUCGAUUAAGGAUGCAUACUUAAUUUACAUGCAUGAAUUUGAUGCUAGAAUAUAAGUGAAUUUCACCUCAUCGUUAUGAACUUAUAUUCACAAGUAGUAAAGGUUGCUAGUCACAAUCACGUUAAGUAAAUUCUUGGCAAGAGUAUCAUGCUUUUCAUAGUUACGAAUGCCUCAUCAAUGCUUAUAGUUUUCACAAAGUUUAAUGAUCUUUGAUUGUAUCUCUAUUGUGCUUUUCACGUAGGGGACUUUUGAAGAAUGUUUUGAAUUGUUGUAUGCGUUUUCCCGUCCAAUUCAAUAACUUAAGGAAAACUUGAAGAUUAAAAAAAGGGCUAUUCACGGUUAAUCUGAAGUGUUGAAAUUCACAACUUAUUGAAAGAACAACUGAAAAUCAAUUUAGAUUGCAUAUGUGUCAUGUGUGGAGAAAACCUUCUAGCUAGUCCGUCAUUUAUCCUUUCACCUUAAUUUCAUGUUUUUGUCAAUUCUGUAAUUUAUUUAAGUUUAAUUUACUUCUAGUCAAAACCAAACACCCUUCCAUUAUUAAAUUAUAUUAUUUAGUUAGUUUUCAUUGUUGUUAGUUUUUUAAUUCAAUUUCCGUCCAUUGCAGUUCCUAGUGUCUAAUUUGAUUGUUUUCAUUAUUUUGAGUUAUCCUAAGUGUGUUUUGAGUUAUUAGAGUUUUUAGCCUAGUUUUGUGUCCUUGAGUCUUAUUUAAUAUUUUUAAAUUAAUUUAGAAUAGAUUAGCAAUCCCUCCUAAUCCCCGGCCUAGAACGAUACCCUACUUAUAUCUAUACUACAAUUGUCAAAAGAGGGUUUAAUUUGUGUGUCAAGUAAUUCACGCAUCAGUCGCGCAAGUGUAAGGAAGUAUGUGAUCAUGUUUGGGUCAUUAGACCCCCAUCUUCCCUGGUCCAUGUUUUAAGUAAUGAUGGCCUUCCUUGCCCUCCGUAGAUUUUUUUGUUAGUUUGAGAAGGGACGCUUUAGCAUUUGGUGCGGCGUCAUGGUUCCUUGUACCUUCUUUUUCUCCUUACUGCUGUGGUGUAGUUGUCUGUUUGCCUCUUUGUUUGGCUUUCGUGUUCCUGUUUGGCAUCUUUGCCCGGUUAUGAAAAACUGUUUGCCAAAAAAAAUAACAUAAAAAGAGGUAACGACAAAAGGAGCUGGCAGUGGACAGUGGGAUUUAGGAAAAAAACAGAAAAAUGGAUUAUCUCCGGAUCUCUUCCACCUAAUCUUCCUUAUCAAACAAUCCGCACUCUUGAAAUUUGAUCAAACGGCAAAAGUUACUAUAACUUUUAAAAUAAGCCCGUAUUUUUAGCCGUUGGAUCAGCAGAGCCAUCAAUAAGAUAAGAUUCCAGCCUGGAAUUUCCAGGGUUGCGUCAUGCGUGAGCAAAAUUCCCAUAUAGUACAUUUGCCCAAGCUCAAGCUCGGCCGCCUCAGCAUUCCCCAAUAAGUUCACAACUCACAAGCUAAACGAUUGUCGAUUCAAAAAUGGAGCAAAGCAAAGGCAGGAGAGUCAUCCUCUUCCCACUACCCUACCAAGGGCACAUAAACCCUAUGCUACAACUGGCCAACAUUCUGCAUUCCAAAGGCUUCUUCAUAGCCAUCCUCCACACCAACUUCAACUCCCUCAAUCCUUCAACCCUAAACACAAACUUCACCUACCAUUCAAUCCCUGUUGACUUGACAGAAAACGAAGCCUCCAUCAAGGAUCCCACCCUUCGUCUUUCUAUUCUAAAUGCUAAAUGUGUUGAGCCUUUCAGAGGAUACUUGGCCGGGUCGUUAUCCGACGAUGUUAAUUCGGAGGACCCCAUUGCAUGCUUGAUCUCGGAUCCUAUCUUCGACUUCACUCGGUCGGUUGCAGAGAGCUUUAAGCUGCCGAGGAUCGUGUUAAGGACCGGGGGUGCCGCUUCCUCGCUGUUUAUGCUGCAUUUCCACUUCUCAAGGAAAAGGGUUACCUACCAAUAUCAGGUGCAAUCUCAAGCCAACAAAACCCUAUUAUCAAAUGUUUUUUUAUCUCAUCGUUGUUACUAUGCAAUAUGAGUAGAUUGAAAACACCACACCGUGACUGAUGACUCGUUUCAAAUUCUUUUUAUACGUAGCACUUUUGUUCUUUGUUCGUAAGAGAUCAUGCAACAUGUACAACAUGUCAAAAACAUUAUUAAAAACUCAGGUGCUUCUUAGGUAGGAAAAAAAACUUCAAAGUGAUUCUUGUUCUUCUUCUUCAGAAAUCACUCUAUAGAUCCAAAAAUGUUUUUUGUUACCAGAAAGCACUUUUAGCACUUCUAGAAGCGAUACUAGAUUGACACUUAAACAACUUAUGCAAAUUUAAGUUAAGCUAGUUAGCCAGGUUAGCAUUUUUAUUCCUCGCUCUACCUCAUAAAUUUUCAUUUUAGGAUAUGCAUUAAAAGGCAAAAUAUAUAUACUUACUAGGAACCUUAUAUUUGGCUUUUUAUUUCGACAAUUAGAUUCUCGACUAGAAGAGCCAAUGAUGGAGCUUUCACAUAUCAAAGUAAAAGAUCUACCAAUGAUGCCCACACUAGUAGAAAAAUCACUUUGCACGACGUAGGUACCUUUGUCGCGCAAAGUCAAAAUUCGUUGCCUAAAAACUAGCGCAACGAAACCUUCGUCGCACGCUAACCGUCGUGCCAAGUCAAUGACAGUAAGGUUUGGGCGACAAAGUAAAUACAUACGUCGCGCAAAGUCAAAAUUCAUUGCCUAAAAACUAGCGCAACGAAACCUUCGUCUCGUGCUAACCAUCGUGCCAAGUCAAUGACAGUAAGGUUUGCGCGACGAAGUAAAUACAUACGUCGCGCAAAGUCGACGGACGUCCUACGUCGCACAAAGUGACUUUGCGCGACGUAGAAAAUGCGUCGCGCAAAGUGGUUUGGAUGGCUUUGCACGACGCAUGACCUACGUCACGCAAAGUUGUCAGUGGCUUUGCGCAACGUAGGUCAUGCGUCGCUCAAAGUGGCUUAGGUCGCUUUGCGCAACAUAGGAAUGCAUCGCUCAAAGUGGCUUAGGUCACUUUGCGUGACGCAUGACCUACGUCGUGCAAAAUGGCUUAGUGGCUAGCCAUGCAUCGCGCAAAUCCUUUUUUUUUUUUUGGUCCAAAUAUUUUUUUUUAAAUUUUUAAUAAAUAUUGUAAUUAAAUUCUAAACAAUAAUUAAUUAACCAAGCAAAAAUAUUUAAUUAUAAAAUAUAUGAAAAUGUACAUACAAGAUGUCCGAACAAAAAAGAAAAAACUACAAGUAGUCUUCUAGGUUUGAUACAUUAGGCUACUGGGUAUCAGUAGGGCGAGAUGGCUCUGAGAUCGAAUGUGGAGCAAGAUGAAUUGCUGGUAGCGAGAUUUGGAGGCCGGACAUCUGUAUGGCUCGUACAAGGUCUCUCACCAUCCCGGCAUAGGCCCUCAUCUCCUCGCCCUGGGCUGCAAACUGACCUUUUAGGGUUGUCACUUCCUCCUUCAAUGCAUCAACUUCUGCUGUGUUCGAUCUGGAAGAAGAGGCACCCGUCUCACGAACCCGCACUUUCCCCAUACAUGGAACAACCUUGCCAUGACGACAACCAAAGUUAUGAUCCAGGACAUUAGUCAUGAUUUGAAACCUACAUCCUCGGGUACCGUGACGUCCUCAAUCGGGGUCUCCAGGGGAAGCUGCAAUGUUGCUUCUUGGAGAACAGCAGUGCUUUUUUCCACCAUAGCAACUUGUAAUAAUAAAGAAAAAACAUAUAAUGUUUAAUAACAAAAUAUAAAUAAUAUUUGAACGAUUCAUACAUAUAAGAAUAAUAAUAAUUACAUAUACUUACAUGAAGCUGCUCAGUGGUCUCAUUACCAGGUCGAACGUAAACGUCCUUGAACAUGUCGCUCUUUGGGAACUUAGAACCCUCCUGAAGAAAAAAACAUUAAGAAAAUUUUAUUAAUCAAUAAUAAUAAAUAAAUUGUAUAAAAUUUCAAAGUUAAUAUACUUUUACCUAACGUCGUGCCUUAAGCCUAUACGAAAAGGGCUUAGAACCGGAAUGGUGGAGAAGUUUCUUUGACUCCCAAGCUUUCUUGCCAGCAAUAGAUUUCGUCUGUUAAACACACAAUAUACAUGUUAGUGCGACUAUUUGAAAUAAAUUAGUAAAAAAAGCUUAAAAAAUAAGUAAAACAAUAAUAAAUUAUUUUUAAAAUAUUAUGUACAUACCACAAAUUUUGGGUCCGUAAAAUGUUUGCAAAGUCACUCCCAAUCCUCCGACCGAUCCUGCAACUCGCUUGGAACAUGUAGGCGAGCAAUCUCCGGAUCAUCCCAUCACUUAAAAUACGUGUGAAAAUUGUUCUUCCAAUGUUUGUACCGGGUUGCUAAGAUCUCCUCUAAGUAGGCCAUGGUCUCGGGGGAUAUGUCCUGAAGAUCAUAAAUGACCUACGAAUAUGAAAAACAAUAAAAUAAUUGCAAGAAUUUAAUAAUAUUAGAUAAUAUAUUUGGUUUUUAAUAUUUGUAAACAAAAUUAAAAAAAUGAUAAAGGCUAAAAAUUAAUAUACUAACUGACAACUUGUCUCGCACCAGUUUCUUCAUCUCCUCGGGAAUUUCUGCCCAAGACUCCCAUUGAAAAGGACAAUUUUGUCGAAUAACAACACCACAGCUACUAGCGACGCUGCUAUGCUCCUGUGAGGUAGCCGUUCCACGAUAUUGCGAGUCAUACACAAUCUUGAUCUUGGAGGCGGCCUGAUGUGCGUUCUGUGCCUGCUUCAGCAUUCAACUAGGCCCCUGGUGUUUUUUUUAACUGGCCAAAAAUACUAAAAUGGUGAAAACCCUAAGCUUAAAUUUGUACAAAAAAAAAAUCGACACAACCUCCCCUAAUAGUAUAGCAUUUCCCAAAACCUUAAAACAGUAAAAUAACAGUAAUUCACAACCUACAACACAUUUUCAUAAUCCAGCAAAUUUUCACCAUCAUAAAAAUAAUAGUUUAAAAAAAUACAACGUACUGAGAAUUAGAAAAAAACUACAUGGCUGGGAGGGCUCACCCUCGACUCUGGAUGCCGAGGAAGUUUGAUCAGAAGGCUCCGGCUCGCGAGGGCACCAGUGAGGCCGCCGUGCAUUGAACGGUUGAACCGACACUGAUGACGUUGAUGAGACAGGCACCUGGGACGCCGUAGGAGUAGCCUCAGUAAGGGGUGUAGGCUCCCCAAUCAAUGGAGCACUCACGGCUAGAGCAAUAGAUGCUAAUAAUGCGGGAGGCGCAUUGGUCACACUCCGACGACGAGUGAUCAACUGAGACAUCUAUACACUUUUUGAACCAUAAAAAUAUAACAUUAGAAACUAAUCCUUGCAUUUGAAACUAGAAGAAAAAAGCAAAGAAAACUGAACAAAUAAACCAUGUGUGAAAAAUGCAAAGAAAACUGAACAAACAUUAACCAAAGAUUAAAAAGUGUAAUGAAUCCAAGGAAGCACGAUUGAUUAAAAAGAGUCAAACCUAAACCAAGAGACCUAUCCUAAUCUGUCAAACCCCAACCCAACUUUCUAUAAUUUGAUCUCCCAGGCUUAGUGUGUUUAAUCACAACAAUUAUUAAUCGAAGGCAGCACGAUGGACUGUUUUUUUUUUACUGCGUGUAAUUUGAUCUCCCAGGCUUAGUGUGUUUAAUCACAACAAUUACUAAUCGAAACGAAGAAAACAAAUUACCAAAUCCAUAAUCCUUUGCAAACAGAGCCAGUCAAAGUUAGUACCUCUACUUAUCAAGAACUCAAUUCUGUGUACACACGAAGAUCGACUUAAGACAAUAUCAGAUCACUAUCCAAUGCUCAAUUCACAUCCAAAUAUCCAAUUUCCUCAAACAAAAAAAAUAUACGAUUUAAGCAAAUAACCUGCAGACAAGAUUCACUUUAAUCAAAAUCCACAUCCGAUUACUGGUUUUCUCAUCAAAAUUCAAGCAUCAGCAUAUGACUUGCAGAAAACAAACAGAAACCAACACGUCAAAGAAAACUGAUCCUUUCUUGCAUUUGAAAGUAGAAGAAAAAAGCAAAGAAAACUGAACAAAUAAACCAGGCCCUGUUUGCUUUGGAAUUUUGGGAAAAACAAAAAGUACACACUGCCUGCAGUAACAUGUAGCAAUGGACCUUUGGGGAUGAAAGGAAAGCAUUUUCCUUCUGGUCUAUGGUGAGAUUAAAUUGUUAGCAUCUAAUCAAACUGCUGUGAAAAAAUACAACAAUUGUGAUUGACAUAUAAGUAGGAAUGAAUCUUCCCAAACUCCCUCAGUCCUAACAUGAAUUGUCAACAGACCUAAACCAAGAGACCUAUCCUAAUCUGUCAAACCCCCAACCCAACUUUCUAUUUGUUAGUAUGUAUGUACAUUUUGUGUGUGUGCAUGUGUAUGUGUGUGUGUUUGAGAGACAGAGGAGAGAGAUGGAGGUGUUGCUUCCUGCAAUUUAAAAAUACAAUAUACACCAAAAAAAGCCAGAUAUGUUUUGAUAGGUUAAAAUUUCUAAAUGACAUCACCAGAGGAAGCCUUCGUUGCCAGGCUAGCAUAUCAGGACGCUUAACCAUGCAAAUUUUGUCAAAGCAUACUACAAAUAUCCUUUUGUAGAUGAAGCCCAUUCAUAUUGGUAAAACCAAAAGACUGAUAGAUUUCUUGUUUUUGCCAACAAGUCCUCGACAUCUACGUGUUCCCACAAGGCAUUCUGUUGUUUUGUUGUUCGACAUGAGAAGGAAUGAAGGCAAAAGACAAAGUGAUAAAUGGGAGGUACACUAAAAAAGAAUGACUAUGACCUUGCAUCUAAUAAUAAUAUCAAAGGAUGAGAGGAUGUCUCCCAUUCCUCUCUAUCUCAUUCCAACUCAUCUUGUAAUCUCAUGCAUUCAGACAACACUCACAAUACACACACACAUUCAAUAAAUUAAAUAUAAUUAAUUAGCAUAAGCAUAUGGACAUUCUAAUUGUAACAUAUAUGUAAUAUGCACUAUUUUAAGGGGUGUGCUAUCCACACACCCUUUUUUACUUCUCACACACCCCUUGUUAAUUUAUGUCCGUUGAUCUUCUUCAUUUCAUCCGAUCUAACGGCCGAAAAUUAAAAGGGUGUGUGAGAAGUAAAAAGGGGUGUGUGGAUAUCACACCCCUAUUUUAAAUGCAUUUUCUCGAACUAAUAAGGAGACACAUGCAGAGAUAAGAAAGGAAAUGUUCAGUUAUUACAUAAAUAUAUAGAGCUCUCAUAUAGCUUCAGCCUGAAUUAGAAAUAUAUAGAGCUAGUUGAUUGCAAUUAAAAGAGUGUAGACGAUAAAAAAUUGUGCCAAAAGCUUAUUUGUUUUGUUCUGUUUGUAUCUUUGUUAGUGUGAGAGAACUAAGAUUUUGCUAGGCAAAUGAGAAUUUGAUGAUGUUAGAGAAAAUUUAAACAUUCAUAGAACAAAAUCAACAGACCCCCAAAUCAUAUCCAAAUCAAGAAAGCAAAAUGAUAUCCAUAAUUCUCUAAACAACCGCAGCUUGCUCCUUCCAACAGACAAACUGGGUGCAGAGGCAAAAUUUUCAAAGCAUAUCAUAGGAAAGUACCAUUUGAAAGGCAGCAGAGACAGUCAAAAUUUUAAUUUCUAUUCUGGAGAUAUAUAUUAUGUAUCUUCUCAGCUUUUUCAUGCAUUUAGAUAUCUUUUGAGAGAAAGUCGCAUGCUAUUUUAUUUCCAUUUUGUGGUGUUCUAAUCUGUCAAAAGUACUGCACACAUGCAGCGCUUCUUCAAAAAUGGAAAGAAAAAAAAAACAGGGAAACUAUGCGCCCAGUCUGAUUUUAAAGUAAGUUUGAAAGUCAUUAUACCUUCUGUUAGUUUUUCCUGACAGUUCCUUCUAUAAGUGUUCCCUCCUUAAGGUAUAACAGUUCCUGAAACAUUAUAUGGCAAACCAAUGUCAAUUCUUAAGAAAAAUAAGAUCACAGAAUCUCAGAACAAACAAUGAGAGAACAUUGCAAGCAACAAAAAACAUGAAUAAAUUAAAUGUCAAAAUCCAACUGACCCAAGCUUCUUUCUCACUCAAUAAAUUAAAAUUUUCAAAGCAUAUAUCUUUAGAAUUAAAGAAAUUUGAAAGGCAGCAGAAGUUUAGUUCAAGUGUUGCUGGCUUUGGAAAAGUUAAAUACAGAAAGCGUUUUCUGUAGAAGUUUGAAUCCGGUCCAUAGUUCAACCAUGUUGCAACUGUAUACUACUUUGGGAACAAACAGAAACCAACACGACUGCACCCACCCUAAUUCGAAACCCACAUAACCUCAAACCCUCACAAAUCUGAAACUCUAUUAAAUCAGAACCAACAUCCAAUUUUAUCUGGAGAUUUAGACAAAGUACUCAGAAAUAAACAUGCAAUUAGACCUUAAACCCUAAAUAACAAAAACCCAUCGAAAAUCAGAAAUCCUUACCUUGAUUUUGGGACUUGAUUCGCGUCGGCUUCGAGAGUCGCAUGGCGACCCGUCGUUUCGCAUGGUGGUUGGAUUUGGGUUCAAGAUUUGGUGUUCACGAGAAAGAGAGAGGGAGAGAUGAGCGAGAGGGAAGAAAUAAAUAGUUGGUGGUCUACGGGAAGAAAGACUUGGGGAAAGAAAGAGUUGGCGUCCAAACUCCAAACUCGGAAAUUGAAAAAAAACCUCCUAUUUUUUACUAUUGAACCGCCAACAUUAUCACAACUGACGCUACCUAGGUAUACAAUUUGGCGUUGCACAAAGUUGUUUUGCGCGACGAUCACAUUAAGGCUUUGUGCAAGGUUUUUUUUUUUUUUAAAUUAUUAUAAAAAUUAUUAAAAAUGUGACUUUCUUUCUUUCAAAUUCAAUUUUUUUUUACAUAAACUCCACAAUAAAUUUUGUUGCAUAUAUAUCAUUCAAUUUCUUAAGUGUUAUAAGUACAAAAUAAAUAAAUUAAAAUCUACUUUGUAAAUAUAUAUAUAUAUAUGUAUGUAUGUAUAUACCAUUGAACUUGAUGGGAAAUGCAUUGUACGAAACUAAUUUCAAAUAUUUAACCGUCAAACAUGUUUAUAUAUGCUUCGAGAUCGCAUACACCAAAAAUCACAAAAAACAAACAUUCAGAUAUCAAGUAACGGGACAAACCUUUUCAACAACUAUAAACGAAAAAUCACGAUUUAACGGUUAUUUUAACUCUGAUUUUGAUGAUUUUUUACAGCUACACUUUUUAACCCUAUAUGAAUACAAUGAACUAAUUCAAUCGUCAAUUUAAAACAUUUACACAAGUGGAUACCACAAAAUAUUAUGUUAUACUUAAUGAAAGUAUAUAUAAACUCCAUGUGUUAGUGAAUCUCUCAUUUUAAUGGGAAACGCAUUGUACGAGACUAGUUUCAACGAUCAACCGUCAAACUUGUUUGUAUAUGCUUUGAGAUCGCAUACGCCAUCGCAAAAAACAAACAUUUAGAUAUCAAAUAAUGGGACAAACCUUUUCGACAGUUAUAAAUGAAAAAUUACGAUUUAACGGUUAUUUUAACUCUAAUUUUGAUGAUUUUUUACAGCUACACUCUUUAACCUUAUAUGAAUACAAUGAACUAAUUCGAUCAUCAAUUUAAAACAUUUACACAAGUGGAUACCACAAAAGAAAAAGGCAAUGCAAGAACCCCAAAAGAAAAGCAAAAAAAAAAAAAAAAAAAACUUUGCGCGACAUAGGUACAACUGCGUUGCGCAUAGGUAGCUUUGCACGAUGCAGUUGUACCUACGUCACGCAAAGUUUUUUUUUUUACCAUUGAACUUGAUGGGAAAUGCAUUGUACGAAAUUAGUUUCAACGAUCAAGCCGUCAAACUUGUUUUAUAUACUUCGAGAUCGCAUAUGCAAAAAAUCGUAAAAAACAAACAUUUAGAGAUCAAGUAAUGAGACAAAACUUUUCGACGGUUAUAAACAAAAAAUCACAAUUUAAUGGUUAUUUUAACUUCAAUUUUGAUGAUUUUUUACAGCUACACUCCUUGACCCUAUAUGAAUACAACGAACUGAUUCAAUCAUCAAUUUAAAAUAUUUAUACAAGUGGAUACCACAAAAUCUUAUAUUAUAUUUUAUGAAAGCCAUCAAAGGAGACCACCUCCAUCAGCCAUCCAAGGAGGCGUUGCACUGUUAUUACCCGUCUUUAAUAAUCUCGUUCAACCUAGCCUGCAGGGGAAGUAUGUGAAAAAGAGAAUCACAUGAUCACAUAUGUUAAAGAAGAAGCAUUCUCAUUUAUGGGCUCCGCCACACCAAAAACUAAAACAAAUCAACCUGUAAAAUGACAAACCUUUGCUUCGUCCAUCUCAACACUUGCACCUCAACAUAGAGGAGUCCAUCCCACAUACAGGAGUCCUUGCUAACAAGGGAAACCUUAAGAAAGGGAAUAAAUUCAGUCAUGCACCUCAACAUCCUAAAGCAGUCACAAUCAUGUAAAAAAAUACUAUAGACCAGGAUUUGUGUUAGCUGCCCUCCGAGUGAAAGUAGGCCCUUAGCAAAAGCAGCUGCAGACAUCUGUAAACAGAUAUCUUGUAAGCAAUGUAACUUAUAAAUGAUGAAAAUUCCAGGGGCUAAUGAUCAUAACAGUAAGGCAAUUUACUUCAUUUAAAUAGAGGUCAAAUAAGACAAGAAGAAAAAGGGAGCAACAUACAAAAAAUAUAUAAACCCAUGAGCACUAAUGAGACUAUAACUGCAGACGGCCCUCAUCAGAGUUGUAGAUUUUAAGAUCAUGACGGUAGGUCAAAUAUGCCGGUACCUUCACCUGCAGUUGUGUACAAAUUCAUUAUGACAAGAAAAUAAUUCUGAAACAAAGUCGCACUGUGUGAGCAACCUUGUAGCUCAAUCUGGGUCUGUUGAAAUGCAUGAAUUAAAAUCAGACAUCACACCUUACAUCCUUUAAGAUCAGACUCAGUUAUAUCCACCACUUCAAACUUCUAGCCUUUCUUGUGUGAGAAUCUAUCAUACCUGUGGUUAAUUGUUAGACGCAGACUCUCGAGAGAAAAUGCAUACAAGAAUUUACAAGUAUUGAUACAAACUUACAUUUUAAAUAUGUCCAUUGCAAACAAAGAAGCCUCGUCCCCACCAGUUCCUAAUGAAAUCUUUUGUCAUAUAAAAAAUAAAAAGAUAAAAGACUCGCAAUGGAAUAAAAAUUUGUUGGGCAGGUGCUUAAUACCUGCUCUGACCUCUUUCCUCGUGGAUGGCUUGAUCCUUAGGAAGCAGGGACUUGAGCAACAAAUUGUGCAGCCCUCUUUCCUCGUGGAUGGCUUGAUCCAAUUCGGUAGUUACCAUAUCAAGCAUGUCUUUUCUUGAGAACAUUCAUCGAUCAGAGUCCUCAAAGCAUUAAUCUCCUACAGAGCAGAGAAGCAAACAAAUGAUUUAGUUCGGUCUGCACAAGGAUGAAGGUUUAUGUUGAAGGUUUUGUUCUAUGUUAGUACCUUGGUUGUGGCUCUUAGACGACUUAUAAGGUCCAUGGAAGUGCUGAGUUUCCGUAGCUCCUUGAUCGCCCUUGCAUACUCUUCUGCCGAGGCAUCAGGCUGUCUUCAAGCAAAAGGUCCAACACCAUUUCAAUUCCAAAAUUUGUUUUUUGUUCUUAGUCAAACACUACAUUUAACUAUAAUUCAGCAAGCACAGAAUCAACGACAUAGGUAAACCUGGUUAAUGAGACUGAAGAAAACCACUCCUCUGCUCGAUAAGUGAUAACCUUUGCUCCAUGAUCUUGAUAAGUUUUGGAGAUAAAUCAGGCUCCAAUUCUAAAUCAGCCAUUUCACUUUCUGUUGAGAAUUGCAAGACAAAAUGAAUCGAUAAGCAAUAAACUCAUAUUAAAAUUAUACUACAUGAAUCUAUAAAGCACAAAGGUAAAUUCAAUUCCUGAUGAAAAUAAAAGAAAAAGAAAGAGAAAUUAUAACUAAAUACAUUGAAUUACAAAAAGCAGAAAUUUCAAAUAAAAUAGAUACCUCCUCAAGCACUGCUUUAACUUGACGAAGCUUUUCAGCCUCACUAUCACUUUCUCGACCUGGUCUAGACAAUGUAAAGCUUUUCAGCAUGUGCAAUCAUAUGAGAACCAGCUAAACAAAGAUAAUUAGGGUGUUUCCUGUUAUGACUUUAAACAUGAAUUUCAAAGAAUGGGAAAAGGGGUAGAAGGUGAGUUUCAUACGAUUACAUCACCAAUUAUUUGUUAUGACUUUAAUGCACGAAUAAUAAUGUAAAUCCAAAAAUCAGAAGCAAAAUUAGCAAAUGUAUUGAAUGCCAAAAAAAAAAAAACAAAUCAGAGAAAUACCUAAUCAAAGAAUGGAGAUGAUCACAUGAUUUGUUGGGAAUAUUAGAGUUGGGUAGAAGAGAAGCGGUAUUAAACCCUCAGCCUCCUGCUUUUUCCUUUACAAGUUUAUAUUAAUCCUCAUCCGAACUACAAUAAUAACUCUCGCUAUCAUCACUACUAUCAUUUCCGGAUUCCCAUUCAUCAUCAUCUUCGUUUGCCUCUUCCGGUGCAUUGUAUUGAGGCAGAUCACCAAGGUCAAUUGAUAUUCAAAUUCGGGAACUCCAGGUACGUCAAACCGUUCUUGGGCAAUAUUAGUAACCCAGAAUGUUUCUUCACCAAUUUCUAUCGAAGAUGGUAACUGUUGGUCAGCGACGUUGUCAUCAUGAUCUAGUUCUGGAAUAUCAUAUAGCCCUCUUCGAUCAAUCUUCUGAACAACUUUCCAACCAUUACCGGCUUUAGGGUAGUCUAGAUAGAAUAUUGGUUUCGCCGUAGUUGCCAAAAUGUAUAGGUCUUCAUCGUACCAAUGUCUCGUAGUGUUUACUGAUAGUAAACCAUGGUCUCACUUAACACUUGUUCGGUUAUGUGGGUUUGUAUCAAACCAAAGACACUUAAACAGUAUCACUUGACACCUAUCUUUGUAAAACAAUUGUACCACACUAGUUAGUUUGCCAUAAAAAUCAAUGUCUUCACCGUCGCCCGCACCCAGGACAUGGAGAUACUAUUUUGAGUAGACAACUUUUCAUCACGUGUUGCCCCCAAGAACUUGAUCCCAUUGACAUGACAACCUGAGAACAAUUCAACGUGAAGCGGUCUUCUUGCCAAGUUAUAUAAUUCUUCAUCGUAAGAGGGUGAAUUCAAUUCCUUCAAUUUGUUCAUCUAAUAUAACAUAUACAAAAAGUUAACAUGUUAGUGUAACCAAAUUUAAAAACAGGCAUGAACAAGUUGGAAAAUAUGCUCAAUUCAAACCUAAUACAACUUACAUGUGCGUGAAACCACGAAGGAAACAAGUCACGGUGCUUCUUGGCAUAGAAAUGGGAAGGAUGUUCCCACUUUAUCAACUGUUCAUGCUCUUCAAGGUAUGGCAAAGCCUCAUCACAAUUGUUGAGUAUGAACCAAUGUGCUACCUCCAUGUUCUUUUUUGUAAACGAUUCGCCUUUCACAAGGUUGCGCAAUUUGGGCAAAAACAGAUAGUUUCUUUUUCUUGCGUUAAGGACGAUUGAAAGUUGUCUCAACAUCUUGAAGAUACAUUGCACAAAAAGUAAGUGACUCGUAUGUGAGCCAUGCCUCCACAACUGAUCAUUCGGGCCUUGCCUUGUUUCGAACACACUUUUUCAACUCACCAAGAUAUCUGCACAAAUAAAAGGUAUGCUACAAAUUAUUCAAAGCGUUCGUUAAUCAUGAAUUUGUUAUAUAUAGAGACGCUUAAUUAAGUACCUUACUAUUGUAAACAUUCAUCAACAGUUCACUGGUCCGGCAAGCAAUGCCUCAUCUGGCAAGUGAAUCAUACUUGUAAAGAAAGUUGGGGGAAAUAUCUGUUCGAACUUGCAUAAGACGUUCACAAUGUUAUCCUGCAAUUGUUUAACAUCCGACUUCCACAAACACCUUGCAGUCAACUGCGAAAAAAAUCUCGAUAACAACACAAUUGGUUUCACCACAUCAAGAGGCAAUAAGUAUCAAAUACCAACCAGAAGAAGGCGUUGAAGUAUCACAUGACAGUCAUGACUCUUCAUGUUUGAAAAUUUACACCCCUUCACGUUCACAUGACAGUCAUGACUCUCCAUAUGGAAACUUUACAGAAGAAAUAAAGUUGAAAAACUCUUUCUUCCCAUUCGGCUUAACUGUAAAAAAGGGAUGGCAUUUCUUCAAUGUACCACCGACUCUCUUCAUCCAUAAGGAUGACCUAAUGCCCAUUCGUUCCAAAUCGAGGCAAGCUUCGAUCGUGUCCUUCGUUUUUCCUUCAAUGUCUAGAAUUGUCCCGACCAAAGUAUCAAACACAUUUUUCUCAAUAUGCAUAACGUCGAGGCUGUGUCUGAAUUUUAACUUUGACCAGUAUGAGAGCUCAAAUAACAUACUCUUAUGCGUCCAGUUCAGAUGUGUAGUUGGUUUGGGCUUACUGACCCUUUGUCGAAAUGACCAAAUUCCAUAAGGUUUAACUUAUCCAAAAUCUCAUCUCCAGACCAUUCUCUUGGUCUUGGGCGAGUCUCUUUUGUGCUGUAGAAGGCUUUAUUGUUCUGACGCCACUCGUUGUCCCAAGGGAGCCAUCUACGAUGACCAAGAUAACAAACUUUUCUCGCAUGCCAAGACGAUGUUACAUUCUCCUUGCAUAUUGGACAUGCCAAAUAACCCUUAGUCAUCCACCCAGAAAUCAUUGCAUACGCGGGAAAAUCGUUUACUGUCCACAUCACAUCACCGCCGCUCACAUGGUGAACAUCUGCCUAGUAUACUUAUCAUAUGUACGAACACCAUUUUCCCAUAAAUCUUUUAGCUCAUCAACCAACAGCCCCAAAUAAACAUCAAUGGACUUUCCUGGAUCUCGGUAAUUAAUAGAGUCAACAUCAUGUAUUCUUUUUUCAUGCACUUCCAAGGCGGCAAAUUAUAAAGAAACAUGACGACCGGCCAAGUGUUGUGGAUUUGGUUUAAACCCCCGAACGGAUUAAAUCUGUCGGUGGCAAGUCCCAAUCUGACGUUGUACGGGUCAGCUGCAAAAUCAAGGUACAUCUGAUCGAAUUCUUUCCACUCUUCAUCUGCAAGAUGCCUCAUAACAUCGUCAUUUACCCAUUCCUUAUGCCAUCUCAUGUCGGUUGUGGUAUGCAUCGACAUGUACAAUCGCUGCAACCUAGACUUCAAUGGAAGAUAAUGCAUUAUUUUUUGUGGAAUCUUGGUCUUUCUAUUCUGUGAUGUCAUUUUAAACCUCGGCUCAUUGCAGACAGGGCAUUUAUCCAACUGUUUGUUCUCCUUAUAGAACAAACUACAAUUAUUUACACAUGCGUGAAUUUUUUCAUACCCGAAUCUGAGACCCUUCAACACUUUUUGGGCACUUUUAUGAUCUUCAGGUAAACAAUUCUCCUUUGGAAGCAUCCUCUUGAUAACUCCCAAAAAGUAAUCAAAACACUUUUUUGACAAACGAAACUUGAUCUAGCCAUGCAUCAACUCCACAAUUGCUGUGAGCACUAAAAAGUUCUUGUAACCCGGAUAUAAUUCAUGCUUGGCAUUUUUCAACAGUUUUUCAUAGUUUUUGAAUGCCUCACUGUCCAUGGUUGGACGACCAUCAUCUCCCUCUUCCUGAUUGGUGUUGCUCAAGGCGUAUGAAUAAACGUCAUUUAGAAUAUUCAUAACUUGUUCACUAGGAUCCACAUUAGAUUCAACAAUCUCCACUUGUGUCACAUAUGAAGACGAAGCUUGGUCUAAUCGUUCUCCAUGAUGAUACCAAGUACAGGUCUCCAUCAUCCCAUUUCUUACUAAAUGAAAUCGAACAUUUUCGAAUGUCUCCCACAUUAAGUUGUUACACCUCCUACACGGACAUCGAAUAUGAGUUGAACCUAGGUUGUGUCUAGUUGCAAAUUCAAUGAACUCAUCUAUUCCAUCCAGGUACUCAACAACACAUCUAUAUGAUUAUGUAUCCAUUGUAUGUCCAUCUUGCCUACAAUCCCAAUAAAAGUAUAAGAAUUACAACUUGUCACCUUAUUCCUCCGGUAAGGGCCCUAUCUCAUUCAGGAAUACACAGUUAUGUGCCGUAAUUUACGAUUCCAAUGGAUUAAAUUUCGACGUGGGCUAAUUUCGAUAGCAUCUCCUUACAGUUCUUCAAGUGCACGUCAUAGAUACAUAAUAUCCACUGUGUACUCGAAGAACAUCAAGAAAUGUUACCAAAAUUUUCACAAUCGAAACCUAAUCCGUGAACCACAAACUACAACACAUAACUAUACAUUCCCAAACUGUCCAAAAAAUGGGACAAUUCAAGAAUUAAUUAGACCGCAGUCAUGCUUUCACAUCCAUGCACGAAAUCCAACUAAUUCUCAAAUGGGAAACUGAGCUUUUCUUGAAGAAAAAGUGUACGAAGUUAAGUAGUAUUAACUUCGUACAACACAAAACAAUUUUGUAGGUGAUGUACAAAAAUAUGUGCAUACAAAUAAACUAAAUCACAAUAAUUACUAAAACUAAAUAAAAUAGAUAAAAUUAAUUUAGCGAAGAAAAUAAAGAUUUUAAAAGACUUUAAAAUCCUAGUGUAGUCAAUUAAAAGAUUUUAAAGGAUUUUAGAAUCCAUUCAAAUCUAGGUGUAGUCAAUUAAAGGAUUUUAGAAUCCUUUAAAAUUUAGGUGUAGUCAAUUAAAAGAUUUUAAAGGAUUUUAAAAUCCAUCAAAAUCUACGUGUAUUAAAAAAAUUAAGAUUUUAGAGGAUUUCAAUAAAUUGUGGAUUUUGUGGGAUUUGAGAGCCAAAAGUAUAUAUAACCAAGACUAAAAAGAAUCCAACCUCACUCCUAGGAUUUCAAAUCCUUCCACCACAAUCCAUUCAAAUUCUUUAAAAAUCCAUAUGAAUUUUGUAGGAGUUUUUAAUCCUCUUAAAUCCUAUCAAAUCUAUCACUAUUAAAAUCCUUUAAAAUCUUAGUUUGACUACACCCCUAAAUUUUUCUUAGACUUCAUUUUCAUUGUAAUAUAAAGUGAUUUAUGCACCCUUUAUUUCACUUUACGCAUCUACACAAGAGAAUCUGAAAAGGACUAUUGCAACUAGAACUAUAAAGACCCAAAGAGGUCAGGUUUCAGUCACAAAAGAGUAACUGUGUCUAGAAAUUGGCAUCCAAUAAUCCACCAACUCAAACUUGGUAUUGUCAGUAGGAACUUUUGGCAUCUACAAGCAACUGGGUCUUGCAGCCAAAUAGUCCAAAUAGUUCAUUCAUUUUAUAAUCCUUCUAAAGUUACAAACUGAAAGUGCUUAUUCAUCAUUAUAAUCAACCAGAUAAACAUUCAGCUAAUUAAAAAAAAUAACGCAUUGUAGUUGGUUUGAUAAGUUGUGUCCUAAAAUUAGAAAAGUUCCCCAAGUGGUUUGACUGAGAGAGUGUGAGUCAGUUACCUGUAUAAUGUAAUUGGCAUGCCUAAAAGAGGAAGAUAUUGCUUUGGCAUGCUGGCCUAGUACCACAAACAUAACGAGAAAACAUGAUCAUCUUAUGGGACUGGAAUGACAACCAAAUCCAUAGAUGAAGGUGAUGGGAAUUUCUCUUAGACUUCAUUUUCAUUGUAAUGUAAAGAUGCAACAAAUAGCAAGCAUUCUCUCAUCAAAUUCAACUGAUUCUAUACCGUUAUACAAUAAACAUUCAAAACAAAUGAUUGAAACUUCAUAUAUAAGCCAUCAAAAGUAUUUAAUUCACGUUUCACAAAAAAAAAAAAAUCAAUUCUCAACAGCUAAAUUAGAUCUGCUUACUCCAAAUCAAAGACCAUCAAAUAGCAAGGGAGGGAUUGCAUGAUGAAAAGAGAUGAAACAUUUAUAUGUUGAAUUUAUGAGCAAGGAGGGAUUAGAGAAGGUUUUGAAGAGAGAUGGGGGAGGGAGGUAGCUGCUGCAACUGGGUUUGCAGUUUUUGCCUCCCAAACUAAUUAAGUGGAGCAGAAAAAGUCGUUGACUUUACAUGACGCUAGUCUUCGUUGCGCAAAACAGCUUUGCACGACGCAAGUGCACCUACGUCGCGCAAAGCUAUUUUGCUUGACGCAAGUGCACAUGCGUCGUGCAAAGUUGGCAAAAAAGCGGUAAAACAUUCUUUGUUUGGUGCCAAGAACUUGCGCUACACACAAAAUGUCACGCAAAUGGUAUUUGCGCAACGACACUUUGCACGACGCAUUGUGUUUUGGGUUGCAUAAACAUACUUUGCGCGACGAAAUUUGCUCCGUUGCACAAGGUUCCAUCGGCCAAACAUGUUUUUCUACUAGUGCCAAUUGUGACCCUGAAGCUUUCUAUCAAUUGAUAACCAAUAUGGCAAAUGAACCCAAGACUUCUCAUGGACUCAUCUUCAAUGCUUUUGAAGAUCUUGAAGGACAAGCACUUGGCACACUUCACCAAGAAUAUUACCCCAAUAUUCCAAUUUUCUCACUAGGUCCAUUUCACAAGUGCGGCCCUACAACCUCUUCUUCUUCAACUAGUUUGUUAGCACAAGACCAAAGUUGCAUUUCAUGGCUAAACACUCAAGCGCCAAAAUCUGUUGCUUAUGUUAGCUUUGGGAGCAUUGCCAAGAUAGAUCAAGUUCAAUUUUUAGAGGUUGCUUGGGGGUUGGCUAAUAGUGGCCAACCUUGUGGGUGGUUCGACCCGGAUUAGUUACAAAGUCAGACUGGCUUGAAGUGUUGCCUAACAAGUUUCUAAAAGCAUUGAACGAAAGAGCCCAUGUCAUGAAAUAGGCUCCACAAAAAGAAGUUUUGGCCCACCCAGUAGUCGGAGCCUUUUGGACUCACUGUGGUUGGAAUUCUACAUUGGAGAGGUGAAGGCGUACCUAUGAUUUGUACACCAUGUUUCAAUGAUCAAAUGUGCAAGAUUUGUGAGCGAUGUUUGGAAGGUAGGGUUGCAGUUGGAGCAUGGGAUUGAGAGAGAUGAGGUUGAAGGAACAAUUAGAAUGAUGGUUGAGAAAGAGGGGAAGAGAUCAAAGAGAGAGCCUUAAAGUUGAUGGAAAAGGCAAAUCUUUCCCUCAAAGAAGGUGGCUCUUCGUACCAAUCUUUAGAUGGCUUGGUUAAUCAUAUUUUAUCCUUAUAAAUCAUUUGUUUUUGAAAAUGGUAAUCCAUCAUCUUUAUCAUAUCCUUCAGAAUUCUUCCAUUUUUUUUUCUCUUGCCCGCUUACAAAUGGUUGAUUAUCUUUUUCUUUAUACAAAGCACCAUUGAUGAAAUAAGAAUCAAAUACAGAACCUCGAGUAAAAGAUUUAUGCAUACUAAUAAACAUCCUCAAGAGUAAUGUACAUACUAAUAAACAGUAAACCACUGGGCUUAGCAAUCCAAUCCGCCACCUUUGCAAACGAACUCUUGGAAUUUUUUUUAGUAUAAAUCUUCAUUCUACAUUGUCUCAUAUUGGUCACUACCAAAAUGUUUCCUCACUUUAUAAGACUUUGUCCCUAUUAGAAAGUGAUUGAAGUGUUGGACCUUGAAGAGUAACAUUAGGCUCAAACAUUGGUUUCAGUGGCGGAGCCAAAAUUUUUUGUUAAAGAGAGGGUAUUUCGAACUCAUAGCAUGAGCAAUCGAAGUGACCUUCACAAAACUGAAAGAGCCGUUAAAUUUAAUAAAGAGAAUCAAAAGAAGUGUAUAAUACAAGUAAGUGGGAGGUAGAGAGCAAGGUACCCACUAAAAAAAUUGAAAUUAUAGGAAGAAAAUAGACAGAAAAAAAGUACGACAAAGAGGAAGGCUACAAAUAAUAGUUGAUUAGGUUGCUUUAGAAAUAAAGUUGAUUUUAAAACCUCAUCCCUGAGUUUAACUAAUCCACAAAGCCAAAGCAAACAAAAUUGUUAGAAAAAUAUAAGAUACGAUGUCGUUCAACUCAACUUCUUCACGAUGACAAUUCAUCUUCUUUCUUAUGUCUCAUGGUUCUACAACUGCAAGCUUAAGGCCGUUAGAAAUUUCUUAAACAAUGGUCAGGAUGGGCCCGUGACCACUCUGGUCCCUUAGUGGCUCUGCCCAUAAUUGGGGUUUGAGCUUUGAGGUGUGCUAAUUAAUUGAUAAUUAAUAUAUAAUUAAUUAUCAACAGAUGAAGUCUGAAGUGAUGAAAGAACGCCAGAGAGCAAAACACUCAUCUGAGAAGAUGUCUCCCAAUAGACGAAUCUCAUUCUCAUACUUGUUACGAACAUGCAUAAACCUAUUAUAUAUACAUUCAUCUUUCAUAGUUGGAUUUAGAUCUUGAUCUCUUAUUAUUUUUAAUUAAAUAAAUGUUUAAAUCUAAGGAAAACUAAUGAAAAAGGCUUGAAAACUUUGAGUUUUAACGAUAAGGACAAAAUAAAGGGUAAAGUGAAUAGUACCAGGUUUGACUUUUUAGUGUAAAAAUGUGGUUUUUCGUUAAAGUGAACAAUACUGUAGGCUUUUCGUUAAAACUCCCUUAAAUCUAUGAUCUAAAUCUCCAAUUAUGUCAUAAAAUAAUGAAUGUCUAUUAUUUUUAAGUAAUCUAAAAUAUAGCAGUACAAAUCAUAAUCGUGAGACGUAGUUGUUAGUAUUAAUAUUGGAUAAUCAAACGUGCUAACAACAUAAUGGUUUUUUAAUCAAAGUGGUACCAGAUAUUGGCAUAACUCCUCAUUUUGAUCUCUGAAAUUUAAAAUUCAUAGAACUGGUUCUUGAGUUUGUCUACCGUCAAUCAUUUUGGUCAUUCUAUGAAAAAUCUCCGUUAAAUAAGGUAAAAUGACAAAAGUAUCCUCAAAUUUUGUCAAAUCACUAAGGUCCGCUACUUGGACAUUUUGUGAAUCAACGAUUCGAUCGUUAGAUCGUCACCAAACCUUAAUACAUUAUAGUACGUAAUAUUUGAGGGCCAUAGGAACUUAUGGAUUGGGAAUUCGACAUAUAGAUCUUUCCGAAUUAAAUUUGUAAGUUCGUAAAAUAAAACGUCAGCCGCCACUUAAUUUUAGCAAUUGGCUGAGAUCCGACAUUUGGAUCAUUCUGAAACUUUAGGAUGUUGUUCUAGAAGCUUAUUGAAACUCUUGGGAAGUUAUGGAUUGGAAAUCUAAGAUGCGGAUCUUCUGGAUCGAGUUACGUAGGGCUGUGGAUCCUAUAGUCGGCCUUUGAUCGACGUAUGACUUUUGGUCAAUGGGUUUCAAAUCAUUUUAGAACGUCAUUGGGGAUUUGUUUUAUGUAAGUUACGUGUUCUAUCGAUAAGAAUUCUGAGACGUGAUUUGAUAAUUGUUCUAGGCAACAAUCGUUCGUGAUGCCUUGAUAUUCGUGCUAGGGAGUUGUAGAGCAGACUCUAGGUGAGUGGGUCUUUUCCUUUGUAUAGUGUAUAUAUAUAUGAUUGAUAGUUUCCACAAAUGCUUUUAAAUUGAUUUAUGCAUUUUACGUCAUGUCUUAUAUAUAUUUUUUUAAAUACUAUGAUAUGGUUGAGUUUUAGAUUGCAUCAUGGCAUAUCCAUAUGCAUAUUACCUGCAUAUAAUUGUUGUGAAUGCUUUGAAAUGCUAAGGUGAACGCGGGACGCGCAUGUAAGUUAUGUGAUGGAUUGAAAUGGUUGAAUCAUUUUGGUAUGCACACAUUUAUUUAGAGCUCAUCAAGGCUGCACCCCGGUAUUAGUGCUCCCGCCCGGGGUAGGGUCAGUCUUCACAUGAUUGUUCACCUCCCGCACCGCACGCUCACCUUGGAUCUAAGUAUGGUGCCAGCCUGUCGUACAGACCACAAUUGGGGGUUCCGACUCGUAGAUGACCCGUGAUUUAUCGCACAGCUUUCACAUGAUCGUAGCACUUAAGCGUACACAUUUAUACCCAGCCUGUCGUACAGGUCCACUAGGUAACUCCGACUCGUGUGUUAGCCUAGGUUGAUGAGCUACAGGUCCAGUCGUACAGGUCACAUUAGGUGACUCCGACUGGCAUGCUAGUUUAUACUGAUUUCACAUCUAGCUUACAUUUAUUAUUGUUGAGAUAUUAUGACAUGGCAUACUUCAAUUUUCGCUGCUCUGGUGCAUUGGUUUUCGUACCGAUGUAGUAUUAUUUUCUGAAAACUAUACAGGUUUUAUGGUAAGGGGUUAUAACGUUUUCAAAGGUUUUUAUUAAAACUUUAUUUUCAGGCCCACUUACCCUUGUAUUUCGCCCCUCCAGGUUUUAGUAGCUGAGCUUUUGUAUCGACGAGGAUUCUUGGCAAAUAUUGGUAUAGGCGAUUACCUUCAAUGGUAUAAUUCUCUAUCCACUUUACUAUACUUUACUUAUGCUCUGUCAUCACGUGUGAAAUGAGUUCAUUCCCGCUCACAACGCACUCUUAAAGUUAGGCACUUUUAGGUUUAAAUUUAUUCACAUUUUCCACAUCACUACACUUUAUGACUUCGUCACCUUCCAUAUGUCGACCAGCACAACUCGAUCCGGAGUCCUAGUGGACAUCUCGGAUCGGGAUGUGUCAUAAUGUAUCUACUGUUUUAUUUUAAUGGUGAUAAUUUUUCUUGGUUUAAGUUUUACGAAAUAAUUUAGGCAAUGUUUAACUUUACCAAAAUAAUGUAACUACUAUUUUAAUUUACCUACAAAAUAAAUGCUAUUUGAUUCCAAAUUAAUUUACCUGCAUUUUACAUAUAAAUAUAGAUAAAUUAUUUUUAACACGCAAAUAUAAUAACAAAUCAGAAAUGUCUAUUGUAUGUAAUAAAAUAAUUUACCUACAACAUAAAAGAAUAUUAAUUGGUUUUUUUUUUUUGUAUAUAUAUUUGUGUUACUAAUAUUUGUGAUACAAGAAAGGUAGAAUUUCCAUAUGGGGUUAAUUGCUAAACAUAAUUAGGGUUUUGUGGCAUAAGUUGUAAAUAUUUUGUAAUAAUUGGUUAUAUAUUUCUCUACAUAGUAGUCUAUUUGAAAUUUGGGUUUUAUUUGAAUGUUUAACAUUAGGUGAGUUUUUGUUUGAAAAAUAGGAUUUCAAGAGCUUUUCUCUAAAGAACCCAAAAAAUUACUGGCAUACUGUUCCUUCGGUUGCUUGUACUUGCAAGCAAAUGCUUUCCAAUAGCCUUACCCCAACUCUCCAUCAGCAGAAACUCCUCUGAAUAUUUUCUGAUGUCUUGUCCGAGACGUAAACUGCGAAGGGUUUUCAAGUGUACCAAUGCAAAGAUCCAUAACUUAGUAAUUAGAGUUUUUCCAUUUACCAUAAUAACAAAAUGGUCAUUUGUAGAAAUAUGGUCAAUAGACCUAAACUGAUAAGAAAAACACAUUGGAUUGAUUCUGGUUUUGGUGCGGUGGGGGAGAGGGGUAUUUAUCGUGAAAAUACGGGAGCAUUUUCGUAAUUGUGUGGCGGUGUUUUAUGGUUCCGGUUGUUUCAAGAGGAGGACGGAGGAGGAGGGAAGUGUUCGGUAGUCUUUGGUUCGACGAGGGGAUUUCCAGAGAGAAAAGAAUAGACCAUCUUGGAAUAUGGCACGUGGCGGAAGAUCAACGGGGGCGCAUAUAUUACUGAUGGGACUGUGAAGGAAUACGAGGGUACUGCCAAUAGACAAAAGGAAAAAUUUAAAAUACAUCUAAUUUUAUAGGUUUAUUUUGAAAUAUGUUUAAUUUUUAGUAAUUUUUAUUUUUAAAAUAGAUCUAAUUUUUAAUUAUUUUGAACCGAAAUGUCUAGACAAAAUGAAGGGCCCUACAGAAAAAUAAGCGCAAAGCCCAAUUGGUAAAUAUAAACAAUGAUUUUCCUUGUGUAUCUUUGUUAGCAACCACAGAAAAAAAAAAGGAACGACAAAAGGAGCUGGUGGUUGACAUGUGGGGUGAGUAAAAACAUCAACUUCAACAGAGCCAUCAAUAAGAUAAGGUUCCAGGAUUGCGUCAUGCGUGAGCAAAUUUCCCAUAUUAUAUAUUUUUCUAACGCACGUUAUAUGAUAUUAUAUAAAUUAAAGUAGUUUUUUCCCCUUGUUUUCUUCUACUUGUAUAAUAAUGUGUGUCUGUACAUUAAAAAUCUCUUUUUCUCGAGCCCCGCCGCCUCAUCAGUCAGCAUUCACAAUAAGUUCACAGUCACAAGCUAAGCAAACGUAAACAUUGUCGACUGGAAAAUGGAACAAAGCAAAGGCAGGAGACUGGUCCUCUUCCCAUUUCCCUUCCAAGGGCACAUAAACCCUAUGCUGGAACUAGCCGAUAUUCUGCAUUCCAAAGGCUUCUCCAUAGCCAUCAUCUACACCAACUUCAACUCCCUCAAUCCUUCAACCCUAAAUCCACACUUCACCUACCAUUCAAUCCCUGUUGACUUGACAGAAAACGAGGACUCCAUGAAGGAUUUAAUCGCUUUUGUUUCUAUUCUAAAUGCUAAAUGUGUUGAGCCUUUCAGAGAAUGCUUGGCUGGGUUGUUAUCCGAUGACGUUAAUUCGGAGGGCACCAUUGCAUGCUUGAUCACCGACC
rnacentral:lncRNA from 1 species